UUUUUUUUGUUUUCUUAUAUAUUUGGAAAUGCUUGUUACUUUUUAUCGGCGUAUUGUUAGUUGGAACAGCUACGAUUCUAUAUCUAGGGAGCUCUUCUUUGGCUGAUCGCUGAUUCAUUAUUAACGAGUAGUUGUUAGAGUCUAGAUUGGAAUCAGUAUCAAUGUCUAACAAUUAGUCAUAAACCUCGGUUUUUUGGCAACUCUGACAACGUUGUCUUCUUGAAAUAUAUGUUGAUUUCAUGUUGGUUUAUGCCUCUCAAACCUUUAGGUUGCCUCUUAAACAUUGAUUAGCAAUACUUAUCACUUGCAUCCAUUUCAGUUCAUAUGUGGACUAUAUUUUUGCCUUUAUUUGUACCUUAUGGAAUUCUAGAUUAUCGUGAUGGAACCAGCGAAGAAAAUCAAUAAUAUGUAAGAUAAUGUUUUCAUUAAUACCUACAAGUGUCGGAUGAUGGGUGAUUUUAUACUGCUGGGCGUUUGACUCUAGAAUUAAAACUUCCUGCAAGCUUCUUUUGUCAAUUGAAGCACUUUCACAAAAUGCUGUGAUCAAUGCGUCUAAGUGUUCGUAAUCGAUGAGGAAAAGUUAAAGUAUAUGGUUUAUUUAAAAGUAGUAUGCAUCCCUUUUUGGUAUAAUUUUGUAGAUUUCUGUUAAGUUUAUUGAUUUACAAUCUAAACAUUUAAAGAGAUUCUGAACAUCGACAAGUUAAACAUUCACAAUUACAUGAAUCUAAAUAAUUGUUGUGAUUUUCAUUUGUUCUAUGCAAUACGACUUUUCACAUAGAUGCCCAUGCCCAACUAAAAAUAUAUGAUUUUUCAUGUUCCACAGUGUAUGUACCAACUAAUGCAAGGAAGGAGGUGGCCUUGUUUAUGAAGAAAAUUUCCUCACUUGUGCCAGCUCUCCAUCUGGUUGAUAUUGACAUUCCAUUGGACGUUUUAUGUAAAGAUGACCAAAAACUUGAGCAAGCGUGGGCUAGAGAAUUUCACAUAAGUUUGUCAAGAACAGUGCCAAUCCGAGUGCACCAGAUUGACUCAAUAGUGACAAUGCUUCGCCAGAAGCUUCAGUCUCCAAGGCGGUAAGCUAAAAGUUUAAGAAACUCCAUUUAGUUUGAUUAGUAAUUUCCAACUUGUUUUUGUAUUUAACUUGUGCUUUUUUUAAAACAGUUAUUGGAUUGAUUUUAGUAAGUGGGAGACUUUUGUUAACGAUGAUCUUUCUCGAACAUUUUUGUCAAUGGAAAUUAUUACUGGCGGGCUAAUGGAGGUACGUCACAUUUGAGGGAUUUCUGUUUUCGUUAUCUCAGCAUUUCUGUGGUAAAUGUGCUUUUCUGGAUUCUCAGUUUUUGGGCUCUGUUUGAGUUUCUUAGUUAGAUUAUAGUUAUCCCUUUACCUCACCUGUGGGUUUAAUUUAUGCAACUGACGCAUGUACAAAAAAUGUUGACAUAGGUUAUGAUGAUUUCACGAGUUUUACAUGAUUGAGAUUGACAAUAUUACAUUGGAUUAAAGAGUUGAUCUCUUCGUUUUCAAUUGGCUGCAGAUCAGAAAACAAAUCCAAGUUGUUAAUGAGGUUUAUAAGCUCCACAAUCUUCCUGAAUUUUACAAGGUUAAUUACAUCAAUUAUUUUUUCCCCUUUUCAUCUUUAUUCAAUUAACGAGGAAGAUGAUCUCCUACAGUACUCUGUUUUUGUAGGAAGCAAGACCACAUAUAUCUGUUGCCUGGGCAUUAGGUGACGUUAGUCAGUUAUCGAGUCAAGCGGUUCAUAAUGAAUUAAAAAGGUCCGCAGUUAAAGAACCAUUUAAGAGAUGUAUUUUCACCACCAAAUUCAAUGGCAUCGAAUGUAAGAUUGGUAAAAAAAUGUAUAAAAUAUGUAAAUUUCCUGACGAAUGAAAAGAUCAUUGUGUGAGACAUGUUCUACAGUCUAUGCCCAUUAAAUUCUUUUCAUGUAUUUCAACUUUAGUAAUUAAAUAUCUUACUAUAGAUAUUGCAAUUUUUAUUCUCUUUGAUUUAAUAGUCUUGAUUUGUGAAGCUUUCACUUAUCAGAUUCUUAGGAAUCUAUAUUAUAUGGAUCGAUUAUACUUGUAAGGGGCAUCUCAGUCCAUUACAGUCAAAAGUGUAGUGAAAUUGAUCAAUGUCAUUGAAGGUUGGAAAAUAUAAUGACAACGUAUAGACAAUGUAAUGAAUGAGAAAGGUUCCUGACUUUGAACAUCUUUAAUAACAUUGUCUUCCAUAUUGGGGUCAGGCGACCUACAUUGUACAAAUGUUAAUUUUCGACUUACAUUAUAUGGUCAAAUUUCAUGUAGGUAGAUGUCCAAUACCACGAGAACGUUCUUGGUACAUGAAUUGCAAAAUUCAAUCUCUCUUGUCUAAACUUGAAGGGAAGUUUUUAACUCAUCAAUUGUUUGGACGGUGCAUCUUGGUAGAGAUUAACAAAAGAAAAUAAUUCCUACCUAAUUAUUUUUUAUCUUUUCUCUUCAAUAAUGUUAGACAUUAUUGAGAGACUCCAUUUUCCUUUCCAAUAAUUACAUAAAGUCUUCAAGUCUUUGCUACCUCUUUCCAUGUAAUUUAAUAAUUAAACCUAUAGGUCUUUUCAAAGUCUUCAAGUCUUUGCUACCUCCUUUCCAAAGUGUUAUUGCUUAAUAUAAUGGAGACAUGUUAGCAAAUCUUUUCACUCAAUACGUUCCAAUUUCACAAGGGUUGAAUUAAAUUUCAUUUAAUGACUAAUGGGAUUGACUAGAAUGCCCCCAAACUAUUAUUGGGGCAUUUUUCUUCUCACAUAAUUUUUAAAUUUUAUGUUAAAUAUAGUUGUAGUAUGAUUUUCAGAAGUACCUCAAAUAUUGGAUGGAAUUAGAAAAAUAAUGGUGUAAUAAAAUUGUUUGCUUUGAAUAUGCUUAAUGUUACUAUAUAUUUCUUUUCUUUUUGUUGCUUUGGAUCAAGUUUUUCUUCCUUGUAUUUAUGUAAUUAGUUUUAAGAAAAUAUAGGUCUUUAAAAAAUUUAAGAAAAAUAAGGUUGGGAAAAACAAAUCAAUCAAUCACUCUAAUCUAAUCUAAUAAUUAUUUUGAUGAUGUAAUUGGUGCCAAAACAAUGCAAAAUUGAUAUUUACAAUUUAAACUGCUGGGGACAAAAUUGAGAAACAAAAAGUUUGCAUUGCACUAUAUGUAAUUCUAAUUGGUUUCUUAUAAAAUGAACCCAACUGAUCUUCACCAAAUUCAUACAUUACUACUCAGUACUCCAAACAUUCCUUACCAAAAUGAGAAAAUUAGUUUCAAAUGAAAGUUCAGUAGUUGUGUUAUGGAUGAUGAUGCUUCUUCUACUUCUCCAAUUUUGUUUCUCCAUAACUGCUGCUUGUAUCCAAAAGGAACGUGAAGCUCUCCUUCGAUUCAAGAAUAGUUUUUACGAAGAUCCUUUCCAUCGCUUGGCUUCAUGGAAUGGAACUGAUUGUUGCAAUUGGAAUGGAGUGGGUUGCAAUCAAACUACUGGAUAUGUUACUAUCAUUGAUCUUCGGCAGGAUUAUAAUCAGGUUGACUCGUAUGAAUCUUUAUCUAGCAAUUUCAUUGACUCUAGUUUGUUAGAGUUGAAAUACUUAAAUCACUUGGAUUUAAGUGGAAACUAUUUCAACCAUACUCAAAUCCCAAACUUCUUAGGUUCAAUGCUUGAAUUAACAUAUCUUAAUCUAUCAAGGACAUCACUUAUCGGCAAAAUUCCUCCUCAUUUAGGAAAUCUUUCUAAAUUGGAAAUUCUUGAUUUAGAUAGAGAUUAUUAUGAAUUUGAUGCCACAAGAUGGGUACCACUCAAUGGCGAUAUUGAAUGGAUAUCUCAUCUUUCAUCUUUACAUACUCUUCACUUGAGUGGAAUGAACUUUUCAAAUGCUAUAAAUUUGAUGCAAGUGAUAAGUUCCCUUCCAUCAUUGUCCUCCUUAAGACUUCGUUCUUGCAGUCUUCAAAACAACGAUUUUUCUUUGGGUUCCUGGUUGAAUUAUUCAUCAUUUAUUUCUAGAGUUCAACUUCUAGACUUACAUGAUAAUCAACUAAGUGGUCAAAUUCCUACGAUUUUUCAGAAUAUGACUUCCUUGAAAUACUUAGACCUUUCAUUAAAUAAUUUCACUGCUAUUUUUGAAGGUGGAAUUUCUACCUUCAUUGAAAAUAAUUGUGGCUUAAAAGUACUUGAUUUAUCAUUGAACUUUUACUUUGGUACCGAUGAUGUAUUUGAAAGUAGUUAUGAGAAUGAAACUAUGGGCUGCGAUCUUCAAGUGCUUAAUUUAAGAUAUACAUCUUUGAAAACCAAAAUUCCAAAUUGGUUAGAAAAGUUAAAAAACUUGCAGACCAUUGAUCUUCAAUCUAGUCAGAUUUAUGGUCUAAUUCCUACUUCACUUGGAAAUUUAUCAAAUCUUAAGUAUUUAGAUCUUUCAAUCAAUAAUUUAACUGGAACAAUUCCAGCCUCAUUUGAAAGAUUACUAAAUUUGGAGGUACUAGACGUAUCAGAAAACUCGCUUAAAGGUGUUUUAACGGAAGCUAGUUUUGCUAACCUCUAUCGGUUGCAUACUUUAAACUUAGGCUACAAUGAGAAUCUUUCGUUGGAGAUAAAAGCUAAUUGGAAUCCUCCUUUUCAAUUAUUAUUUUUUGAUGCUUCGAGGAUUUGUUGUUUUGGAAGUGAGUUUCCACAAUGGCUUCAGACGCAAAAGGCACUGGUUGGUUUGAGUUUAUCCAACACAAAUCUCUCAAUUAGUUCUAUACCAACAUGGUUCACACCACAAAAUCUCAUCACUUUGAAUCUUUCAAACAACCAAAUCAUGGGGCCACUUCCUACCAACAUUGGAGAUCAAAUGCCAAAGUUGCAAAGGUUGCGUUUGAAUGAUAAUCUAAUCGAUGGGUCUUUACCACGUUCAAUCUGCAGGUGGAAGAAUUUGAAUGUUUUGAAUCUUUCAAACAAUAGACUAUCUGGAAUGAUUGAAGGUUGUUUUCUCAAUCCAAACUUGUAUCUCCUAGAUUUGUCUUCCAACAACUUCUCAGGGAUCUUCCCAUAUUCACAUGAAAAUUUGUCUUAUAUUGAACAAGUAUACUUGAGAAACAAUAAUUUUGAAGGAUCCAUGCCAAUAGUAUUGAAGAAUGCCAAAUCUUUAGAAAUCUUAGAUCUUACAGGAAACAAAUUUUCUGGAACCAUCCCCACAUGGGUAGGAGAGAAUCUUGAAAGUUUGCAAUUUCUAAUACUCCGAGAUAAUUUGUUCAAUAUAAAUUGCAAAUUUUGGAUCUUGCACACAACCAAUUGGAAGGAAGUAUCCCCCCAAAUCUUAGCAACUUCCACCGAAUGAGCACAAUAAAUGUACAGUGGUCCUAUUCAACUUAUUGUCUCUCGUAUGAUCGUGGAUGCUUAGAUCGUAAUAUUAUUUUGGAACAGUCUAUCAAAUCUAGUAAUUUCAAUUACUCCAUGGAACAAUUGCAGUCAAUGGUGAAUAUAGAUCUAUCCAAUAAUUUUUUGGUGGGUAUAAUUCCAAGUGAGAUAACGAAGCUUAAAAGGUUGAUUGGAUUGAAUUUGUCCCACAACAAUCUAACCCAGGAUAGUUCCUAUUGAAAUUGAACAAAUGGAGUCAUUAGAAUCACUUGAUUUAUCUUUCAAUCAGCUUAUUGGACCAAUUACUCAGAGCUUAUCAAGAUUAAAUUCUUUAGGUGUCUUGAUAUUAUCCCACAAUAAUUUUUCAGGCAAACUUCCUCGAGAUGGUCAUCUUUUGACAUUCAAUGAGGCUUCAAGUUUUAACAACAAUUCAUACCUUUUCGGGGAUCCACUACCAAUAAAAUGUGUGAUUGAAAAUUCAUCCAAACCAUCAUUCACUGAAAAUGAAGAUCAGGAGGAUAAAUGGGAGAAGUGGUUGCUCUGCAUUAUGAUAAUACUCGGAUUCAUAGUUGGCUUUUGGGUCGUUGUUGGAAGUUUAAUAUCGAAGAAGAGUCGGAGAUAUUCAUAUUUCAAUUUCGUGGAUGAGAGUACGUGGAAUGCUUAAAAGGAAUCCUUUGCAAAUGAGUAAGGUAAUAAAUUUUUAUUUGGUUUUUUAGUGUAUAUAUUAGAUACAAAAUAAAUUUAAAAAAUUUAUUUAUAGAAUCUAAAAAUUUUGUCAUGUUCUCGUAAAUAUUUUGUUAAAUUUGUCAUUUUUAACAAUUCACAUACAUAUCUUAUAUAAUAAAAAGAUUAUCGAGAGAAUAUAUAAAAAUUUAUUUAUCAAAGAUAAAUUUUGAUGGAUUUACGUUUGAAAUAUUUUUAAAAAAAUUAUGAUUUGAAAUAAUUUUUCUAUUAUAUUUAAGUUUCAAUUCAUUAUUAUUAAGUGUCACAAUUUUGAAUAUGUUGUUGAAGAAUGAAGAGAAAUUUUUUUACUCAAUUUGAUGUUUAGUGUUAAUUUCAAACCAUCCUACUCUUAAUACACACCUUAACUUUAAAUUGAUGAAUCUACUAACAAGUAGUAAUUUAAUCUUUUAUGCAGGUAACAAUGCUUCACAAAAGAUAUGAACAAUCAAGAACAACAAACCUUAAAUCUUCUUUAAUAAUUUUGAACUAUAUUGUCAAGUUUCUUAAAAUUACGUCAAUAGUUUCUAAUAUUUUUUAAAAUGUUCUUAUUCUAAAGCAUAGUCAUAUUUAAUUCCCAAAUAUGUAAUAUUCAUGAGUCACAACAAUUUAUCUUCAAAGAAAUCCCAUAUUUACUCCGUCCUGUGUAUCUAUCAAACCAACUUGAACAAAACUUUAUAUCUAUCAAUCUAAUAGACUCAUCUAAACAAGUACUGGGUGUAGCUAUUAUUUUUCUCUACUUUAGAACCCUCUCAUGAUAACAUAAACAAAAAUGAGAAGAUGUUAUAGGGUUAGGAUUAUUGAAAAUGUCAAAGAAAAAAUAGUAGCAAACCAAACUUACCCAACAUAGGUCAAUACAAAUUGAGAAUAAUAUCAAUGCAUUAUUGUGUGGAAAAUUUGAAAAGAGUUUAAGCAUAAUUGACAUACAAAUCUUGAAAUUCAUAGAUUAUUCGAUAUAAUAUAAUAAAGUUGGAUUUUCUUUACUCAAUUACUUCUAGUGCUCUAUUUUCUUUUCCAAUAAUUGCAAUUUUUUUAUUCCUUGUAUUAUAAAUUCUUACGCAGCUUUGUUAAAUAAAAAAAAAAAAGAUCCGGUGUACUAAGGAAUUUUGAAAAAAAAAAUGAUUUAGAAGCCAAAUCUAAACGAUGAUGUAGUCAAAUUUAAAUGAUUGUGUAGUUCAGUUUAAAUCAUUGACAAAUAUAUUACGCUAGCGAGUGACCUAUUAAUCACGUGUUGACUGGACCAUUUUUUGUAUUUUGCAUUGUGGAUCUGUAUAUUUUUUUUGUUUUCGAAAUUGUUUUAUACUGUUGUAAAUAUUUUGUCGAUUUGUUAUACUUUUUAAAAGUCUAUUUAUAAAAUGCAAAACUAUCACAUAACAAUAUUUUAUUGGUUGUGUAAGUUGGACAAAGUGAGGUGCAACUCGAAGAGCACUCAACUAUUUUCCUCGUAGUAUUAAACGUGUUUGACCUACUUGCUUGGUUCACACACACAUAAUUCAAUAAUCAUAUGAUAUGAACAAUUAUUAUUCCACAGCACACAAAAGAAAACAAAUGCAAAAUUCCCUUCCUCUUUUUGCCAAUGCCUCCACACACUAUUACACUAACUUUAUACAUGAUCACAUUUAUAAUAUUGAAAAUUUGUCUAACAAUAUAUCCAUCCAACCAAACUAUGUGAAACUCCACAUAAUUGUUUUAAUUUCUACUUAGUUAUUUUCCCUUCAAUAUACUAUGUAUUACACAUAUGAUGUGACCAUUGAAACAUGUUGCUUACCUAUGGAUGUAUUAGAAUUAUAAUUGAGAAAAUGUCAAAGAAACAAUAGUAACAAUUACUUACCCUAUAUAUCAUACAAUAAUUGAGAAUAUAUACAUAUAUAUAUAUAUAAACAAAUUAAAGGUGUUUGAGAAUUUUCAAACACACCAUAAGAGCAUAUUGUUGGUAAAGUUGUAAUGACCUAAUUUUUCCUUAUCUCUCUUCAAUGUAUUUUCAAACUUCAUUUUCUUUACCCACAAUUUCAAAGUCUUCAAAUGUUCCCUAAUUGUUGAAACAUGCCUACAAAAAUCUUUAUAUACAUAUAUUCUAAAUUCAUGAUGUCAAAUUAAAUUCCAUUCAACUUUAAAAAGAAUAAGUUAUUUUAGAAAAGAUUACAACCAUUGGAAAUAGAUUUUGGAGGGCUUUUAUUAAGUAAAAAUAAAAUUUUUAAGCCAAUCAAAAUGGACGAUUAGUGUAUUUAUUAUAUUUGGAUCUAACUAUUUAUAGAGAGACGUAGAUAGAGCAACUUAAUUACAUAAUAUAUAAUUUAGAUUCUAAUAUUAAGAUACAUAUAUUAAAUAUUUCGAGUUCUAAUAUAUAUUUCUAAUUUAUUUGAAUCUUUAACGAAAAUAGGCAAAAUAUUUAUAACCUAUAACAAAAUUUGUAGCUUCUAUCAAUAAUAGAUAUUGAUAGACACGCAUAUACUUCUAUAAGUAACAUUGAUAGACAGUGAUAAAAGUCUAUCAAUUUCUAUCAUUAAUAAAAUUCAAAAUUUUGUUAUGUAACAGGUAAAUAUUUUAAUUUAUUUUGUUAUUUUUAAAAAUGCCUCAUUUUUAAUGUAUCUCAGUACAUUAAUAAUUUUUAUUUGAUAUUUAAUGUACAAAUAAAGUUUGUUCUUUGUUCAACUCACUUACUUCCUUUAGAAUUUUAUACAUCAUUUUCAUUAAGGAAAAUUGGAUAUGAUAGCAUUUUGAGAAUAUGAUAUAGCAAUUAUAGCACAUUGUUUUAGAAUUUUGCAAUAUGGUCAAAUUUUUACUUCUCCAACUUAAAUUUGUUAUUAUUCCUAAACUACCAUUCAAUAACUUAUUUUUCUUUCUUUUCUUAACGCCUACUCAUUAUUUAUUUAUUCUCUUACUUUUUAAGACCUUAAUUAUUUGUUUAUUUUUAUACUAAAAAAAUUAUUUCUUCUUUCUAUCUUAAUAUUAAUUUUAAAAUAUUAAUAGUACAAUAAUUGCAAUAUGAAAUAUAAUAUAAUGGUUGUUGAUCGGACUAAUUAACUUCAUUUGUGAUUUUGUUUACUUCCUUCGAUGUGUAUUUUAAGUUGAAUAUGAUUCCAAAUGAUUUUGUUUUAUUUUUUUUAUUAAUUUUUGUCUACUUUGUCUCAAUUUCGUAUAUUAGUGUUGUGGUAUACUUAUAUUAUAUGUAUUAGUUGAUUAAUAUACUUACGGUGUAAUUUUCGUUUUUUCAAAUUUUAUGUAGUUCAUUAGAGUAUUAUUAAGUAUAUGAAUGAUGUAACUCAGUCUAUCAUUAUCAAGUAUAUUAACAAUAUAUUGUUAAAGUAUAUCAGUAAAGUGAAUCAUUAUAACGUAUAUAAAUCAAGUUUACAAGUGUAUAUCAAUAUUAUAUCAAGUGUAUAAGUAGGACUUCAAGCAUAUAAAGUGUAUUUAAUCAAUCAAUUGUAUAAGUGAAGAAUACUAAAUGUACCUGCAGUGUAUCAGAUGUAUCAAACAUAUAUUAGUAAUGUUUCAGGUGUAUAUCAAAAAGUAUCGAGUGUAUCAAAGGGUAUCAGGUGCAUCAAGUGUAUCAAUCAAAUAUAUCAUGUGUAUCAAGAAGUAUCAGGUGUAUCAAUAAUUACAAUAAUUAACAAUUAAAAAAAUAAAUAUUGUAUUAUUGAUGAAUAGAAAGUAAUAAUUAAAAAAAAAAGUAAAGAUUUAAUAAUAUUAUUGAUGAACACCGUGUUUUCUGAGCAUAUUAACAAUGGUCCAAAUUUCGUAUUUCAUAAAAGAAAAGGAAAAUUGUAAUUGAUAACCAUUUCAUCAAUAAUAAUUAAGAAUAUAGCAAAAUUUUAAAAAAAAUUGCAAAUAUAGCAAAACUAUCACUAAUAGAUUUCGUAUGGUCUAUCAGUGAUAGACCAAUAUUUGCAACAUGAUCUAUCUGUGAUAGACUUAUAUCAUUGAUAGAAUUUGACAAAUUUUGCUACAUUUGCAAAUUUUUUAAUAUGUUGUUAUAUACUUAAUUAUUUUGAAUCUAAUUGCUAAAUUUGUAACUAGCCCAUAAAAAAUAGUUUUUUUAUGGGUCUUGGCCAUGAUCUUAUCUUAAACCUAAAAUUAUAUAAAAAAAAAUAUUGAUGGGCAAUGUCCAUGAAUAUAUCAUUUUUCUUAAUGGACUUUGUCCGUAAUUUUUUUUUUUUUUUUGUCCAUCAAGAAACUCUAUACCUAUAAAAAAGAAAUCUAAAUUCAUCAAGAAAUCCAAACAAAUAUAUUAAUUUUUUCGAUGAUGGUCAUUGCAAAUCAAGAAAAUUCAUCUCUUGACGAGCCUCAUGCACCAAGAAAACCUAACUAACUCGAUGAGCAUUAACAUUCAACUAAUAUAUUAUCCUAAAUGUUUAUUGUCCAUCAAGAAAUAGUUUUCUUGAAGUUUGUAAAUCAUCAAUAAAUCUAAGAGAACUUUGUCUAUCAAGAAAAUCAAGAAUCCACAUUUUUUAUGAUUUUUCUUAUUUCUUCACCAAAAUAAGGAGACUUUUUGUACAUGACCGUCCAGAUAAAUUGUAUCAAGAAAAAUAUGUCAUAUUUGGUAUGACGGAAGAAAUCAAAUUUUGAAUACGAAAUUUGUAGUAGUUUGAAUAUUUUGUUUUAAUUUAAAAUGGAGUAUCUUUGCUUUAAAAAAAAUCAAAACUGCGAGUGGUGCUAAAGCAAACAAAAAUUGAUAUUUUCAAUUAAACGUGGCCAAAAUUGAGAAAAAGAAAAGUUGGAGUAAUUGAUUCAUUAUAAAUUGAACUCAACUCCUAACCAAAUUGAUUCAUCACUCAGUAUCCAUCGAAUUCCAUUCUUCCCAAAAUGAGGAAACUUUCAGAAAAAAGUUCAGUUGUAUUAUUUUGUGUGUUAUGCAUGAUGCUGCUUCUCCCAUUUUGUUUCUCCAUAACUGCAGCAGCUUGCAUCCAAAAGGAGGGUGAAGCUCUUCUUCAAUUCAAGAAUAGUUUCUAUAAAGAUCCUUCUUAUCCUUUGGCUUCGUGGAAUAAUGGAACUGAUUGCUGUAGUUGGAAAGGAGUGGGUUGCAAUCAAAUUACUGGACAUGUUACUAUCAUUAAUCUUCGACACGAUUAUGAGGUUAACUUCUACUCAUCACGUUUAUAUAGCAAUAAUUCCAUUGAUUCUAGUUUGCUUGAGUUGAAAUACUUAAAUUACUUGGAUUUAAGUGGGAACUACUUCAACAAUAUUCAAAUCCCAAACUUUUUAGGUUCAAUGGUUGAAUUAACAUAUCUUAAUCUUUCUCAAGCAUCCUUUUCCGGAAAAGUUCCCCCUCAAUUGGGAAAUCUAACUAAAUUGAAUGCUCUUGAUUUAUCAUAUAAUUGGGUGGAAGCCAAUGGUGAUGUUGAAUGGAUAUCUCACCUUUCAUCCUUACAGUUCCUUGGCUUGACUUACGUGGACUUCUCAAAAUCUUUGAAUUUGAUGCAAGUACUAAGUUCUCUUCCUAUGUUGUCAUCUUUAAGAUUGAGUAAUUGUAGCCUUCAAAACAUCCAUUUCUCUCUGAGUUUCUUAAAUUAUUCUACAUUUCUCAGCAGAGUUCAACUGUUAGACUUAUCUGACAAUCAGUUAAGUGGUCCAAUUCCUAAGGCUUUUCAAAAUAUGUCUUCCUUGAAUUUAUUAAACCUUUCUGGAAAUAAGUUUACUGCUAUUGAAGGUGGACUCUACAAUUCCUUCAUCGGAAACAAUUGUGGUCUAAAAGAAAUUGAUUUUUCAGCGAACUUUGAUCUUGACGUAGAUUUGUUUGGAACUUAUGAGAAUGAAUCUAUGGAUUGCAUCAAUGGAUAUGAUCUUCAAGUGCUUAAGUUAAGAGGUAUACCUAUGAAAACCAGAAUCCCAAUAGAUUGGUUGGGAAAGUUCAAAAACUUGAAGUGCAUUGAUCUUUCAUACUGUAAGAUUCAUGGUUCAAUUCCAGCUUCACUUGGAAAUUUAUCCAACAUUGAAUAUUUAGAUCUUUCAAACAAUGUUUUAACUGGAGAAAUUCCAGCCUCGUUGGGAAGCUUAUUAUUGAAUUUGAAGGUAUUAGAUCUAUCAAGCAACUCACUCAAAGGUGUUCUUAUAGAAGCUCAUUUUGUGAAUCUUUCAAAGUUGCAUACUUUAUACUUGAGCUACAAUGAGCUUAUUUCAUUGGACAUGAAACCUAAUUGGAUUCCUCCAUUUCAAUUAAAAAAACUCGAUAUAGGCUCAUGUAUUGGUAGUUAUGAAAGUGAGUUCCCUCCAUGGCUUCAGACCCAAAAAGCACUUGAUGAAUUGUGGUUAUCUAACACAAGUCUUUCAAUUAGUUGUUUACCAACAUGGUUCACACCACAAGUCCUCACCACUUUGGAUCUUUCCUACAACCAAAUAGUUGGACCGGUUUUUAUCAGUAUUGCCAAUCAAGUGCCCAAUUUAGAAGCCUUGUAUCUCAAUAAUAACCUUAUAAAUGAUUCUUUACAACCCACAAUUUGCAAAUUGAAGAGUUUGAGCAUUUUGGAUCUUUCUAACAAUAGGCUAUUUGGGAUUGUUCAAGGUUGUUUGUUGACUCCGAAUUUGAAUAUUUUGGAUUUGUCGUCCAACAACUUCUCAGGCACGUUUCCAUAUUCACAUGGAAAUCUUCCUUGGAUUAAUGAACUAUUCUUAAGAAACAAUAAUUUUGAAGGAUCUAUGCCAAUUGUAUUGAAGAGUGCCAAAUAUUUGAAAAUUUUAGAACUGGAAGGUAACAAAUUCUCAGGAAACAUACCUUCAUGGGUAGGGGACAAUCUUCAAAGUUUGCAAGUUCUAAGACUACGAAGUAAUUUGUUCAAUGGUACUAUUCCUGCAAGUCUAUGCAAUCUUCCCGAUUUGCAAAUUUUGGAUCUUGCACAUAACCAAUUGGAUGGAAGUAUCCCACCAAAUCUCAACAAUCUCAAAGGAAUGAUAACAAGAAAAAGCAUGCAAGGAUACACUCGAGUUUGUUGGCGUAGGUUAUGCUUGGAUAAUGAAAAAGAUGUGGUACAAUCUAUCAAAUCAAGCUUCUUCAAUUACACCAGGUUACAACUAUGGUUGUUGGUGAAUAUAGAUCUAUCCAAUAACUCUUUGACGGGUUUCAUUUCAAGUGAGAUAACAAUGCUUAAAGGGUUGAUUGGAUUGAAUUUGUCUCACAACAAUUUAAUGGGGGCAAUUCCUACUACGAUUGGAGAAAUGGAGUCAUUAGAAUCACUCGACCUAUCUUUCAAUCAAUUUUCUGGACCAAUUCCUCAUACCUUAUCAAAUUUAAAUUCGUUAGGAAAAUUGAUAUUGUCCCACAAUAAUCUCUCUGGUCACGUUCCUCGAGAAGGUCAUCUCUCAACAUUUAACGAGGUUUCAAGUUUUGAAGGCAAUCCAUAUCUAUGUGGAGACCCGCUUCCAAUCCAAUGCGCGAGUUUGAAUCCAUUUAAGCCGAUAUUAGAAAAGAUUGACGAUCAAAAUGAAGAUGAGAACUACGAAAAGUGGAUGCUUUACGUUAUGAUAAUUCUUGGAUUUGUAGUUGGAUUUUGGACAGUUAUAGGAAGUUUAAUACUGAAGACAAGGUGGAGACAUGCUUAUUUCAAGUUCGUGGAUGAGGCUGUACUUACAAUGUUCAUCCAACAAUUUGAAAAGCUUAAAGGAAUCGGCAUUUUCAAAUGGUUUAGGUAAUAAACUUUUGUUUGUUUUUUUAAGUUGAUUUUUUUACACAUUUUUUUUGAGUUCAACUUUUGCUAAGGGAAGUUCACAAUAAUCUGUCAGCACAUAUAUAUAUAUCAUUUACCUACAGUAGAAUAUGCAAAUAUUUGAAAACAGUAAAAAGAAAAACCAUCUUAGUUCUAAUACCUUAAAAAUUAAAUUAAAGAAAACUAACAAAUUGAAUCUUUGAUGCAGGUAUAAUGCUACACAAAAAUAUGAACAAGAACAUUAAUCUCCUUUGAUAAGUUUGGAACUAUGCUAAAGCUUCUUAUAAUUAAUGUAUCCACAUAUAAUGAUCAAUGCGAUGAUAUAUUCUACUAUGGGAUAUCCUGAUCGAGAUUUAGGCUGCUCUCUCACCUUGAAGUUAUCCGAAUUCCAAAGAGAUCAUAACUCCAGAUUUGUCUCAUGAAAUAAAAUGUCACCAUUAAUACUGAUAAACACCCAUAGAUAGACGUUGAGUCCAUAUUUAAUUUGUUGGUUGUAUUGUAGUUGAGUGGGUCCUAUGUUGAGUAGAAGUUGAAUAUUUAUUUUGGACUUCUUCAAGGACCAAAUAACAAUAUUAUAUACUUUUAUCACGAGUAAGUCAAUAACAUUUUUAAUUCCAAAGUUUCGAGGUUACAUUUUAGUUUCUAAAUUUAUAAAAAUAGACUCAUGAAUUUUCAAAGCGUACCUUUUUGGUUUUCAAAAUUUUUAAAAAUAGUUUCGGAGAGAAUAUAAUUUUUAUAAUAUAUUUUUUUCAUUUUAAAUGUCAUAUAAUUAUUUAAAAUAAAAAAUAUUAAGUUAUUUAAAGAACUUUUUCAACUUAUUUAUAAAAACUUUAGAAAUUUGAAAGAAAUGUUUUGAAAACUUAGUAACCAAAUCAAUUUAUUUUUGGGACUAAAAAUUUAUCUUUUAAUAAAAAUAAAUAGAUAAUUGAUUUAUAUUUCAUAUUAAAAUAUUUAAAGACUCUAGAAAGUUAUUUUUUCCAAGUCUUUGCAUUUAUUAUGUAGGGCAUUUGUUAGGUGGAUGAAGAAAUUGCAUUAAAAUGAAAAAUAAAAUACUUGAUUGAAGUGUUAAAUUUUAAGAAAUGAUAUUCUCUAAAGAAAUAAUAAAAGGUGGUUUAUUAUUUGGUAAGGUACAUAUUUGAAAUUUUAAAUGUUUAAAAUUAUAGAUACUUGAAAUUACAAAAGUCUUACGUUUUCAAAUACUUUUGUAAGAAUAUUUUUUCUAAAAUAUCUGAUAAAAUUUUAAUAAAUGUCUUUAUUUUGCAAGAAUUCUAUAUAAUGUAUCAAAGAAGGCAUAUCUUACCACUAUUUAUUAGUUUAGAAUUAUUCUAAUAUGAUUUGAACUUAUAUAACAUAUUUAUUCUUUUGUCAAGUUAAAAUUAUCUUUAGAUUAAUACAAUUUAUAUUAUUUUAUAUGUAACUUUUAUCUAUAAUAAAAUAUUAUUAUGAUUUUAGACUUUGUUAUAAACAAAGUGAAAAAAAAAAAGUCUACUUGUGCUAAUAUGCAUGUUCAUGUUGAAAUCUAAAUCCAGAUGUAAACGAAUUUUUAACGUUUGAAACUUCUUGUUCACUGAUACAUAUGUAUCAAUUGAGUUAAGCUUAUGUUGGCUAGUUACUACAACUAAUUAGAUUGGAAUAUAAAAACUAAUUUAAUUUCGAUAAAAUCACUUAUUUCAAUCUAAUUAUAAUUACAAUAAUUAACAAUUAAAAAAAUAAAUAUUGUAUUAUUGAUGAAUAGAAAGUAAUAAUUAAAAAAAAAGUAAAGAUUUAACAAUAUUAUUGAUGAACAUCGUGUUUUCUGAGCGUAUUAACAAUGGUCCAAAUUUCGUGUUUCAUAAAAGAAAAGGAAAAUUGCAAUUGAUAACCAUUUCAUCAAUAAUAAUUAAGAAUACAGCAAAAUUUUAAAAAAAUUGCAAAUAUAGCAAAACUAUCACUCAUAGAUUUCAUAUGGUCUAUCAGUGAUAGACCAUUAUUUGCAACAUGAUCUAUCUGUGAUAGACUUAUAUCAUUGAUAGAAUUUGACAAAUUUUGCUAUAUUUGCAAAUUUUUUAAUAUGUUGCUAUAUACUUAAUUAUUUUGAAUCUAAUUGCUAAAUUUGCAACUAGCCCAUAUUUAUGGGUCUUGACCAUGAUUUUAUCUUAAACCUAAAAUUAUAUAAAAAAAAAAUAUCGAAGUCAUCAUUCAAACGUACUGAAAACAAUUCAGAUCAAGAUCAAGAAGAUAAAUGGGAGAAGUGGUUAGUUUGCAUAAUGAUAAUACUUGGAUAUAUAAUUGGAUUUUGGGUAGUCGUUGGAAGUUUAAUAGUGAAGAAGAGUUGGAGAUAUUCAUAUUUCAAAUUUGUGGAUGAGGCUACUUACAAGGUUCAUGCAACAAUUUGGAGGAGCAUACAAUUACUUAAACCAAUCUGCACUCCACAAUAAGUUAGGUAAUAUAUAUAACAUUUUGUUUUGAUUCUUUUUAUAUUAUAGUCUAUUUUUGUUUUAGUUCAAUUUUAUGUACUGACUAAUUAUGUCAACUUAUAUAUAUAGGCUUCAUUAGUUUUUGUAUUAAAUUCACCUUUAAACCACAACUAAGAAUCUAAUACGUAAUGGUUAAAAAUGUGACUAAGAUUAUAUAUAUAGAAAACCUAAAGCUUAUUCUAAUCUUCUUCCAUAGUAAUCCAAAUAUGAUAAUAUAUCAUGUCACACGUUGCCCUAGUUUGAUAUUUUUGUAUCAAAGCUUUCACUUUUUUUCCUUCUCAUUCAGCUAUCUACUAUUAUUGUCAUUUUUUUUAAUCUUUAUUUCUUUUUCUUUUUCACUUCUCUUUUUUUUUUUUUUAAAUUUUAAAUAUUUAAUCUUUAAUUUGUAUAUACAGAAGAAAGAUUAAAUCGUUUAUUGUAAUAUAUGCUACUAUGUGAAUGUAAAAUUACUCGACAAUUUUAGGAAAUUGAUGUCGAAGGAAGUUGAAUUGAACGUCAGCUCUUUUUUUCCUUUUUGGAUAAAACUUUCAAUAUUGUUAGAUAUUGGUUGUUUGCUAAUAUAUAUUUUUGUAGGCACUUGUAACUUCUAUGUAUAUCAUUUUUUUUCUUCAGAAUUUACCAUUCAACUUUGAUGGGAGUAAAGAUGUUAAGAUAACUAAUUCUUUCCUCUUUGAAUGUUUCACAUAAUUCCAUCUAUUGACAACAAACUUUGACGAUUACCUUCGAUGAUCAACUCCAACGGUUAAAUCUACUAAAGACCCUAUGAUCUAACGCUCAAUUUCGUUUGAUGACCACACCUUUGGCGACGACUUCAACAACUUAACACUAUGAUGACCACAUAUGCAACCAACUCUCCAGAUGAUGAUCAAACUCAAGUCAAGACCACUUCUUGCUACCAUGUUUAAUAGAGCCUUUUUUAAAUAUGACUUUCAUCAUAUAUAUAUAAUAGUAAUAAAAACAUUACGAUCAUAGCAAAUCGAACAAACUUGGGUGUUAAACAUUUAUAAUACGCAACUUGUGUGUAACAUUUUCGACAAGAAAUGAAAUAAAUUACCAUCAAAACUAUACAUCGUAAAUUAUUUAAAUUGAGUCUUAUCAAAAUACCUUAUUAUAUCUUGUAUAUUAUAAAUAGAAUCAGUUAGUGUUAGUGUACCUCUUGCUGGUAAACGUAAUAACAAAAUUUCCUAGUUUAAUAUUUUGGGUCAAUCAAUGUUUAAGAUGUAUAAUGAUACAUAAUUAAAUUUACUUCAUCUACUACUAACUUAAAUGUCUUAUUCCUUUUUAAUGUUAUUAAGAAAGGAGUUAAAAUUAUUUACAAAUACAAUGUAAUUUCAAAUUUUAUGAACAAUAUAUACUAAUAAACAUUGAUUCAUUGUUACAAUGUCUUAUUAAUAAAAUCUAAAAUUUUACUAUACUUUUGUAUUUUGGAUCAUUUUGUUAUAUUUUAAAACUGUGUUUGUGUGUACAAAAUUGGUGAGACUUUGACUAUGACUAUGUGAUUUUCUAAAAAUAAGAAACAAUAAAAUCAACAGAAAUUAAUGUACAAGAAAAAUAUAUUUCAAAGUCAUUUGGGUGUAUUAUGUGGGGAACUUAGAAGAAAUUGAAUGAAAAUGAGGAAUUAAAAAAAUUGAGUUGACUCAAUAUUAUUGAAGUCUUUGGUGUCAUUGAUUCAUUUUCUUUGACGUCUCAUAUCAUUGCCUACAAGCAAGUGGCCAACAUGACUCUUGUUUGUUCCUUCUUUCAUAAUGAUGGGUGUGAUAGGUUGGAUGUAAUUUGAAUUGACUGAGGGAGUUUUCUUUUAACGUCUUUCUUUGCAUUACACAUUCUAACCAAACAAAAUAAAUGGAAAUAAAAAGAGUAAAGUAAUUUAUUACAAUACCUUUGCAAACAAAAAAGGUGAUACUUCAAGAAUCAAAAUGAUAUGUUUUAUCAAAAAUUGUUUAUAAUAUAAACGUAUGACAAAAUAAAGGAAGAAAAUGGGUAAAACUUUAAGGAUGAAAUCUAAAUUUAAUUUAAAGUUAAUGAUUAAGCUUCAUAAGGAAAUUAGACCCAAGAAAAUGUGUUUUCAUGGCCUUGGCAUCUAUUAUGAUAAACAUUUAUAGGCAGAGGAAUUAAAUGGAAAGGAAAGGACAAUUGAGAAAGAAAAAUUAAAGUUGCAUUAAAAUCUCAUUUGGUUAUAAAUAAAGGCCAAGUAAUUUUCACCCAACUCAUACAUUACUACUCAGUACUCCAAAUAUUUCCUUUGCAAAAUGAGGAAAUUAGUUUCAAACAAAACUUCAGUAUUUGCAUUAUUGUGUGUGUUAUGGAUGAUACUGCUUCUUCUACAGCUCCAAUUUUGUUUGUCCAUAACAGCAGCUUGCAUCCAAAACGAGCGUGAAGCACUUCUUCAAUUCAAGAAUAGCUUUUAUGAUGAUCCUUCUCAUCGAUUGGCUUCGUGGAAUGAUGGAACUGAUUGCUGUAAUUGGAAAGGAGUGAGUUGCAAUCAAACUACUGGACAUGUUACUAUCAUUGAUCUUCGUCGUGAACUUCGUCAGGUCGACUUCUACCCGUCACCUUUGUUUAGCUAUAAUUCCAUUGAUUCUAGUUUGUUUGAGUUGAAAUGCUUAACUUACUUGGAUUUGAGUGGGAAUAACUUCAUUUAUACUAAAAUCCCAAAGUUUUUAGGUUCAAUGGUUGAAUUAACAUAUCUUAAUCUUUCUAAUGCAUAUUUUUCGGGCAAAGUUCCUCCUCAUUUAGGAAAUCUUACUAAAUUGGACACUCUUGAUUUAUCAUUUAAUCUGCUGGAAACGAAUGGUGAUGUUGAAUGGAUAUCUCACCUUUCAUCCUUGAAGUUCCUUUGGUUGAGAGGGAUGGACUUUUCCAAGGCUUCAAAUUUGAUGCAAGUGCUAAAUUAUCUUCCUUCCUUGGUGUCUUUGAGAUUGAGUGAAUGUAACCUUCAAAACAUACAUUUCUCUUCAAGUUCUUGGUUGAAUUAUUCAUCAUUAUUUCUUUCUAGAAUUCAACUUCUAGACUUGUCUUCCAAUCAAUUAAAUGGUCCAGUUCCUGCGGCAUUUCAAAAUACGACUUCUUUGAAGUACCUAGACCUUUCAAAUAAUCAAUUCAAUGCUAUUUUUCAUGGUGGAAUUUCUACCUUCAUCCAAAAUAAUUUUGGCCUAAAAGUACUUGAUUUAUCGUUCAACUAUGAUCUUGGUGGAGAUGUGUUUGGAAGUAGUUAUGAGAAUCAAUCUACAGGUUGCGAUCUUGAAGUACUUAACUUAGGAUAUACAUCUUUGAUAACCAAAAUUCCAGAUUGGUUGGGAAAGUUAAAAAAUAUGAAGUCCCUUGCUCUUGGAUAUAGUCACAUUUAUGGUCCAAUUCCAACUUCACUUGGAAACUUGUCAAGCCUGGAAUAUUUAGAUCUAUCAGGCAAUGCUUUAACCGGAGCAAUUCCAAACUCAAUUAGAAGAUUAUUGAACUUGAGAAAAUUGUAUCUACAAGGAAAUAAAUUGGUAGAGGUGGACAGUGAAUGUUUUAUCCAACUUGAGAAAUUGGAGGAAUUAGACAUAUCAAGAAACUUGCUCAAAGGGAUUCUUACAGAACUUCACUUUGGCAAUCUCUAUCAGUUGCAUACCUUAAGUAUUGGCUACAAUGAACUUCUCUAUUUGGACGUGAAAUCUAACUGGAAUCCUCCCUUUCAAUUACAAGUUUUUGAUGCUUCAUCAUGUAUUGGUUGUUUUAGAAGUGAAUUCCCUCCAUGGCUUCAGACUCAAAAAAGAUUGGUUGAAUUAUGGUUAUCCAACACAAGUCUCUCAAUCAGUUGUAUACCAACAUGGUUCAAACCACAAAAUCUCACCAAUUUGGAUCUUUCGCACAACGAAAUGACAGGACCAUUUUUUAACAGUUUUGCCAAUCAAAUGCCCAAUUUGGUGCGGUUGUUUAUCAAUGAUAAUCUUAUCAAUGAUUCUUUAUUAUCUCCACUCUGCCAAUUGAAGAACUUGAACACUUUGGAUCUUUCAAACAAUUUGCUAUCUGGAAUCGUUCAAGGUUGUUUGUUGACUACAACUUUGGUUGUUUUAGAUCUAUCAUCUAACAACUUUUCAGGGACCUUUCCUUAUUCACAUGGAAAUGAUCUUUUGGAUAUUGAAGUACUACAUUUGGAAAAUAAUAAUUUUGUGGGAUCCAUGCCAAUUGUAUUGAAGAAUUCCAAAUUUUUGGAAACUUUAGAUAUUGAGGGAAACAAGUUCUCUGGGAACAUACCCACAUGGGUAGGGGAUAAUCUUCAAAGUUUAAAAAUUCUAAUACUACGAAGUAAUUUGUUCAAUGGUACUAUUCCUCCAAGUAUAUGUAAUCUCACUGACUUGCAAAUUUUGGAUCUAGCCCACAACCAAUUGGACGGAAUUAUCCCGUCAAAGCUCAGCAAUUUCGACGUAAUGACAAGAAGAAAUACAAAUGGAUUCACUGUUAUUUGUAGGAGUAGUGAUGUCGAGCAUGGAGUAAUAUGCCCUGAUGGUGAAAAAUAUGUGGUACAGUCAAUCAAAUCAAAUUAUUAUAAUUACUCCAUGAUGUUUAUAAUGUCAAUGGUGAGUAUAGAUCUAUCCAAUAACUUUCUGGGGGGUUUCAUUCCAAGUGAGAUAACAAAGCUUAGAAGGUUGAUUGGAUUGAAUUUGUCACACAAUAAUAUUAUCGGGAUAGUUCCUGCUGAAAUUGGAGAUAUGGAGUCAUUAGAAUCACUCGACUUAUCUUUCAAUCGACUUUCUGGGGCAAUUCCUCUAAGUUUAUCAAAAUUAAAUUCAUUAGGCACGUUGAAGUUGUCCCACAACAAUUUCUCAGGCAACAUUCCUCGAGAUGGUCAUCUCUCCACAUUCAUUGACGCUUCAAGUUUUGACAAUAAUUCAUAUCUUUGUGGAGAUCCACUCCCAAUAAAAUGCGUGGUUGAGAAUUCAUUUGAACCGCCGUUCAAUAAAAUUGACAAUCAAGACCAAGAUGAAGAUAAACGGGAGAAGUGGUUGCUUUACCUUACCGUAAUUCUUGGAUUUAUAGUUGGAUUUUGGGGAGUCGUUGGAAGUUUAACAUUGAAGAAGAGUUGGAGAUAUGCUUAUUUCAAGUUUGUGGAGGAAGCUAAUUACGAGGUUCAUGCAACAAUUUGGAUGACCAUACAAUUGCUUAAAGGACGCAAAUGAAUAAGGUAUUAAAUUCUUUUUCUUUUUUUUUGUGUGUUAACAUAUUUUUUUUUCUCUAUUAUAUGAAGUUCAUGAAUUAUAUGACUUAUUAACUUUUCUAGUAGAUGUGCCAUUUGAACAACAAUAGGUGAAUACAAACAAGUGGUGAAGGGUCAGUUCAUUAUUAUUGAAAUAGUCUAUUGUAAUUUCCUUUAAAAGCAUAUGGAAAAUUGAUUUAAAAGUAAUUAAUUAGACACCUAAAAUUUUGGUUAGAUGUGUAAUUUCCUUUAAAAUGUGUUUGUUAUUGAUCGAUAUAUAUUAUUUCAAUUUCUUAUUAAGCUUUAACCUUUUUUAAUAUGUUGUUCAACGUAAUAAAUUAUACCUCAUUUGAACUUUAUUUUUCAUUUAAAAAAAAUGUUCCAAAUUUUAAUACCUUAAAUUUAAACUUAAUGAACUAACAAAUUAAAUUUUUGAUGCAGGUGCACAAUAAUAUAUGUGAUCAAAAACCUUUUGGUAAUGUUAUGUAUGAAAAGCAUAAAGCUUAUUGUAAUUUUCUUCCACAGUAAUCGAAAUAAUCAUAAUUUGACAUUUUUGUAUCAUAGUUUUCCUUUCUAUUUAGUUAUCUAUUAUUAUUAUUAUCAUUUUUUUUUAAAAAAAAACUUUAAUCUUUUAUCUUUAAUUUUAUAUUAUUAAUAAUUUAUUUCGUUUUUACAAAAGAAAUAGUAAAAUGGUUUAUUACAAUACAUGCUACCAAGUGAAGGUAAAAAUAUUCAAGAUUUGACUGAGUUGAGUUGAUUUAAUUAGAAUUUUACGAAAUUGAUGUGGAAGAAUGUUGAAAUGAAUGUCUCUUUUUUUUUUCUUUUUGGAUCUUUCAACAUUUUUAGAUAUUGGUUAUUUGCUAAUAUAUGUUUUUUUAAAGUAUAUAUUAUUUGAACUUCUUUGGUAAAGAAUAACAAUUUUUGUAGGCAACUCGUAAUUACUUCUAUGUCUAUCAUACUUUAUUUUUAUAGAAUUUACUCUAAAACAUUGGAGGGGUGGUUGGAGUUGAACAUUUGAGGCGUAAAAUAAAAUAAGGGACACUUACAAAAAUGGUAAAUUAAGUUAUAAUAAUUAAGUUCAUAACACACACACUUUAUUAAUACGAAAAUGGCAAAAACGAAGUCCAGCCCACACAUCAAGAGGUAAAAUGUCACAAAUGCUCUUGUUACUAAUAUACGUUUGAUACACCUUAUAAUACAUGUUUGAUACACCUAAUACUUCUCGAUACACCUGAUACAUUUGAUUGAUAUAAUUGAUGCAAUACCUGAUACUCUUUGAUAUAUUCGAUACCUUUUGAUAUACACAUCUGAAAUAUUACUAAUAUAUGUUUGAUACACUUGAUACACGGUAGAUAUAUUUAGUAUUCUUCACUUAUACAAUUGAUUGAUUAAAUGCACUUGAUAUGCUUGAAGUCCUACUUAUAGACUUGAUAUACUAUUGUAAACUUGAUAGUGAUUCACUUUAUAACUAAUAUGUUUUAACAAUAUAUUGUUGAUAUACUUGAUAAUGAUACACUGAGUUACAUCAUUCAUAUACUUAAUAAAACUCUAAUGAACUACAUAAAAUUUGAAAAAAUGAAAAUCACGUAGUAAGUAUAUUAACCAACUAAUACAUAGAAUAUAAGUAUAUCACAACACUGAUAUACGAAACUAAGACAAAGUAAAACAAAAAAAAUGAAUGUAAAAAAUAAAAUAAAAACAUUUGGAAUUAGAUUCAAAACAAAAUACACAUUGAAAAAAGUAAAAAAAAAAAAUCACAAAUAAAGUUAAACUACUCCGAUCAACAACUAUUAUAUUAUAUUUCAUAUUGCAAUUAUUAUACUAUUUAUAUUUUAAAAUCAAGAUUAAGACAUAAAUAAUAAAUAAUUUUUUAAGUAUAAGAAUAAAUAAAUAAUUCGAACCUUAAAAAAUAAGAAAUAAAUAAAUAAUGGGCAGGACAUUAAAAAGAGGAAGAGAAAUAAGUUAUUGAAUGACAUUUAGGAAUAAUAACAAAUUCAAGAUAGAGAAGUGAAAAAUUUUGUCAUAUUUGCAAAAUUCUAAAACAAUGUGUUAUAAUUGCUAUAUCAUAUUCUCAAAAUGCUAUCAUAUGCAAUUUCUCAUAAAAUAAUGGGAAUUGAAGAAAAGGAAGUUUGCAAAAAUAGCAAAAAAAAAACUAUGAUAAUAGAGCUCAUGUCACCUACAUUUUCUAAAUUGUAAAAAUGGUAAAUUUAAAAGCAGAUUACCGUAUGAUUACCCUCAAUUAUUAGUAGUAUUUGCUAAAUUUGCUGUAAGUAGUUAAAUAAAAUAUUAUUUUAAUUUUAUCUAUUAAAGUUUUAGAAUUAAUUUAUAAACAUAACGGAAAGAUUACUUAAAUCUAAAAUCAAAUUUAAUAUGAGAAAAUAGUUUAUAACAGUGAAAUUUAUUAUAAAUGGAAAAGUUGUUAAAAUUAUUUACAGAUAGAUUCACUACUACUGCUAUAUUUUAUUGAUAAAAUAUCUAAGUUUUUACUAUAUUUUAUAUUUUGAAUUAUUUUACUACAUUUUAAAACUGUCUUUUAAUAAUAGAAAUGUCACAAAAUAUGUGUAAAAAAAUGGACAUUUCUAUAAUAGUUGGAUUUCGGGGAGCUGUUGGAAGUUUAAUAUUGAAGAAGAGUUGGAGAUAUGCUUAUUUCAAGUAUGCAGAGGAGGCUUAUUUCAAGGUUGAUGCAACAAUCUGGAGGAGCAUAGAAAUGCUUAAAGGAAUGUGCAUUAGAAAACGAAUUAGGUAAUAAUAAUUUGUGUUUGUGUGUGUUGUUUUCAAUCUCUUGCACUUCAUAAAUUAUGAAUUCUUACUUUCUCUUCUCAAUGUAUCAUUUGAUCAUAAGAAGUAGUAGAGGUUCUAUUGUAGAAUGAAUGCUACUUUAUAAAUCUUAGCUAUUUCUCGGAGAGUAUCUUUUAUAUAUACAAGUUUUACUUAAACUUAUAACAAUUUACACACCCGUAGCAUAUACAUAUCCUUGAAGGUAAUUAGUAUUAUAAAAUGAUUUUUUUUUUUUUUUUUUUUUUUUUUUUGUAAAAACAACUUUCAUUAAGAAAAGAAAGUUAUCAACGAAAUAAUUACAAGAAGUCUUCAGAAUCUUGAAACGUAAAGAGAAACAUAUAAUCUAAUGAAAAGAUCAAACCUCACUCUACAAAACACAUGUUCAUUCCUCUCCCCCAAAUGAUCCCACAAAAUAGCGCGCACACCUGCAAGCCAUAAGAAACCCCUCUCCGAAAGGCAGAUGGAGGCCGAAGAACCCUUGAUUGUUACAUGAACACUACUAGAUGGCCAAGAUAAGCAUUUAUAUUAACUGGAGACUAUAUGGUCUACGAAGCUUUCACAAUAUACAGCCAAGAUAAGCCUUUAUGCCUAAAUUAACAUGCCUCUGUUAUUGCAUCCUUCCCAAUCCAAUUCUUACAACUCAAAAUUCCUAAUUCAUAUUAAAUUUUCUUUUCUUUUCAAACCUGAAAAGAAAGGGGGGGAAUCAGAAAGAAGAAGAAAAACAAUGUGGGAUUGCCUUGAGAUUCUCAAGGAAUCACUCCUUACAUCGAGUUAGCCAUGCAUAUAGUUCAACUAUCAACCUUGACAUUAGAUUCAAUGAUUCAUUAUUCAAAACUCGAAAAUUAAUCUUGCUAGAAGCUAUCGUCAUAACAUUUGGAUUAAUGUUCAAAUCAACACGAAAUAAAGCUAGGAUAUACCUAUAUAUUGUACAAAAUGGUAAAGAACUUACAGUUUUCUCUCUUCAAAGGAGUGAAGUCCUCCAUGAGCAAAGCUCUAACGUGUAUAUCUACAUAGUUACAAAGUUGACUAUGCAAAACUAAGGUCUAGUCGAAGGGAUCAAUUCGUGGGUCGUGUUCACUAGCCAUUGCCAUACCAGUACAAAGACACGUAGGGCACAUAACCUACAAAACAGAGAAUUUGGAGUUAAAAAGGUAGCUUCGUCUUUUUCCUUCUAUAAGAUUCAUUGAUCUAAAUUAAAUACAUGGGUGGAAGUCCCUCCGUACAACAAAACUUUUAGGCCAAAAAAACAAAUGAGGCAAUUGAAAUUUUGAAAGAUAAUAUAGGUUACCAAUUAUAUUAGGUACUCGAUUUAGAUCAUAUGAAAUUUAUUGAUAUUUCAACAUAUUAGAAACUUGUUUUUAAAAGUUAUGAAGGGAAAUUGAACAUUUGUAAAAAAAAAACUUUUAAAAAAGUUGUUUUUCAAACACAAAAAACAAAUCAGUUACCAAACAUAUAUGAUUUUUGUCUUUCAUAUAUAAAACAUAAAAACAUAAUUUAAAAAACAAAAACAAAAAACUGAAAUAGCUACCAAAUGGGACCAUAGCUUUCAAAAGAUUAUUAUUGUUUCGUAUAUUUAAGAAAAAUGCAAAAUCAUUGUAAAACGUGAGAAGGAAAUAGACUUAAUUUUCAAAAAUAAAAACAAAAAAACGAAAUGGUUAUCAUACGGAAUUUUUGUUUUCUAAAAUUUUUAUAUAUUUAAAAGUACGGUGGCUUAAAUGUGUUAACUACCACCUCACAGAUAGUGAGAGUAAUAAUGGUAGUUCAAGAGAUCAUACCUUUCCUGAUCCCGAACAAUUUUGGCAUCUUUCCGUCUUAGGUAGCGACAAAGGCUGAUCUUCACCAUUUAAAGUCGAUACCGGCUCAAUCAGCACAAGAGCUCCUGUAUUUGAACAGCGAGCACAUGCCAAGUAUCCUAGUCCAACAACAAAUUUAUCUCAAAGAUUUGAGUUUGGAACUCAAAUUAAAGAUUUGAGGAUGGAAUUUCAACAAAAACCAUUAUCAACAGACUGUCUUUAAGUCAAGUUAGGAACCCAAUUUCUAUACUAAAUUCAGUGCCAUAACCAUACCAGUGCCAAGACAGUAUUUGCAUCUUUUAUGCUCUUGUUGCUUUACAUUGUUCACUUCAACAACCAUAAGGGCUGAAAUCACCCCGACUGCUCCUCCCGAAAAAGAUGCCACAAUCGGAUCAACUUGACUGCAAUUUUUCACAUGAAAACCUCUCAAUAAUAGACAUACGAAUUUAACUAGCAUGAAGAGGCUCAAUGGAGAAUUAAUGCCAUUUAUAUGAAUUCCAAAGUUGGCACUCUUGCAAAUAUUAGAUUGUUUGAGUAUGCAUGCUGCACUAAGUUUACUGCACACAAACUGCAUUAUCAACCUACAUAAUGUAGAAGUAUAGAUUUAGUUUAUUUAAUUUUAUAUUUAAUUUGAAGCACUGGACAGCGCCAAAACUUCUAACUCUUGAUCCUGUGUUUUGUCUCAUCAAUUUUAAGGUCCAGUGGAUCAAACAACAGAAGAACCAAAUACCAUGUGAAUAUUUAUGCAUGUGUUAAUCAUAGGCCACAAGAUAUCCAUUAUGUUUGUUAUUAAAAAUUUCCUUUGAUAAGUGGAAGAAAUUAAAUAAGUUCUUCCUAUUGAAAAUAAAUCAACCAGUUCGUAGGGAGAGUAUUAGCUCACCUUAGCUGCAUUGGGAGAUGCACACUACGAAUAAAAUCUUCAUAUGAUGUACCUCCCAGUCCCAGCUUCAGCUCAAGCUUAAAUGUAAGAGAAAAGGAGGAAACAUUAGUUAGUUCUAAAUUUGAAUAGAACUAACACGAUGUAAUUUAAGACUGCUUACUGGCCUAAUGGAAGAUGAUUAAUCAAAUGUGUUAUAAAACUGGUAAGAUUGUCAUUAAACGUUAGAAAAUCCCAGAGGCUCUAAAAGAUGCAAAGAGAACACUAAUUACCGUGGGUGCUAAUAGACCUCCAAAUAAUAUUAUGCCAGCAAUAAGUGAAUAGCAUGUAACGUAGUACAGCUUCAGGUUCGCUGAACUCUGCAAGUAAAGUAGCAUGUUUAGAUGGUCAUCGUCAAAUGAUAUUGCUAGCCACAAAAUCAGAAGAUUUUUUUUUUUUUUUUGAGUUCUUAUUUGCAUUGGAACAGACAUCAAGAGUUGAAGAGAAACCAAUUAAUAAUACGGAGGAAGAAACUACCAGCGGGGGUAAGAAUGGAAUGAAUGAUGGAAAAUUGGGUAAUUCAUUCUCUCGCUCUUCCUUUGAAAUUCCAAGUUCAGCAUUUUUUAUUCUCUGUUGUAUCCUCAGCCGACGAACCUACAAAGAUUGGAACAUUUCCAUACAAUAUGAAAGGGAAGGAGAACCAACAUAUUUUGAUUUCAAACAUUAUAAUGAAAAUGGGGAGCAUCAGAACUUUUGUCCAAAAUUUACGCCACAUAGCAGUUUUUCCCGAUAAUAUGCCAUAGCCAAAUAAAGUAGAUAUCAAUUCAAAUAAACUGGGUAAAAUUUAUGCCUGGAAGAAUUCAAGUGGGCAAUAUCUUCAGUUAGACAACUCAACUAGGAUUUUUUAUGCUAACAAAUACAGAUGAUUAUCUAUAUGUAAAAGAUCUCUAAGAUCCCAAGAACAAAAACUAAGGGCAAAAAGAAAUUAUGGGUAGUUCUAUUUUAUCUACUACAAUACAAUUAUAACAAUUCUUUGCUUCCACUUCCAAAAGGAAUCUAGCUAAAAGAUUCAAUCACAUGAAAAAGUAGAGCAUUGGCCCUAGACUAAAAGAACUUGAGCUAUUCAGUCAGGUAAAAAUUGAUCAUAUCAUCGGUGCUUCAAGUUACACUCACAUGUGAUUAAAAUGCUUAUCAGGAGGCAAGAGGUUUUAAACUUUGCCUCUUCGAAUUGUUCAUCUUUUAUCUCCAAGAGGCAUGUAGUUUCAAAACCUUGGAUUUUAUUUCGCAAAAGUGCUCUCCCUUCUCGCCCCCAGCAUACUACUCUCCCUAGCCCCCACCAAAGCCCGUGGGUGGACCGGUGGUGUGAUACCCAAGUGCUUGCAAAAAAAAUUCCAAAGAUUUAUGUCAUUUCCUAAAAAUAAAAAAAUAGAAAGGAAAGAAAAAAAGUGAUCCCUGUGUGCUGAAUGAGUCGAACCAAUCUUGGGAUUUUUGUUUUAGAAAAAACUUUUCGACAGAGUCCAUUUUUGUCUCUUUUUUUCUGAAUAAAAAAACAUUCAUGUUAAAUGAAAUCAAGGGAAACCCCAGAUCACCUAUAGAUGAUUACAAAAGAGAUCGUCAAUUGGUAACUAAGAAAGAUGGACUAUAAUGUUUAAACUUGCUUUGAUCAUUUCUGUGAUUUGAUUAUUUAUACUGCUUUGUAUUGGCGUAAAAAUAAACACCCUUUUAAGCUUUUAAGUCUUUCUUAUCUUGCCUCUCAUUGGCAUCUUUUCAUGUAAUCACCUUUGGGUGCCCUAGCCUUGGCCCCUAUUCCCUUCCAUCAAUGAAAUGUUUAUUUUCCAGAAAAAAAAACAAUAAUAAUAAUGUUUAAAAUGAUCCUGAAUUUUGCACCAACAAGAAGCAAUAAAUAGAACUGAACCCAAGAAUCGGUCAAAGUAGGAAAGGAGUAACAAAAAGGAGGACCAUUCCUCUCACCUCACAAGAUACAAAAGAAUGCAUGCAGCAGAGCCAACCAAAUUGUCUUUUUAUUACCACCAAAAUGAUUAAAGAAGAUCAGAAUAGUAUUACGAAGCGAAAAAGACCAACCAAAAUCCUUGAAAGUUCAAAAUUUUGAAUGAAUGGAAUCAUCGUACUUUUAAAGAUAGAGAAACUGAAUUCACACAAUUCUUCGACCAUCUUAAAUAAACUUCUCUGUCUUGGUGUAAAUUCACCAAGUUUUUUUGUGAUUACAAUCUUUCUUCUCUCAUUGCACAUAUAAAUAGCUGCAUGUGAUCAGAUGGCUUUUUGCGCUUUUGUAAUUUCACAUUAUCAAUGAAAUUAUGAUUGUCUGUUUCUCACUAAAAAAAGAGAGUCCAAAAUUUUGAUGCAAAAGAGCAAUGAAUAAACAAAUGGGUUGGUGACUCAAAGUGAUGGAAGCACAUGAGACCCAAGAUGAAGAGAUAUACAUAUAAGGCAUUUGAUACUGAAUGCACUUCACAGUAUUGAUUGGACCCAUACUAUGUUCCCAAAGAAAGAUUUUUAUCUUCUUUGGAUGAUAAUCCUUCCAGGUAACAUAAUAAACAAAAGCAUGGAUUAUGCACCUACACACCAAGUCAGCCAUAAGAAACUUAACAAUAACACUUAUGAGAGGUCAAGGGACCUAUCCAUGAAUCAGGAGACGAAUGAAAUCUGACAGAAGACAAGCGAUGAGUUAAAGAAGCCCAUUCAGUUAUCUUCAAAUUAUUAAGUUGGGAAGAAGAUGCAAACACCCAAGUAUUAGAUGAUGAAAUCCAAACAUUAGCUACAAUCUCCUCUAGAUGAAGUACAAGAUAAAAAAAAAAAACAGUAGAAAUAACACCACAACUAAGCAAAGAGUCGGUUCAAAAAGAAAUGGAAGAUUCAACAAAGACAUGAGUGCAUACAACCAGCAACUAAAGCAGAAAUCCUAUUUCAUCUAGAUAGAGAAUUGGGUAGUGUUGCCGCCCUUUAUGCAGCUUCUUGAUUCUUGGGAGCUUAACCUCCCCCCCCCCAAAAAAAUGAGGGUUUUCCUCUCAGCAUAAAUACUCAUGAAAAGCUUCAAAGGAAGUUUGAUGUUGGUCCCUAUCUCCCUCUUGCUCUCUCAGUUUUAAGGAGGAAGACUGAUGAGACCACUAGUUUCUUCAUUGUGAUCCUGCUGUCAAAGGGUGGACCAGCUUAUUCAAAAUUUAUAGGGUGACCGGCUACAUGUCUUAAAAGAUUGAUGAUUGGCUGCUUGAAGGGUUUGCUGAUUAUGGCUUCGAUGCAGAUGGAAAGUUAUUGAGAGAUGUACUACCCCUUUUGUUCUUUGGUGCCUUUGGAAAGAAAAGAAUAGUAGGUUGUUCGAAGAUAAGUGAGCUUCCUUUGAAUAUUUUUGAGCUUUUGUUCACCAUACAACCUCUUGAUGGUGCACAAAUUACACCAACUUUUUUUAAAAUUACAGUCUUUUAAUGAUUGUUAACAAUUGGAAGACUCUUCUUCAUUAGCUCUAGGAGGGGUCCUCUCAACUCCUUGCCCUUUUUUAGAUAAGAAACAAUUCAUUGAAUAAACAAAAUAAGGGGAGACUCCAAAACACCUAUAAGUGAUUACAAUUUACAAGGGAGAUUCAAAUGUUUAAAUGGUUGCAUAAAUUUGCACCAAAAUAAAUUUGCAGCAAUACAACCAAAAUCCAUGAAUCGACUAAAACUGGAAAAAUGAUCUCUAAAAAGACAUUUGUUGCACUCGCCCCAAAAAGUCCAGAAAAAUGCACAUAAGAAAGCCAGCCAAAGGGUCUUCUUAGUACCAUGGAAAGGAUGGCCAACCAUCAAAGAUGCAAGAUUAUCAAACAUAGUAUGAGAGAAAAUCACCGACCAACCAAAAGCUUGCAUCAAGAUAUGACAAAAGCGCAAAGCAAAAGGACAAUGCAAAAAAGAUGAGCAACAAAUUCAGAAUGAUUCUGACACAUGCGAGUCAUGUGACACCAAAAUGAAGAGAUAGUCAUAUAUGGCAUUUGACAUCGGAGACAAUCAGCAGUAUUAAUAGCACCAAGGCUUAGUUCCCCUAAGAAAAUUUAAAAAUGAUCCAUCCAAAUAGCUGAAUGGACAUCCUUGACAUGGGAUCAACAAAAUUCAUCAAGUCACCCAUUAGAGAUUUAAUAGAGAACGAUGAAGGAUCAAUAGCCCAAAUCCAAGUGUCUGACACAUAUUUAUCACUCCCAUCACAGAAAAACAAAGAUAAUACUGGGCAGUGGUCCCCCAAAAUGACGGCUUUAGCUGGGUAAGGUUUUUUCAAGGUAACGAAAUUUUAGACACGUCUAAAAACUUAAAAAUUCAUAUGCACGAAUAAUCAAUCAGUUCAUGAGAAUAGUCCCUACUACUACGCAAAAUGUCCACUAAUUCUCACCUCUUCCAUAUGUAAGAAAAUUUUGUUUCGACGACUUCGAAUGUUCUCCUGAAUUUCUUGCAGUUCCAUUUUUGCAAAAUCUUGUACUGUUUCCGGUCCCUCUAUGAUACAAAAGCUGCAUAAAAUCAUGUCACGUUAACAUUUAAUCUACAGAUAAAUUAUUCCCAAUUGUCACAACAAGAAAACCAAAGAGAUGGUUGACUUAAUAAGCACAAAAAAAGUCUGUAGGAUAAAAACAGAACUUAUGGUAUUCGCAAUAUUGAACUGAUAACAAAUUCUUCAAAUCCAAUCCAAUCCUUCAACCAUAACACGAGCAUUUUCAAGUAGCAAUGCUCAAAAAGUAAAGAACACAAGAAACUAUCCACCCAUUUACAAUUCCACACAUAAAUCAACAUAAAACACAACAAACCAACAUUCAUAUCACUUCCUAGACGUUGCCUCAAAAUGCUUCAACCACAACCAGAUACAGAGGUACCAGAAGCAAGAAUUCACCAACCUGGCUGAAGUUUUAUCAGAAGGAUCAGAUUCAACAGAUGGAGCAAAAGAAGAAGAAGAAGAAGAAGAGUCAGUAGAAUCCGAGGCCAUGGAUCGCCAUCGCCACCUCGAGCUCAAUUUCUGCCGUUCUUUACCAGAAUUAAACCUGGAAAUGAAACAAGUGCUCCAACAGUAAUCGAUUCGGAAACUGUGAGGCCGAAUCAGAUGAUUGAUUGGAUAUGAAGCCACCAAAACUCGAUCCAUUGAAAUGAAAUAAAUAAACAAGAAGCAAACCGUUCAACUUUUGUUGUGAAAUUGAAAAGAUUUCUGAGAAAUCGAAGGACUGAGCAAGCCUUGUGUGCCACUUAGAACAACAAUGAUAUUUUCUGUUUAUAUAUAUAUAUAUAUAUAUAUAUUUCAAAUGAGAAAUAAUGAGUAAUAUAUUUUCUUUUUCUUCAAAAAUAAAUAAAAUAAUUUUGUGUGGUUGUUAAUAUAUAAUAUUAUAUAGUUUAAAAGAUCAAAUGAAAAAUGCUAUUUUCUUUUUAUAUUCCUAUUGAAAUUUGUUUGUAUUUUCAUUUGUUAAUUAAUUAAUGUUUAGUUGGGAAUAUUUUUUUCUUUUAUGUUAAUUUAUAGGGUCAUGGGUUUUUUUUUAUGUAUUUUGUUGCUUUCAAUGUCUAUUUCUCUUCUCUUCAAUUUUGAAGAUUAUUUUUAGCCAAUCAAGAAAAAACAUUAAAAAUCUUAAUCUAAUUUUGAGUGGAAUGGCUCGAUUGACAUCGAAUCGAUCAAAACUAACCUAUCAAUCAGUUUAAACUCCUCAACGAUCGAGAUCUGUUGAAAAUUUACUAAUAUCAACCAUAGUCUAUUUGGUGGUGAUUUGGUCUACGAUUAUCUACUACAUACACUUACUAAAACAUAAUUGUAGGCAAAAGUGAUUGGGUUGUUUAUAAACAUAAUUUCAAAACUCAAAUAAUUAUUCACUUUUACAAUCUAGGCUUUAGCAUUUCCUUGAGUAUUUGAUUUUAUUUGGACUCUAAUUUCAAAAUUAUACAGCUUUUUUUCUACCAUUUUAACAAUAUGCAUUGUUCAUUAUAAAUGAUAUUUUACAAGCCAAAAUUAAUAUCAAGUAGUUAAAUAGAACAUUCAUCUAUUAAUAGGGAAAAAAAACAAAGAUCAAGAAUAAUUAAGAACAACGGUACGAUUGACAAUGACUUGUUUACCCAAACUAUAUGGCUCUUGACCUUUUGAUUUUCUUUCACUCCCUCUCUUUGUCACUCUCACUCAAUGCCCCAACUGCCCUUAUCCACACCGUGUCAUCUUAUAUGUAAAUUCAUGGAUGAGAAACUAAACUCAAACUUAUGUACUACAUACUGACAUCUUGUUGUUCGAAUUUUUCUAUCCAAUGGUUCAACUACUACAUGACUUAGGAUGACCUAACUUUUUCUUUUUUGAAUUUCGAUGAAAUAUUUUACUUAAAAAAAUUAUUUUCAAUUUAAAACAUAUAAAUAUUCUAAAUGAUUACCUUAUUAAAUAUUAAUAUAGUAGCUGAAAAGGUAUUAGGUUAAAUCCACGAACAAAAAUUAAAUUCAUCUCUAAAGUAGAGAUAAUGCUCUAAGAAACACAGCGUUCUAUAUACUAUAAGGAUGUUCAAAAGCUUCUUUUUGCAACUCUAGAUGGGAAAUUUAUAGCCUUGAAAAUGAAAACAACAAAUUUAUUCUAAUUAAGCACUAAUUAAUUUAAAUUAAAAACCAAUCUACAUAAUAACUAAAGCAUACUAAUUAUCAAUCACAACAAAUUAAUAUUAAUUUAAUAUUGACACUUUGUUAAAACUUACAGAGCAUUACAAAUUUAAAUAUAUGAUAAAACUUAAUUUUGUUAAAACUUAAUGUUAAUUUUGUUAAAACUUAUAUAACAUUAUAAAUUUAAAUAUAUGAUAAAAGACUGAGUUAUUGUGUAUCAAGUUUCUGCGUAGCAUUAUCUACUAAAAAUAAAUUUUCUAACAUCUGAAUCCAUACCACGGAAGGAUUUAAUCGCACACAUGAAAUAUAGCCCAAAAAGUCAAGAGAACGCUUGGAUAAUUGGUUUAAUAGAUCCUUUCUGGUUGUGACCACACAGAAAAACGACAUUGUCAUAAAUUGACAAGGUAAUAUUUCCACUUAUUAAUCAGAAAUGGCAUUUCCUUUUAAACCAAAAUAGAUUUUGCUUGAUAUCUAACAUAAUGUAUCAAAGGAUCCUUGAAGACUGGUAAGAUAUUGAUGCACUUCUAAAACAAAACAACUGCAAUCAUGAAAUAGUAAACACUUAUCAACAUGAGCCUAGCUUAAUUGACACCCGUAUGUUCUCGAGGACAAGAGAUUCAGAGUUCAAAUCUCUCAACUUUCUAGCUGUACUGUAAAGACCUUUGGGAAAAAAUAGCUAACACCUACGCGAUCAAAUUUACACCUUGCUGAGCAAUAAUAAUAAUUCAACAUUAAGUAGCAGAAAAUUGAAACACCAAAAACAUAUCACUGCCUCACUGUCUGCUUUAGGAACAUUUGUUACAAGAUUGGAAUAAAGAAAUCCCAAAGAAAAGGCCACUUCUAUAACUGGAAAAUAAGUGAGAAUAUAUAUUGAGUACCUUUAACAAUCCAACACCUGAGGAAUUCCCAUUUAUGCACCAUACCUGUAUUGAUACUACAAACAAAUAAUGCUGCCAAACUACAUUAGUAACUAUCCAAGGGAGAAGAGAACACGAACAGCGUUGUAACUGAACAGGGAACUGAGACGACUUCAACACAUGGUCCUUGGAAAUUCUUUCCUCAUCGUGGUCUUCUGUACUCUCAAUAAAGGUCGAGUGAAUCACCAUUCCUCCUACCCUUAUCAUUUCUCCUCAAACUCCACAUCAAUGACAUUGGGUUGUGACUUGGAACCAGAACUUCCUUUUCUUGAAUUGUAUUCCCCAUGGUCUUUGGGCUGCCACACUACGUUUCCACAUCCUGCGCAAGAAAUAAUUUGGUUCUUGUACCCAGCAAAUUCUCUAUUACAGGCUGGACAAUUACCCUGUAGAAUAAUUUACACGUUGGUUAGGAAAAAUGUUUAUGCAAAAAGUAAAAAUCACAAUAGAAAACACACGUCAAGUUUUGUCCCUAGGGAGAUAUCUGACGACUACAUAAGUUGAUGUUGAAUAAUCUAACACCAAUAAUGCUCACUAUGGAAGGUUGCACAUUUAUAAAGGAACUUCAUCUUUCACGCUCUCUUUUGCACACUUACCGAAGAACUCCAUCUUACAAUUUUGCACACCAUAAUCGGACUUUCUAACUCCAACAUAUUAACUUUAUACUUCAGAGCUGACGCGUAACUCUAAUAAAGUUGAUUAACGUAAUAGUUAACAUAGUAGAGUAUGAUAAAAGAAAAGGGAGUGAAAGCAUCUGUGUUAUCUCUAACACACCCUCUUUGCUGCUUAACCAAACAUUACGAAAUGUUUUCUCUACCACUACAUACACUUUUUAUUUUUAAUUUUUAAAAACCCAAAACCAAUAUUUCAUUGAUAUGAUGAGAAGAGACUAUUGCUCCAAAAUACAAGAUCUCCAAAUUGAAGGCAGGAAAAGUAGACGAACACAACCAAUGAAGAAUACAGCCCAAAAGGAAGAAAACCUUCAACAAACUUAGAGAGAGUCCCAUGAUAAACUAAGAGACAAAUCACAGGUUGAGAAGAAGCUUAAAGACAACGUUGUAUUCAAUCUUUCCUCGAAACUUAAGUCCCAAAUCCCAUUAGGCUGGAAUAGAAAAGUACACUAGUUUGUAACCUAGAGAAAAAGAGCUCCUAUUCUUGCAUAUCAGUGACGUUCAAUAUGAUGGAAAGACGAAGAUUCAUAUUGUUUGGAACAGCCACUACCCAUGAUGGAAAUGGACAGCAUAUAAUUCCAAUAUUUUAUGGCAUGGUGCAGCUAAUCCACACGGGAUUGGGUCUCCAAACUUCCAUUGAAGAAAGAGCUAGCCUAAGGAGUGUUUUUGGAUCUUUUCUUUUGGCUUGAUCAUGAUGCUAAAGUGACUUAGCUCCCAUCCCACUGAAAGAAGUUAACUAUUUUAAAAUAUUUAUCUCACCAAAUGUCAGUGUUCACUGGUUCCUAAAAAUUGCAUUGCCUCUUGAACAAGUCUUCAUUGGGUGAGAUGACGGAAGAAAUAUUUUGAUGGACCUUUGGGCCAUAUCCAUUUGUCUGAACAUUCUUUGAGGGUCACGAAGGAAAGAGCCUCUAAAAGAGUGUUCCAAUUCAACUAGUUCAUCAUCACAAAAACUUUUCCAGAAUUCCAAGUCCCAAAAUAAGCAGGAUUAAAUUCUUUUUUCUGGAAUAAGAGGCACCCAAAAUAAACAGGAAUGGUAGGCUAGCUAACAAAGGCUGAAACAUUGCUGGAAAGGGCAAAGCGAAAUUUACUCCAAAAUCUAUGAAUUUAAAAACUUCUUCUCAAGCCUAGGGACUGCUAACCCAAGAAAUUGUAGCAGCAGCAGAAAUAGCCUUACAAUUAGGUAACGGAAAAUGAGUAGGGGAGUAAGAGUUCCUGUGGUGAAAUGCAAAAAAGAUAUUAUGUGGUCAAAUGCAAAAAUCCAACAGAAGUUGUGGUGAAACAUUUGAUUACAAAAAUUGGCAGUGGCACCCUAGAAUAUGACUAUAUGAGUUGGGAAGAACCAGAACCUCCACGAUUAUUCCUCAAAUCCAGAUCACACCAGAUGAGUGGCGGAUUUUACUGAUGGGAAGGAAUUUUAAUUUUGUUUGCCACUUAAUGCUAUUAAAAUUGUUGAUUUAGCUACUUUCCUGACUCCUAUUACUUGAAAGCUGAGCCCUAAUAAAAAAUAAAGAUAUAAAAGGCAUUAAUAGCUACUCUUCAUGGGUCUUCCCAGAAUCAAAUAUUAGUGUCAUUUUCUACUUCAUUGUUUGGACACAACUCUUCACAAAGAUAUCAUUAACUUUAGUAAUCACUAAAAGGUAUGAUAGGUGGCUUCUUUAACAAGAUUAAUUUCAAGUGUCUGCACCAUUUUGAACUAUGACCACUGACUAGCAUAAUCAUCGCACAAAGCUGUAAGAUAUCAGUAAUUAUACAAAUGCACAAUAUCACUUAUACAACAGCAAAGGAUGAACAAGGCACUUACCUUUAUUACAAGGCUAUUGGCAAAAGUCCCAAUGAGUAUUGGACCAGCAAAUGGUAGUAUCCACGUUCCAAAUAUCAAGAACCGGAAAAGCCAUCCAGACAAAGCAAACCAAAGGAAGAAUAUUGUCUACAAGGAAAUGAAAAGAGGUGAUACAUGAGAAAAAAAAGAGAAGAAUAAAUUAGGUGGAAAAAUUCUGUCUACAUUAAUAGACAAACACCUCUGUAAGUUAAAUUACACUCUAUGUCACCCAUUAACGAUUAUAGAAAAAUUAAAUGGUCCUAAUAUAACUCAAAAUCCAGGAUCUCUAUUUAAACCCAAAACCCUUCUUCCAAAGGAUCUUAUCCAGGAAAUAAUUCCAAUCAACAUGAUCGUAGGCUUUUUCAAAAUCUAAUCAACAUCGUCGUUCAAAAUUUGUCUUAAAGAUCACAUCUUCUUGUUUGCUCUGUACCAGGUAGCACUUGAUCCAAAAUUUGUCUUCCCCACAUGAAGGCUCCUUUAUGAAAAUUUUCUCAAUCUAUUUGCCAAAAUUUUGCAAAUAGAUAUCAGCCAAUAGAUUGAGGUUUUAUGACUGCAAAAGCAUAUGUCUACAAACUCAAAACACAAGUAUCUAAAAUGUUUCAACUUCCAAAUUCUUUAGUCUUGAUAGAGAGCAUUUCUUUGCUAGCAAAGUCCAAAUUUGUGUAAGUCAUCCUGCUCUUCUUUAUUAUAGUGAAUUAGAGAGCUUUUUCUACCUCCCUCCAUUGUUCUAUGCACAGAUUCUUACCUGCCCUCCCUUGUACAUAGGACAUCUUUCUAAGAUUUUUUUCUUUUGUGAGUGUUGGGGCUAGUUUACACACACCUUGACUACUCUUAUGAGAAACCCACCUAACCUUAGAAUAUUUAAGUGCUAAAGGAAUUUGUAGUAUAUUAAGGUAAGAAUUGAGCUCAUUCCCAAGUUCUUUAUUAAACUUUCAUUGAGGAAUAAUGAAAGAAUAUAUGAGGGCAUUCAAAAAACAAGCCACAAAUAACGAAAAUGACUCCAAUUCAAGAGAAUCAAACAAAGUCCAUAAUAACAAAAAGGGCAGAUAACAUACACCCACUAUCUAUGAUGUGUUAAACCUAGCAACCUCCUGGACCUCCUUCCACAAUCUCUCAACAUCCCUAAAAGUUCUACUAUUUCUCUCAAGCCAAAUUCUCCAUAACAUAGCAAUACAAUUCUACCACAAAACUAUGCUCUUAUCUUAAAACAGGGAAUUAAGGAACUCCUACUUAAUCACAGCCUUGAACCUCUACCUUGACCCAGACAUAACUCAAACGACCUUGAGCAUUUAUACCACAGUUAACCUUGAUUCUUAUUAAGGAGAGACUAUCAAUCAUCUUAAAUUCCCUUAUUGGGAAGAUUUCAAAUUAAUGGAAAUCUGUAAAUAUUUGAUGAUCGCCAUAGCAAAAAACGUAAGGAUGUGAAGAAUCUUAUGUGCUACUGCAUUUCCUUGAACGGCUAAUUCUAUAUUUUUUAAAUUACUAAAUUAAUUGGGGAACAUUUUGUAAUCUCCACAAUUUCUCUUUUGGUGGAUACUGGAUCCUCCUUUGUACAUCUUUCUAUGUCAAUAUACUGCAUAUAUAGAAUGGAUUGGGGUAGAUUAUGAGUAAAAAAAAACAUACAAAGUACAGCUUGAAAUAUUCUAAACUAGACCUAAGAAAUAGGCUAGGUCCACCAUUUAGCUACCGUAAUAUGAAAUAUGUGUUGGUGGAUUCAGAUUUGAUCUCUUCUAGCAUUUUUCUAAAAGAACAAAAGAACUUUUCAUUGUAAGUAGGAUAGUAAAAAACAUUAUGAAUAGGAGAGUUCUGCAGCUUCUCUUUUAGGGAUCAUAAAUAAACUAGAGCUUUCAAUGUAUCCUCUAGUUGAUCAUCAAGAAAUGCCUCAAGGCUAUCAUUCACGUGUUAAAAAUAAAGUGAAGUGAUAUCAUAAUACUUCCAUUCUACGAACACGCUAAACACAGACCAUCAAUGACACCAAGAAUCUUAGUAACAAGACCGUAUAUCCAAAAUAAAAGCUUCUACUACGUACCACAACACUUUUUCCUAAUGGCGUGUCGAUAAACUCAUUGAGUUGCCUCCUAUACUGCAAAAACCCAAGGAAAUAAGAGUGAGUGAUAAGAGACGGCACUGACAUUGGAGAACAAAACAGUUGAGAAAAUAACAAAAUUCAAUAGACAUUUCAAAGAUAAGAACACCCAGUAUUACGGACAACCAAGAAAACGAGAAACCAUGAUUUUCAUUCUACUUCAGUGAAAACUUAUAAAUAUCUUGGAUAAACUACAUCAAGCAUAUUGGCACUCAAACUGACUGCGGAUCUUAGAGAGAACUAUCUAAGAAUGAUCCUUCAGAAAAUCUAAAAACUUGACUUCCACAAUCGAUAUUAACUAAGCAGGCCCUAUCUAUACAAAUUCAUUUCACAAGCACGAAUACCAAUCAAUCCGCAGUACAAACCCUUGGCCAAUUUCUGCUAAAAUCCAAUGUAAAAUUACGCCAACGCAUUCCAAUUGCAAACUCCCUAUCAAUCUCGCGCGCCCGGUCGGCCACCGAUUGAGCAGCAGAACCAACACGGCGCGAUACAGAGUAACGCCUAUCAAGACGCUCCGCAGUUUUCCUGGCCUCGAAUACGAAUUUCUCAAACCCAUCGUUGGCGCCUCGCCAUACUUUGUUCCAGGCGUCGCCAAAAGCGUCGUUGUUUCCGCCGCCGCCCCCGCGACGGUAUGCCUGAACGAAGCCAAUAGGGGUCCGGUAAGGGAUUAUUAAAGGCCUACUCCUCCUCAAUCUGAAUGGAGCUUGAAGCGGUGGCUGCCAUGGCGGCAGAGGUGUUGAAGCUAUCAUCACAAGUUUGUAUUUACCGUUUGCUUGAAUUCUCUCUUCUUCUACUCCAAGUUUAUAGCUUUUGCUAGAAGGUCUCUAUCGUUCAGCCACACAGACUCGCGUUUGCGGUCAGAAUGUUUUCAUAUUAAAUAUAAAACUUAAAUUCAAUUAUUCAACAUAUUUACUUUCCUUUCUUUCUUUUCUUUUUAAUCUAAGUUUUGAAAAAUAUUUAUAAAAUAUAGAAAAUGAUAUUUUGAAAUUUUUUAAAAUAAAUGUUCGACCGUGGCACUUAAGAAAGGUUAAAGUUCAUCUUAGAAGUGAGCGUGAUAGACAAAAAAAAAAAUGUUAAACUACUUACCAAAUCAAAAUUAAUGGGAAAACGAGAGGGUCAAGGUUGGUUUCAAAAAGUUUUAAAUACAGAAUCUCCAAAUAAGUAUUUCUAUUUUACAAACCGACCGAACUUUACUCAUUGAUAUCGAGAUCCAUUUAAACAUUUACUAAACUAACUAUGAUCGAAUUGGUUCGGUAACGAUUUUGUAAAAUAAACAACUUCAAUCACCUCUAGUUCAUUUCUAGUCCAAUUUUUAAGUCAUUUUAGAUAGAACCUUAAAUAAAAGUCGAAAGUUUAACAUGAAACUUUAAUUAUAUUAGUUAAUUUAACUAAAAAAGAUUCAAUAUAAAUGGGGAUGAGAAAUUUGAAUCACCAAAAAUUAUCAAAUUGAGCUAGAAACCUCAAUAAACUUACCUCAAUGUGUGCAAGAAGUAGGACUUCACAACCUCAAAUUCCAUAAGUACACUUCUUACUCCAAAAAGCCAAACAAACUCAUAUUACAUUACAAAAUUAACAGUAGAACAAUAAUUAAAUGCAAAUUUAAGAUUCAACUAUCUUUAUACUUUUCAAUCAUAGUUCAAAAAAUUAUAAAAAGAAUUAAGAAAAAUUUGACAUUAUUGAAAAACUAUGAUUGAAGAAUCAAUAAUAUGCAUAAAAAAAUUUCUCAUUCAUUUUUGUUAAAAGAAUUAGUAAGUUAGCACAUAGCAAUAAAGAGGCGUGUUUGUUUAUGCGACCUAGAGGUGCACAAAGGGGCUUGAGGUGGUGCAUUUCCGAAUCCGAUCGACCAAAAUUUCCCGCCUUUCCAUAACCUUACAACGGAUCGAUUUAAAUUAUCGUCGCUACCCGAUUCGAGUUCCAGCCACCGGAGAGUUAUCGUAAUUCGCUCUCUAAUUACGGUCAUCGGUGGCGGGUUGUGAUUUCUCCAAGUCUUAUACUUCAUUUUCCAGCGUUAUUUUUUGGGUUUCUUUUUCUUUUUUCAGUCAUGGAUUCGUCCAAAGAAGAAGAUGUUCCCGUUUUUCUUGAUCGCUCUUCUCGGAUGACUAGAGGGAAGAGGUACCGGACUACUUCCCUUGGUUUUCUUCUCUUGGGAGUGGGUUUUGUUGUAAAUUGGCAUGAACUGAUGGAAGAUGUUUCAAAUUGUAUGUACUUAUGAGUUGGGGUAUUUUUAUUUGUUAUAGGAUGACCAAGUUGCUUGAUGAGGAAGCUGAGGAAGACGAGUUGUUUUGGAAUCAGGAUGCUCUCAGAGAGGUAUGUUUAAAGAAAUGUACUCUUUUUUUUUUUUUUUUCUCUAGGAACGAUAUGAAGCUAUAGUCGCUCUUUUAGCUCUUCAGUGGUUAAUAGUAAAAUUGCUCUUCAAUGGUUAUGCGCGCGAUUAAUGUUCAAUCUUGAAGAUUUAACUGAAAUCGAUGGUGUGCACAUCCACUUAGAUUCGGUUCCACAGUUGGUUUUCGCUUAUGAAGUCGUGGUCUGGAUAGCCUCUGUUAGAUUGAUGCAAUGUGUCCACCCAAUUAUGGGGCUUGAGUUUUGACUUAGUGAAAUAUCCUUUCUGAACUUGUCCAUCUUCAAAAUGCUUGUCAGGAUGAGGUUGAUGACGAAUAUGAAGAAGAACCUGAAGUUGUUGAUGAAUUUGAUAGUGAUUUCAAUGAAGAUGUAAGUUAUGUUUCAGUUCCCAUUCACAGCUUAUUCUGUUAGACAUAAAUUUUUUUCAUAACAUGACUACUUUUUAUGGACAGGAGUCUGAACCAGAGGAAGAAGCUGAGAAUGAAGCAGAUGAGAGGUUUUCUCUUCUCUGAAGUGCUUGGAUGUUGGUUUAGAUAUAUUUCAACUUUCUGUUUUAAAGUUGAGUUUUCUUCCAGACCACAAAUGAAAAAGCGAUUAAUAUUUCCUGGAAAGACUUCUAAGAACAAGAAUAAAAAAAGAGCUGUUUCCAAAGUUGAAAAACCUUCCAAAGAUGAAGCAUCAACUGAUCAGUCUACACCUCCUGAACAUCAUGAUACACCGGAUGAUACCGAAGUUGAAAGAACUGUGAGGAAAUCCACUAGAACUUCAGUUAUUGUUAGGCAAGCUGAGAGAGAUGCUAUUCGUGCAGCUUUGCAAGCCACAAUGAAGGUGAGUCCUGAAUACUCGAGACAUUUGAUUUGUAGGACUAAGAUAAAACCAUUAGAUUAGUUUGAGUUUUUCUCGAAGGCAGUUUCUUGAUUGAAUAGAGUGAUGCGAUGCUAUGAUGAAGUGGAAACUUCUGUUUUAGUUCGUAUAUCCUUCAACUACUUGAAAAAUGUUGCCAUCCUACGAAUUUUUUACUCAUCUAUUGUGCCACAUCAAAACAUUUGUUUCAACCUACAGAUCCAUUAUCUGUUUUAGGGACAAGAUGAUUUAAAAAAAAAACUGCAGAAAGAAAUGAAAGCAAAAAAUAUAAAACAAAAUCGUCUGAUUUCUAAUUAGUUUGUUAUGGAAUAAUUUUGAAUUUUAUGGCACCCAAAAUUAGUUCUCCAUUUGUUGGGUUUUAGUGGUGCUUGACUAUAUAAACUAAAUAACGAACUUUUUUGUUUUUGGGUUAAGUAAACAUUCUCACAAGAAAGUUACUGGACUAGUUUACGCUUUACUAUUUUGAUUUAUACACUUCGGGUCCUAUCUAUGGUUUUGAACCGAUGCCCUUCUUACCAAGGGAAUAUCUUUUCUUAGGAGAUAAGACAAAUGACGCUGCAUUCAGAAGAGUAAGAAAUCAGUACGGUUAAAAAUACAACCACCCUAAGACAAAGGAGCUUACAAAAAGGCCUCCAAUUUUGCUAAUUAAAAAAAACCUCAAAAUUCAAUAAGUAUUAAAGGGUGUGCACCAUGUAGAAGUAAGAAAUCUAGCAUCUAGCUUUUCAGAUGUCUUCUAAUUGUUUUUUUUUUUUUCCUUGGAGACGCUUUACUUUCCUCUAUUCCAAAUCUUCUAUAUGCAAAGCCUUAAAUCCAUAUCAAAUGGAUUCAUGUUCUAUUUAUGCGGUUUGAAUUAAUAAUUCCACAUUUUUUCCAGCUUUCUUGAAAAGUUUCUUUCUGCUUCUGUUUCUGCAAUGUUCAGUUUUUGUAUUAGCCAUCAAAUUGUUUUCUCAAAAUGAUUCUUUUUAGUAUUAUAUAUGAGUGAGACUAUCCUUUCUUGUCCACCAGCCAAUCAAGAGGAAAAAUCCAGGUGAGGAGAAGAAAAUGAGUCAGGAAGAAAUGCUUCUUGAAGCUGCUCAAACAGGUGAAACUGAUGGUUAAUGUAUGUUGUUGUAAGUUGCAACACUAGGUGGAUACUUGAAGGAAUCUUCUCAUUUUCUCUUGAAUUAUUUCAACCUUCCAUAUCUAAGAAAUCAUGAACUUGAGGAACUUGGAGCGUGUUUUGGCAAGGGAAGAAGAAGUCAAAAAGAGAGCAAUUGUGCAUAAAGCUGUGUACAAUGGUCCCCGAAUACAAUACUUGUCAAGAAAUGGUACCAUCUAAAGUGUGAUUCAAAAUUGUUUUCUUUCAGAAAAGAACUUCCCCAUGUUUGGAACUAAGUUAUAUUGGUGUAUUUUGUUGCAGGUUGCUCAUAUCUAGAGUUUAGUAAAGGGUCAUCGUUUCAGGCAGAGCUUUCAACCACAUCAGUUCCAUGUAAUUAAUUACUUAUAUAUAAUCAUCCACCGACUACACCCUAUAUUAUUUCGAAUGAAGUUUUUUAUUGAAUUAAUAGAAAGGGAUUAAUGCUCAAAGACAAACUUCAAAAAGGAGGUAAAAGGAAAAUAAAAAAAUGUGAUUAUUGAAAAUAUAGGGGAAGUAAAAGGCAAUAAUUAAUGAAAGAUAAAAACUUCAUAACCAAUUUCUUGCAAAUAGAAGUAAGAAUAAUUUAGAAAAAGAACACCAUGAGAAGCUUUACAUCUAGUCAUCUUGAAAUGAUUGUUCCAAUGCAUCUAAAAGUUAAAAAGAAAGAGAAUAUGGAUCUUGUCCCCUUCCUUUGAUUUCUCACUUUCGGUAACUUCUCAAAUUUUCAAUGAAGAGUAGACUUCCAAUGAGAAACAUUGUUCUACCCCCUUUUCUAAAUUCUAAAUAUGUCAAGUUAGAAACAAAUGGGUCAGAUUUAGUUCUGAGAUCUAAUGUCCCUUGGGAUGUCCCUGUAAGAUAUCAAACUCAUUCCAUUAGUUCUUUAGUUUUUAUCUUCCCCUUUCUUUGUAUUUGAAGAAUAUGUAGGUGCUCAUCUUACCUUGUUCUGUAUUCUGUUAUGUAUACAAUGAUUCAUUUCUCGUUUCUUAUCCCAGUAAAAGAAAAUAAAAAACAUGGAGAGAAUCUAGUAUACUAUUUUGCACUAUACGUUUUUUUUAAGUUUAUUUAAAGUUUAGAACCUAAAUAUAUUUUUUUCCCUUUUUCUUUCUAGAUCCAGAGAAAGCUGUGUGUGUGAUCACAGGUUUGCCUGCAAAGUAAGAUCUCAUUGUUAUUCGUUUCAUAGUAGCUUGACAGCCUAGCUCAGUUGUAUGCAAUUGAAAGGCAACGUAGUCCAAUUCCUUGGAAUUUACUUAUGGCAACUGCUAAAGAUCAAUCCUGUGUACCAGAUAGAUCAGAAUAGAUUUUAUCAUUGUUGUUUUAAGUAGUAAAGUGCAUGAAAAGGUGCAAUCCUCGGAGCUUUGAACACAGGUUUAAUUAAUGCUUUUUAUGCUGAAGGUAUCGUGACCCGAAAACAGGGUUGCCUUAUGCAACUAAAGAAGCUUUCAAGACAAUCCGUGAACGGUAUAGUUCUUCUUGCUUGCUUUUGGGUUUUGAUUUAUUCAUUAUGUUGUAUUUUAGUUUGUAUGCUUUUCAAUUCACUUUAUUUUCUUUGAGUUUCCUUAUAUCUGCAUUAAAAUAGUUUCUUCAUGGUAUUACUUGUCAAUAAUUAUAUUGUGUAUAAACAAGACAGGAAAAUGUUGGGUGGAAGGGCGACUGAUGAUAAAAGUUCAGAAAAAAAUCAAUUAUUUCAUUUUCGCCCAGGACAUAUUAGCUUUCUGAUUCGCCAUUCUCGUGUUGCUGGGAUAGUCAAACAAUUUAAAAGUUGAUGUGAAUUAGGGUCCAGGAAACCUAGCCUUCAUUAGAGGAGGUUUUCGCUUUGAGAAUAAGGCUAGUUUAUGAAGAUUACUACCUAAGUAUAUAAACCUGUGACCCUCUAACUUACUAAUAAAUAUAAUUUGACUAACAGAUCAAACCAAGUUACAAGUAAUUUACAACCAUGACGAACAGAUCAAAUCAAGUCUAGCCCUCAUUUUAUUUUAUCCUUCCAUGAAUCAAAUAUCUCACUAAUUGCUGAUGUGAUGCAGUUUUGCGGAUGAUAGUACGGUAGCCAAGGAAAUGGACAUGGGAGAAUUAUUUGCUUCACUUUCUGGUAAUGGAUUCUCAGCGAGGCGGAAGAGAUCAGCACCUCAAAAUAAAAAUGAAAUGUCCUACUUGCGCCACUUUUCUCGUUUUCGCCAAAUUCCAGUCUUCGACUCUGAUGUUUCUGAUUAGUUUUUCAAGGUACUAUAUUAAAUUCCUGUAUGCCCGAGCUUUAAUGCAUAUUCUGCCAUUUCACGUUCAUCAACUGUUAUCAUUAUUGUUUUGAAUAACCACAGUUGUUCCUGACGGUACGGGAAGGGAGAGAAUACAGUAUUUUGCUUUCGACAGGGGAAUAAGCAUAUUCUCGAAGACUUUGACUUAGGUUACCUUAGAAACCAUAGAACCGAAUUUUCUUACCCCACAGGUUCCAUGUCAAGAGAAUUUCAGAACCUAAUGCCUAAGGUUUUAAGGGUCAUUUUGGGGGUGCGGUUUGUGGUCUUAGCAGUUCCUACAACAAUUCACCUUACUGUCUUCGUCUAGUUUUAGUUUUCGACUCAUGUUCUGCUGAGUGCUACCAUUACUAGACAAAUUCUUAUUUUACGUACUUAGCCAUCUCUUGGAAGAUAUGUUCUUGACAAAGUUUCAGUUAUGUUCUCAACUUUACAACUGAUAGUUUCGGGUCAAAUUGACCACAAGCAUUCUUGAAGAGAGAUUGUUCUUUUAAUACUAUAUAAGCGUUUUUGUUUGGAUUAUGUAUUCAUUUUCACGUAAUCUUGUUAAGAUAUUAUUAGUCAUACAACUCUGAUAUAUCUUGAAAAUGAGAUUAGGAAGAUUCUCAAGUACAAUGUUUCUUCAUGGAGACUUCAAAUGUUUUCGUGGACUAUCAAAAACGUGUUCUCAUUAAGGGAUGUGUUGAUAAUAAAUUUUGAAAGUACAUCGAACUAACUAUGAAAUUAUUUUUUAGCAUAUGUGUCGUAUCCCUAUAAAUGAUUAACACAAAUUUUCAUAUUUAAAGAUUCAACAGGCAUAUGAAUGGUGAAUAUAAAUACUUUUAUCAUAUUGUAUUUUCUUUAGACAUUUGGCCUCUUUCGUUCCCGUGCCUUGAGAACAAUAGAAGAGCAACAUUAGUUCAUCUUUUUACACUCAAUCCUGCUAACACAGCAGACGAAAACAAACAGCAAUAAUUCUUAAAAUCGAAUAUUCACGUCUGCCUUGAUCUCUGACCUUGAAAAGUUUAAUUGUUAAUUAUAGGGCAUGUUUAUUUUUUUGCCACAUGAUAACCAUCGCAAAAAUGCAGGACUAAGAAACAAAAAGGGUAACAUAUAUGAAAUCUGCGUAUGUUUGAUAUGCAUAAAAACAAAUCUCUAAUCAUUUCAAAAUUGAACGAACUCAUAACUCAGGUUUUGGACAUAUUAAGGGAAAGGGAGGAUACUAAAUUUAAAGGCCAAACAAAUUCACUUCAAAAACAUAUGGGCGCACAGUUAAAAUCUUGGAACCAUUUACUUCUUCUCUUCCUUCUCUGCCUCAGCAGCCUUCUUCAACCGAGCACCAACAUGACGGGCAUUUGCUCGCUCAACACGAAGCUUGUCAUAAGCCUUGAAAGACUUCAUGUCUUCUGUAAUCUUCACAAGCUCUACUGAUGGCUUCUCUAAUCCAAUAGGCAUGUAAGAGCCUUGGACUUGGGUGGCAGUUGCUAGUUCCUCAGGAGUAGAAUCACCAGCCUAAAUUAACAAGUAAUGUAAAUGAUGCUUAGAGAUCAGGGGCAUUCCAUAAACACAAAAGAUGGUGCAACAAAUUAAUUGUAUUUCUUUGGGAAUAGAAACUUAGCAAAGGUACCUUGAACUUGCGGGCACGUCGUGGGAAGACGACCACCUUGGCCUUGUAGGUCUUCAACCUCUGUACAUUAGCUUGAAGACUCUCCAAGGAGCGGUUUCUGCGGCGGUGAUCAACUGCAAUGCCAAUAGUUGGUGCAUAUUUCUUUGGAAUGCCAGCUGCCUGGUUUUAUAAAACAUUUGUCAAUUCUCUUGAAGAGUAUCAACCGAGGAACAACCUCAAUAGAAUCCAAAAAAUCAUUAAACAUUCAAGUGUGCUCUUGAAUUCAUAAUGUAAUUCUACACUCUGAAAACAACAUCAUUCUUAGACGUUCACAACCGUACAAAUAUAUCAAAUAUUUCUACUCCAUAUCAUUCACAAAAGACUUCCAAAAGCAACAAUUUUACCAAGUAGAAAACUAGAGCACAGGCGAAGAGUUUAAUAUAUGAAGCUACUGUUCAUUCAUACGUGAAAAAGAAUGAGCAUGCUCAUCAAUAUUUUACUCGUCCAAAUAUAAAACAAAACAAACAUAAACUGAGUUAUAUAUGCAGAUCAUGAAAAAAACUCGAAAAAUUGGAAAUAAUCCCACCUUCAACUCUUCCAAAGAGAAGCCUCUACCAGCCCUCACUUUCAUGUUAUACUUCAACGUCUGUCCAUGGACUAUAGGUCGAAGUGGUCCAGCGGUAGGCCGAGGGAAAGCUUUCACAGCCUUUUCUUGACGAGCUAGUGACCAUUUACACAAGAAAAAUCAAAACCUAUAAUAACAAAACAAGGCAAAUUAAAUCAUGGAUGAACUAGCAAAAAACCAAGACACUCACCAUUCCUUCGCCUUGUUUUGCGAGCAGGCUGGUUGAACCAAGUUCUAACAUAAUUUUGCCAGUGCUUCCUAAAGUGCCCACUAGGGAUAACAUUGUUGUGCUUCAUGGCUCACCUGCCAAACAAAUUGAAUUAAUAUUCCAACCAAGGACAGAAACUUCAUUUUAUGUCCUGAAUGUUACAAAAACUGGUAGAUGUGUAACCUCAACGCAGAUAAAUUCUAGUAAUACACUGACGUACAAAUACAUCAAACUUAAUUUUAACUAUUUUCCAUAUGAACACGAGAUUGCCAAAAAGAAUUGGAAACAAAACCCAAAACAUAAACAUAAAAAAAGAAAACCAAAUCCCUCGAUCAAAUACCACAAGCGGAAACGAUGGGGCAAAAUUCGUAGAACCCCGAGAAAAACCCAAAUAUCCCUCAAAACAGCUUGAGUAAAACUGGUAAAUAGGGAACUGAAAACGCUAAUCUAACAUCGUAUGGUUUUCAGGAAACGAAAGACAAAUUAAGGCAAGCAGAUGAACGUAAAACUAAGGGAAUUGAAAUGAAAAUGAACCUUUGAUUUUCUCUCUACUGCCCUUCAACAAUUCCAAUCUCUUCGUUCCUUCUAUGUUCGUUUGGCUACUAAAAAUUUCAUAUAUAGUGCCCGCUGUCAAAACCCUAGGGCUUCUCCGUCCGGUUCAUUGGAUCGGGUUUGUAAUUUCUUAUACAAGUUUCCAGAUUUGUCGGUCCGGUUCUUUUUUCAAAGCCGGUUUCUAUUUAUUUAUUUAUAAGAGAAAUUACCUUUAAAAAUAGUUUGGUUAUUAAGUUUUUGAAAAUCUAAUUUUAUUUUUAUUUAGUCCCUGAAUUUCUAAAAGUAAACUCUAAACUUUUAAAAUUUAUCUUUUUUUUUAAUCAUUGAAUUUUUAAAAAUAGAUUUAAAAGACUAAAAUUUACAUUUAAAUAAAUUUUUUAUUGUCUAUCUUGGAUAGAAUAUUAUAUUUGACUCUAUUUUAAAAUAUUGUCAACAAUUUUUUAUUCAAAAUUAUUUUCUUACAAAAUGUUUAAAAAUGAAAGGAAAAUAUGAAUUUUCAAGAAAGAAAUAAAAAAUUGAACGAGUAGAUGUUUAGAAUACCAACUUCAAGAAAAUAAAAGAAGGAAGAGAUGUUUUUAUUAUAUUUACUUAUUUUUAAGUUUGAAGAUUUAUUUAAACAAUAUAAUUUAACAAUAAGAAAUAAUCUAGGAAGAAAUACGAUAAAAAUAGUCCAAUACUAAAAAAUACUAGAAUUAAAGUUUGUUCACUAUUGAUCAUUGAACUAAACUCAUACAAGAACAUUAAAUCAUGUUGAGACACAUUUAAGAGAAUUGGAUUUGGUAGCAUUAAUCAGAAUAUCAUUUGAAAAUUGAGCAAAACCACAAGAAUUAUGGCAAAAUGCCUUUCCUAGGGCUGGGACAUUUCCUCAUGUAUUCUCUCAAAUGGACGUCAUCUCACCCAUAACUUCUUAGUUCUUACACAGUAAUUAAAAUUUGAUCGUUCUAUAUUAUACCCUACAAACUUGGCCCCAUAUAUGUUUGAAUCUUGAGAUAGGAUCAAAUCUUUUUUCUUUCAAAUCUCACUAACAAAUAGUAAUAUAACAAUCAGAGUUUCUAAGUUGACAUAAAAAUAGUACUAUUAGUUUAAAAAGCCAUAACUAAUAGUCAAUAAUUUGGAUGAAAAUUUCUAUCAACGACAUAAAAAUAGUUGAUAAGUGAUAGAUAUAGAAGGGUCUAUUAAAGAAGUUUUCAUUUCUCAAAUUUCCUGUGCAUAAUAUCUCCUCUUAUCUUAUUGUUCUGGUAGGAUUCAGCACUAAUAGACAGUAAUUUCAAUUGCCAAUAUAUAUAACAAAAUUCAAUGUCACUAUUUUGUAUAUGAAGAAAAGUUCAUUGUUGCCUAAUAGUUCAAUCAAUCAAUUCAAUGGAAUUUCAUUUAAAAUAAGGUUAAGGCAUGUAUCUCAUGACCUUGCAUUUCGUUGCUCCAAUUCUAUAAACCUGGAAUGGAUUCAAGGUUGUAUUUCUUAGACCGUGCAGCUUCGGCUUCCCUGUUAUCUUCCAAAUUUGGUUUCUUCAUGGCGCCGAGUGUGUUCAAAUAAGAGUUUGAAACAUCGCGACUUGAAGAUGUGGUAGAAUUGCUGAUUCUGCUGGCGAGGAAGCGACGAAUCAAACCUCGGAGAAAUGGAGCCAUGGUAUCUGGCUCAUAUUCCAAGUAAUACAUGAUUCCUCCCAUACAAAUUGCGAAUAGGAAGACCUGCUCAUAUUAUCAGAACAAAGGAAAGUUUUAUUUAGAAAUUUAAGAAAAACAUCAGAAGAUAUCCGUCGUGUUGUCUGAAUUAGUCAUUGAUUUCUUUUAAUUAUCUUUCAGAUGUCUUUCCCUUUUAUAAUUUGAAAUUUUUUUGGUAAUAUAUCUACUCAUUAUUAGGUAUUUUCCAGAAAUAAAAGAAACUAGGUAUUUUUCAAAUGUAAUAUGCAUAAGGCUAAGAGGUUCUAUCGUAAUAUUAUUUUCUCUCAACUAAUAUUGGAUUCCACUCAUUGAGUUUCUACCAAUUUCCAAAGCCCACAACUUAAAACUUUUUGGUCAAUCGAUGAUUUAACCGACAGGAGUUUCUAAAGAAUAAGAACCUAAAUAGAUGCGAACAACUGUUACCUACUCCAGAGUAUUACCUUUUAAUUUUGAACAGCCAUGUUUAAUUUUUUGUGUAAGUAAAUACCUCAGCAUUUUUUAUGUUUGGAAGCAGGUGGCGGUUGACUAAAAUAUACCACCAAGAAUCAACUGCACGUGGAAGAACAUAGAGGGCUAGUUCAGAUCGUCUUCCCUUCUUCUCUAAAAGAACUGAGAGGGCAGAUAUUCCACCGGCAACCCAAUAUACGAGUUUGUGGUCCUUGGUUGCAACUUUUCUAUGCAAACAAAUGACCGCCUACAAUCGUUCCAAAUACUUCAGAACAUUAUCUUACAAAUUUCAACUGAUAUUAACGUGAAUAAACUAUAAAAUUCAGAAAAACCACCUGAAAAAUGCCAACAAAGGCAGACAAGAAACUUGUCGAGCGAACUGCACCUUUGACAGCAAGCCAACAGGUACGACCGGGAGCAUCCAUGAACUGCAAAAGCAUGAAUUAUGUUAACUAGCAACAAGAAUGAAAUUUUUAAAAACGAAAAAAAAAUCUCUGCAACAAAUAUAGGGGAUAACAUAACAACCAUCUACACAUUUUAGUAAAAGAUGCGGAUCAAUUUAUAAUUAAAAAGUAUAUACGCAUCCAAUAGUAAGAGGCUUUGUGCAACUACUCAUGCAAUUUUUUUGACCAAUUGAAGAGCCUUUUUGUACACCCUUGUCACGCACUCUUUAUGGUUUUAAUGGAAAAUUUCCUAGUGAAGGAAAAAAGAAAAAAUAAAUUGAAACCACCAAUUCCCUAUUAUGGGCUCUACGCCAUUCAAGGAACACAAUUUUGGUGGACCAACUGUGAUAGUCGAUAACAGAAAAUAAUUUUUUUUUGGGAGAACUUACUUUCUGCAGGUGCAGAACAACGAAUGGUACAAAUGUCAAAGAAAAGUAAAGAGGAAAUGUCUUCUUGAAUGUGGCUGAUGCUGCCUUCCCAUUGUGAGCCAGGCACGACUUAGUGUUUGGAUGGAUUAUACUACAAGGAAUAAUGGAGGGAAGUUCCUCAAGAUUCUCGUAGCCAGUGAUUUGCCUGCGUGACAAGUAAGAAGAAAGUGCAGCAACAUCCACGGGAUAUCCCCUACAACUAUCUCGUACAGCCUUGUAGACAGGUUCGGCUACUGGGCCUGUUUUUUGAAUGAAGUCCCGGUACGCUUUUGGCAAGCUCUCAGGACGCAUAACAAAGGAAUACAUAACCUGAAACAAAUAGUUGAUCAUGAAUACGAUGCAGGGUCUUGCAAUUAGAAAAAUUCAAUGUAGAAACAUCAUAAAGACAGAUGAAUCCCAUAAUUCUUCUAAUCAAAGAAAAAGAUCCCAUGAUGUCUUAAAAGAAUGAAAACACACCAAAUUCUGGCUUGAAAGAUUAAAUAACUUCUCAGAGCCAUCAAAUCAAUUACCAUUUAUGAUGCUUAAAUUUAAACUAAGAAGAAGAAAUUGAUGAAUUUACUCCAAUAUGUUUAAUACAAAUUAUUGUUGAUUUUAUUUUUCGAUUAGUCUAUCCUUUUGAGAAGAAAUAAUUUGAUUUCUAGAAAGAAAUAAUACAAGGUCUCCAACGUUUCUGCUUCGUCUGGCAGUUAAAAAGAUCUACAAUGCAAACUAUUUGCCAUUUCCAGCAUCCAUCUUUCUAUGCUUUUGAUAAGAGUAAUUUCAUUUAUAUGAGAAAAAUAAUACAUCAAAGUCCCCAUGUUCUGCUGUAAAGAGAGUGAAGAAACUGCAUGUCUCUACUUUGUUCAAUAAUCAAGCGUAUGUUUGAUAAUGUUUUUGUUUCUAGUUUUUAGUUUCAAGUUUCUUGCUUCCUCUUCUUAAUAAAGAAAAAUAGAGUUUUUGUUUUGUUUCUUAUUCUUUCUUUUUAUUGAAAAAAAAAACACAUACUGUAACUAGCCCUUGUUUUUUGUUGUCUAAAAUUUUGAAUUAAAAACAUAACAAGCAGAAAGCAGACAAUCCACAUGACUUUAAAUUACCUGUGCACAUGCCAUGGCAAAAAGCAAAGAAUCACCAUGUCUCCAGUGACUUCCCCAGAGGUGAAACUUGUUCUUGGAUUUUGCAGAAUUAUAGGCACACUAAUUUUAAGAAGAGAAGUGACAAAAAGAAAUAAGUACGAAGAUAUAUCCAACAAGAUAAGAUACAGAUAAGGAUACAAAGAAAGAAGAGAAAGAAAACUGCUUUGAAACAGUAACCUUGUGUGCUUUGUACCUGAGCAAGUCUAGCCAUAAGAUAUAAUGCCAGAGUACGCCUCCGAUUUGAGUCAUCUAGUGCUAAAACAGACAGACCAGCCACUGAACCUGCUAAAACUCUGCUCAUCAUCCCUUAAACAAUGUCAUAAAUACAGAAAGUGCUUAUUCCGGAUCUAUUGCAAUUAAAAGAAAAUGAAACAUCAAUAGAACUAUGAAGACGUGAAAUUUGAUGCUACAAUGGAUCGCAGACUUACACAUUGAAAGGUGUCUCUCUCUUUCUCCACUUUCUAAGCAAGCAUCUAAGGGCAUGGUAUGACCCAGUGAAUCCACCAAAAAGCAAACCGAUGCGACAUGCCUCUUCCCUCACUAUCAAGUCUUUCUCCGAGACAAGUUGCUACAAAAAAAAAGUGUUCGAAAAGAAAAAAACUAAUCAAGCACAUGAACAAAUGGAGAGAACAUUACACCCUCAAUGAGUUUAAUUAUUAAAAAAACGUAAAAAGCAGCAGAAAAUUAUGAUACAACAAAAAACGAGUAUGGUGUCACUAGUCAACACAACAAUAAUUAAUGUUGUUUUACUUGUUUAACAAAACCAAUUGAUUACUUUCAAUACGGUGUAUCUAUUAGAAACAAGAUGACAAAUGAAGGUGACUCUUCAUUAUUCUCAAUUCUAUGGUUUGCUAAAUUAAGACGCUCACUUUAUUCCAUAAUAAAAAAGUUGAUCUAAUUAGGAAGACCUGGAAGAUCUGCUCAAACUCGAGAGCAGACCCAUUGUUUAUGCGGCAAGUUGUCACAAACAAUGAGACAAAUUAUAAAGAGGAUGAAAACUUAUCGUUUCACGACUAUUAUGGGGUCAAGUUAGACAAAAGAAACCAAAAAAUUCAAUGAAGAGAGAGAACCAUUAUCGUAAGAUGUUCUUUCAUUUUAGGAAGAAAAAGAAACCCAAAGCAAAUAUUUAAUUAAGCAGUGAGACAUAAGUUACUUGCAAAUUUUUUUGAAAAAUAAAAGUAAUCGUGAUAUGGAAAAGUGCAGGUAAACAAAUGACAACCCCCUUUACUUCAAUCUUGAUUGUUCCUAUUGCAAAUGCUCUUUUAAUUCCUAAAAAAUUCUCCCCAUUUCAUUUUGACCCACCUUCAAUACAAACUCGUUACCAAUAUGUAUGGUGAAGAGCACAAUUCAAUCAAAAAUAACAAUAUUAACAAACAUCAAGUGCUUGAACCUAAACAAACAUUCAAUAGCAGCAACAAGAAACAACUUUAGUGACAAUAACCAAAAUACCAAAGGGAGAAAACUAAAUGGUUAAAUAAAUGAACAAUCUUUUCCAACCCUAAUUCAAAACUUCAAUCGUCGAUCUCAUACAACAACAAGUACGGAAUAAAAAAUUCAAAAAAACGAAUGGCAUCAAACAAAACACCAACCUUGAGAUCAAUAAUAGAGGAAUAAGACUGUCUCCGCGCGAGCUUGAAAGCACGGAGAAGUAUACCAAUACCAACUCUAACACCGUAAGAGAGAAGGAAAGUCUGGCAGAGGUUGCCAAUAGCAUUAGCCACACAAGAAGACUCAUAAGCAGCAUGAUCACACGGCGGAGGCUUUUCCCGAGUCUGAUGAUGAUGAGAUCCACAGGCGGCUACUUUCCGCUGCCGCCGUUGAAGCUCCUCAAUAGCUUCCCGGAGCCGGUCUUCCGCCUCACGAAGACGCCGCUCAGCCUCCGAAUUCUGGAUGCUACUAGCGCUUCUCUGAAGAGAGGGAGAUUGAGAUGAGGACAAAGGGGGGAAAGAGGAGGAGGAAGAAGAAGAAGAAGAAGAGGAAGAGGAUGACAUUUUGCGAUGUGGAGAAAGGGAAAUGGUGGCAUCUGAGGAAGAGAGGAUGAGGAAUUAAGAGAAAUUGGAGAUGGAGGAGAGGAUUAAGGAGGAAGAAGAGAGAGAGCAGAGUGAAAAUGGCGGAAACUGAGCCAUGAUGAUGAUGAAGAAGAAGAAAGAAGAAGAAGAAGAAGAAGAGAGCUCCUUUUGGCAGUUGAGGGAAAAGGCUUAUGAGUUUGAGAGAGAGAUGGGUUAAACGGGGUUUGAAUUUUAUCUAUUCAGCCACUUCAUAAAUCAUAAAGGCACGUUUUACGAGCUCCGUGACCCCGUUCCGUAGGAAAACGAUGGUUGAACUGAACAUAUUCAUUUACAACUGAAUAGUUUCUCUACUCCAAAAUUAUUAAACACUAAACACAUUAAUCAUUUUCAACAAAUAAAUAAAUUAACACAUUCACUCUCCACCAAUUUUCAUAAAUAAUCUUUCUUAAAAAAUAUAUAUAUUAAUUUGGUAUCGAAACGUUUUGACUAAGAUAAAGUAUAUUUGUAAAUUGGAUGUCAGAACGAGUGAUAAUUAACAUAAACGUUUGAUUCUUUUUUCUCGUAAUUGUUGUACUAAAAAUAAAUGGAUGAAUUUGAUAUUGUUUUCAAAUUAUACUUUUUUUUUUUUUAUAAAAUUCAAACUAUUAGCUUCUAAAUUAGAAGUUUGAUACCUCCACCUUACAAUAUUUAAUUUCAUAUGAUGUGUGGUCCUUUUUUAUAUAGAGAGAAUAAAAUAGUAUGAUGCAUUGUCUUUUUUCAUAGAGAGUGAAAAUUUCAUACAUAAAUCAAAAGAAAAGGAAUAAAAAAAAAAGGAGUUGUGAUAGAUAGCAAAAAAAGAAGAAAAAAAAGAGAGAAGGAAUUGUUGACUAAAUAUAGCAAAAUAAUAAUAAUAAUAAAUGAACAAUAAAAGGUUUUAUAAAAAAAAUUAAUGUAUUUUGUAAUAGUUUCAAUAUUUUGUUAUUUCUUUUAAAAGGUCUCAUUUUAUAUAUUUUAGCGACAAACUUUUUUUUAUGUAAAUUUACACAUAUAUACAAAAAAAAAAAUCAUAAAACUUGAUUUAUAUUUCUUAUUACUCCGACGUGUUUGGAUUGAUUUUUGAAGUGUUUAAUUUUUAAAAUGAUUUAUUUUAAGAUAAAUUGAGGUGUUUGACGUUGGUUUAAAAUAAUUUUAAGAAAAAUGAGAUUAUAAAAUAAAUCAUUUUAGAAAAAGCACGUGUAACCAAAUUUUAGAAUAAAUUUUCAUUUUGUGUUUAAUAGUAAGUCAUCCUAAAUAUCUAUUUUUCACUCCACCUUCUUUUUUUUUUUUUCUUUUAUUAUUAUUUUUUAAAAUGGUUUGAAUGUUCUUUUCCAUACGUGUUCAUAUACAUUUAAAUAUAGAGAGUUUGUAAAUGUUCUUCUUUUAGUCAAAUCUACUUCGUUUUAACAUCUGUGAAAGAAAUCACGAGAGCAUCACUGAAGAACAUAUCAUUCGGUUCGUGAAUAAAGAACGUGAUCAUUCAGUUCUUGAUAUUAUAUUGUCUAAAAAAAUUAUUUAUUUCAUUUAUAUUUUGUUGUUGGAAAUAAAAUAUUUUUUAUGGUUAUUUAUUUUGAUAUCUAUGCUUCUAAAAUUGAAUUGUCCAAAAAAAAAAUUAAUACACAAGUAAAAUAAAAUUAAUGUUUAGUUUCAACUAACUAAAAAAAUUUAAUAAUCUCGAGAUAAACUCAUUUUACAUUAAAAAAAAUAAAUUUUUUAAAAAUGUAUUAUUAAAACAAAAUAUUUUUUUCCAUAGACCAUCCAAACGAACUCUUAGUUUUUUUCACCAAUCAACAUGUGUUUACAUAGUAUAUCAAAUAUGAUUUAUAUUUGGUAUUACUUAAAUUAUAUACAUUCAUAUUUGAUGUAUUAGUAGAUUGAUUUACUAAAUUCAAACUGAAUUACUUAUACGAUUGAUCUACCAAAUUUAUGAUUUAAUGUAUUUUGUAUGUUUUUUAACUUAACUUGAAUCUUUAUCUAUUUAUUCAACCGACCACUUAUGAAAUCUUAAAUAAAUAGAUUAUACACACGAGAUAUUAUGGGACUAACUUAAGGAAUGAUCGAAGGGAAUAAAAAAAGAAAAAAAAAAAAAGAGAGGGAAAAAUAAGUAAAUAAAAAUGACGUAGAAGAGCCCAGAUUCCAAAUGAAUGAAAACGUGACUGAAUUGGUCCCGGUCACUCUUCGGGACGGAAUGGAAGAAGGGAGGAGAUUCUCGAACGAGGAAAAGGAUCCAAUGACUUCGAAAGAAUUGAACGAGGAGCCGUAUGAGGUGAAAAUCUCACGUACGGUUCUGUCGAGUGGCAGUAAGGGUGACUUAUCUGUCAACUUUUCCACUAUCACCCCCAAAAAACCAAACUCUGCCUUACGUAAAGUUGCCAGAGUACGCUUAACCUCUAUUUCAUGAAUAUACUUUUAAAUUUAGUAUUUACACUCUACGAAAUCUGAUUGACACGGAUACUAUAUUUAAAAUAACUUAAAAACAAGUUAUUUGGUAUAUUGGUUGAAAAUUUGAUUAAAAAAGAGUGUAGUUAGUACAAAUUUACAUUUAUAGGUCUCUGAGUAGUAGUGUUCAUGAAUAUGUUUAACUUGUGAAGCUUUAAUAUACUAUAAAUAGUUUGAACAUUAGAAUGACAUUAUCAUGUUAUUCGCAUUAACUCACAUUUUUCAUCUCGUUAUUCGCAUCAAUUUUUCUAGAAUAAUUAUGAACUAAACUCUACACGCCAAACGUUCCUAAAAGAGUUCAAUAUAAUUACAUAUGUUUAUUACUUCAUAUGCUUUAUUUCAAAAAUGGAAAACAAUUCACGUUAGAUGAUACAUUCAAACAUUAUUACUUAUUUAAUACGACUUAAACUAAGUAAAGCAAUGUAUUUUCGUUACUUAUCCAAUGUUACACGAAAUGAAUACUAAUGGUACCAAGUUUGCUAUUUUUAAUUGGUUGGUAGAUAUUAAUUCUAAAAAAAUAUCCAAUACUCAAAUAGUCUAACGCUAAAAAGUGAAUAAACAAAUUGAGUUAAACUAAAAACACACACUAUGCACCAAAAGUGUACCAACGUCUUCAAAUUGGAUUGAUAUAGAAACUAGAAAUCCACAAUCUUUCUUCUGUUUUUGUUAUAUGGAAAAGAAAAGGAGUUAAAUUAAUCUAAAAAAUUACGACCAUUUCGUAACUAUUACUAUACAAACUUUAAAUGCAACUUAAAAUAAGAAUCUCUCCAACUUCUCUUUAAUAUUAAAACUCCUACAACGGUCAAGAACGGAGUCACAGAUCCAAGCAUUGUUGUAAUGUAAAGUCAUAUGGUGGCUCAAAUGGCUUCUUAGUAACACAUUGAACACAAAGCGAAUUCCCACAAAGAAAAGGUUCUCUAAACUAGAAGUCUCGUUGAAUGUGGAGAGAUGACGUUCUCGAAGAAUUUCUCAUGAGAGGUUGUUAUGAGGUAAUUCCUGACACGACCUAAUGAAUUUAAUUUUGACAUGGUUGUAAGAAUUGAUCAUGAAAGUUGGUUGAAAGAUAAGUCGAGUAUUUGCAGCGAUUCAAUUGCAAGUUGAAGUCAUUUAAUUUUUUAAGCAUCACUAUCUCUUUUGGAAUGCAUCCAACUAAGGAAAUAUUGGAGAGAUCUAUAUUCACCACUAACUCCAUUUGUGAAAAUGAGUAAUCCGUUUUCGUUGAUUUCAAAUAUCGUUGAACACUCUUUCCAUAAAAAUGCAACCAAGAACAUCGUAAGACACAAAUGUAUUUUUUUUUUUUUUUUUUGCCAUAAUGCUAAAAUUGUUAAGAUUGGAUGGGAUAGUUUCCCCUAAUUGAUUGUGAGCAAGACCCAAAAUUUGCAAGGAAGAAGGCACAAACUUGAAGGAAUUAUGCCAUUCAACAUAUAUUAUCUCAUAAAUUUAGAAAUCAAAAUUUAAAUAUAACAAAAUUUUAGAAUGCUUCAAGACAACUGAUAUGAAUCCUUGGAAGUUAUUGUUUUUCAAGUAGAACUGAACAACAUUUGAAAGAUUUCCUUCAUAGAAAAGCUCCCAAAAACUUGUUGUAAGACAAUAAUCCAAACUUAGCAUAUGUGAAGUCAAGAAACAAGCAUGUACUAUCCCAGACAGACUAUUAUUUGAAAAGAGAUCCAAAACUCUUUAAGUUCUUCAAUUUGCAAAUAGAAGAUGGUAAGGAACCAUUGAUGUGAUUAUCAUUGUGAUACACUUCCAUCAAAUUCCACAUCUGCUCACCCACGUUCAUUGGAAAUGGGCUCACAAUUUGGUUACUAAAAAGAACCAAAUGGGUGAGAUUUUGUCCUCUCAACCAUGCUCUUACUGUCUAAUUGCAGAUUACGAAGUUUCGUUUGUGUUUGAAGCCAUUGAGGAGGCAGAAAGGAAAGUCAAUUGGAAAGGAGAAACCCAAUUGGGAUUUAUGUCAAACAAAAAGUCAUUUCCACCCAUCAUCAAUGAAUCUGGUUUAGAGAGAUUAGCAAAAUGGGCUUUUGUGAUAAUCCCUUUGAAUCUAUUGCUUGAUAUGUCUGAUGACUCCAAAAUCCUAAGUUCCCUAAAACUUUCCACACCGUCCACCUCUUCCAAUCCAUUAUAUCCAAUACUCAAACUCCUCAAAUUCAACAAUCUUCCAAAUGUGUUAGGAAUGGCUCCACUUAGAUCAUUCCCCUUAGAGACAGAGUUUCUAAAUUGGAUAAAUUUUCAAAUGAAGCAGGAAUUGAACCAUAAAUGUAACAGUAGCCAAGAUUAAGAUCAUGCAAGUUUUUUAACUUUCCAAGCCAAUUUGGGAAUCUGUUUUUUAUAGGUACUGAUCCUAAGUCAAGCACUUGAAGAUCAUAUCUAUUGCAAUUCAUAGAUUCACCUUCAUAUCCUCCAAACACAUCUCCACCAAGAUGAAUUGGUCCAGUCGUCUCAGGAUGAAUUGGUCCAGUGAAGUUAUUAGAAGACGAAUAUAGAAGUUGAAAUCUAGUAAGAACAAAAGAAUUCAAGUAUCCCAAAGACAAAUGGUUGUUUUCAAGGCUGACUGACUCAAGUUUAAGGACAACAAUAACGGAACAAAACUUUAAACUUCCAUCAAAUUGGACGCCAUUGGAAAGCUCACCCCACUCAAGUUAAGAACCUGUAAUGAUUUUGAAAAUAUAAACAACGGAAAUUUUGUUUAGGAUGAGAGUUUAGAAAGUAUGUUAAGUCAUACUAUUGAAUUAGGAGGGACUGCUUAGCAUGGACGUUUUUAGAUAAUCAAAGAAAAAUGAAAGGUAAUUUAAAGUGACACUCCCAACGAGAGUGAUUUAAAUUGUUAGAGACAAAUAUUUGAAAAGAAAGAGUUAGUCAUACUAAUUGUAACGCCCAAGCCUAAGAUUUAGAAUCUAAAUUCAACACUAAAAGCCGUGACAUUCCCUUGUGACCUGAUAGUGUCAUUCUUGUUUGUCGAAGACUUAUAUUAAAAUGAAAGUUAACUCCACAAACCAACCUGGGUUCAAAUUGUUCCAAAUUAAACACACUUAACUUUAGAGUACUUAUGAUUGAGCCACAAAAGAGGAAGAUGGUAGCAACUUUCAUAUCUUCAAGAUCUUUCUCAUCCAAAUGUGAAAUCAGUUCAUUCACGUCCCUUCUUCUUUAAAAACUAUCUGAAUGUGUAGCUCUAAUAAAAAUGUGUUACUAUAACUUCAAUACCGAUCUUAUAAAUGAUUUUCUUACAAAUUAUGAAUUUUUAAUUUUUUUAGAAAUGGAAUAGAAGACACCAACGUUUUGUUGACGAGGUGAACCUCACAUGAUUCCUCCCCUUUCACUCUCUCCUAUUUGAUUGACAAAAUAGGAUCUUUGUAAAACAUGUUUCCAAACAAGCAGUUCUGCCACCCCUAAUCAUCUCAAAUACUCUUUCUCUGCAAUUUGGUUAUGAUUAAAGUGAAAUAUCAUUCCAUUACUACAAGAAAUAUAUGUAAUUGCUCUAUCCAAGAAGAUGUAAAGGUUAUUCGCUUAUUUUAUAUUUACUCAAGGAUGCUUAAACGCUAUUAUGUUGUAACAAGAUAUGUCUAUCCUCUUAUUCUCUAUGUUAUCUUUCAAAAAUAUGAACCGAAAAUGUUGCUUAAGCCAUCGUUGAAUGACUAUAAAAGGAGCCUCUCUCAUUGUUAUGAAGAUAUCAGUACAAGUUAAAGUUCCACGAUCGAAUCGUUAUUCACACCAACGUAAGACCAAAAAGUAUCUUUUUAACUCAGUCCUUAUCUCUAUUCAUUUUCGCCAAAAAUUAAACAUACAUGCAAACGAAGAACAAUGAAAAUGAAAACCAAACAACAAGAGACUGUGGAACGGGAAAGGAAAAGGUUCCACAAGCUAAACUGGUGAAAAUUUUUACUAAAUUUUGUGAAUGAUGUUAAUAACUUUAUUCAAACAGUUAAUUUCAGCAAGCAAAGUGCAAAUAAUCUAAGCCCUUGAAGAAAAGAACAAUGAAAUGAGAUAGGAGCUAGGAAGUGAAAGUAACCCUAGAAAAUAUUAACGGUGUUGUUUGCAAUCCAUCUAUUUCUAGGCCUCCCAACCCCUCAAGAGAGUAGCACGUGCCACACGGUUGACACCUAGAGUGAAAGCACCCAUACGAAGACUGCAAUCAUGUGAUUUGCACAUGCUCUUGAUAUUAUAAAAAGCUCUUGUCAUGUACCUUUGAAGCUCUUUGUUCACCUUCUCUUCAUCCCACAUGAACCCUUGAAUGUUCUGCAAAGUUAUAUAAACACAUCUUUUAGCUACAACUAUUCACCCCUUGGAUGACUUUUUUUUCCUCCUUAAGGUUGUUAAAUUACCGAUUGAUUCAAAAGCUUAAAUUGACGAGGAAAAGUAAAUAUGAUAUUAUAUCAUCUAAUACUACAUCUCACUUGUGAGUUUGAAAUAGGUCGAGGUCCCAACAAGUGGAAAUCAAUAUGAAUUGGAGGGAAAACAACAGCACAAAGUUUUGAACAAAAAACUUUUUGUACCACCUACUUUGACCAUAGAUUAUAUGACUGAUUGACCCAAAAGUUUUGGCUCCAUGAAAUUAAAAAAGUUAUCAAAGGAAUGGAACAUAGUAGUCAGGGAACAUAUUGUGAAUUGUUGUCUUAGAUUAUUUCUUUGUUCACUAACAUAUCAAAUAUUUUGAAUUCUGUUCUACUUCCUAAACCUUCAAUGCUUAUUCUGUUUUAGUUCUUUAUUCUUUCAAAAUUUGUUCUUCAGUUACUUUGUGAAUACUAUACAUAUGUGACAUGAUACAAUGAAAUAAAAUAUUGAAAACUAAGAACUAUAAAACAUAAGAGAGUAAAAAGAAUUUAAACUAAUAUUUUAAGAGUCAAAGUUUUGAUGUUUGGUUCGCUUGUUACCUGAACCCACUCAAAAUAGCUAACGGUGACACCUCCGGCAUUUGCGUAAAUGUCAGGGAGUAUUAAGACUCCUUUCUUAGAUAGGAUCUGUAGCAAAUAAAUUAUAACUGUCACAAAUCAAAUAAUAAGCAUAAGUGUAAAUUCAAGAUUAAUUAUAAACAUUACCUCAUCUGCUUCUGGAUCAGUAGGAUGAUUAGCUGCCUCUACUAUGAACUUUGCUCUCACACCAGCAGCAUUUUCCCUUAAAAAAUGGAACUAGGUACAAUGAGUUGCAGAAAUCACCUCAAAAACCAUCUUCAUAUAAGUAAAAUGGGAUGGAAUUACAAGUAUGAGGCAAACUGUUAGGGACAGAAACCCUCUAACUAUCUCUAGAAUGGUAUGAUAUUGUACAAUUUGGACGUAGACCCUCAUAGUUGCUUUUGGUUUCACCCUAAAAGCUUAUACCAAUUAUCAAUGAAGAUAGUUGUCCUCACUUAUAUAUCUAUAAUUACACUUUUAUCUAAUCAACGUGGAACUUUGGUCACAUUUUCAACACAAACUAUAUAUAUGUAUAUACAGACACAUGAAUCUUGAAAGCAUGCAAGAGUAUUAGAAGUAUUUGACAGCAAAGUAGGACUUUGUGGUUGAAAAAAAUGGUACACCUGUUCAAAACUCCACCUAAAGCACAUGGGAUAAGAACAUCACAUUCAUGAACUAGAAGUUCGUUUGGAUCCAUGCCAUCUGCACCUUGAAAAUUUACUAGACUAUUGGUCUUUUCUUUGUGAAUAAUCAGCUCAGGUACAUCAAUCCCAUUUGGAUUCGUUACGGCACCAGUGAUAUCACUCACUGCAACAACUUUUCCUCCUCUUUCAUGGAUAAGUCUUGCUGCCCAAGAUCCAACAUUACCAAAUCCCUGUUAAUGUGCAGUUCAUAUAGGUUUCUUCAAUUGUGAUGCACAACACAAAUUAUUGUCAACAAGACCAUUAAGUUUGCAUGUUGGAACUCCAAUGUACCUGAAUAACAAAUGUCAAAUCUUUGAUUUUCAUUCCAUGUUCAGCAAGCAAAGCUUCUGUGGCAAAAACCACACCGCGCCCGGUUGCAGCAUCUCUACCGAGGGAACCACCAAGGUCCUAAUAAUUAUGAGAAAGGGGUCAAAUCAAUUCAAUGAUAUUCAUCAAACACAGUUUCUUGGAGCUCCAAGGCUUGGUUACUUACUAAUGGCUUCCCCGUCACAACAGCUGGCGAGUGACCAUGAAACUUAGAGUACUCAUCCAAAAUCCAGGCCAUAGUCUGCACAAAUCAUUUGGCUUCAAAUUCAAAGCAGCAGCAGGAAAUUCUAUAAGCAUAAUCAUCCCGCUGAAGAUAUUUGAAGAAGCACCUCAAGAAAAAUUGAAGGAUACUAUUAAACCUUUAAACUAUCUGAACUAAACCUGUGCGUUUGUGCCCAUAUCUGGUGCUGGAAUGUCAGUAUGUAUGCCAAUGAGGUCAUGAAUCUUCUGAGUAAAUACACGAGUUAGACGUUCCAACUCGCUCAUACUCAACUCUCGUGGAGUGCAUCCAAUCCCACCCUUUGCACCUCCAUAAGGAAUAUCUGCUACUGCAGUCUUCCAUGUCAUUAGUUGAGCCAAAGCAUUUACUUCAUCAGGGUCGACCUUUAGUAGCAGAAUUGACCAAUUUAGUUCAUUAGGAAAAAGUUUAUAUGAAAAGAUGGUAAAUGUUUCUGAUGACAGUACUUAGAAAAGUACUUGUAAAGCUGAAGGGUCAAACUUUUAGUGAUAGAUUUUUACAGUCAACUUUGUUAAAUAGCAGUACUUUUAUCACUCCUAAUUGCAAGUACUUAAAUGCAAAAAGGUGUGCUAGAGAUUAGAGCUUGCAUAUAUAAGCACAAAAGAAUUAUUUCAUGGCUCACUACUAUUAAGAUGACUUUUUUGGGAGUGGAACUUUUUAAGUCCAGUACUUUCUCGAUAAACACUAAAGAUGUGCUAGAUAAUGCUUUUUAAAAUAAAUGCUUUUAGCAAAAAGUUUCUUAAUUAUACCAUUUUAGUAAAAAGUAUUGAGUAACAAAUAAUUUUCACCUGGAUCAUCCAAUGCCUUCACACAAAGCACUUCAAAUUUGAAUUUCCGAAAGUAACUUUGGAUGAUAUUGCCAAAACAUCGUAAAAACAUUGUAAAGAACUGUAAAUUAGAUGUAAGGAAACUCUACAUUGGAUCCUCUAGAAAAAAAGUGGAUUUAAGUAAAUCGCUUCAUAACCAAACCCUACGAAAUUUUAGAAGAUCAUUUUUGGUCCAUAAGCACUUCAAAAGAAAAAAACAUAGUCAGUAAAACAGAAUACCAAUUCAAACUAAAAUCAUUUUCUUAAUAGUAUAACAUAUGUGGUGCAGGAAUCCGAACCUUGGAAAAAGAAAACUCUUUCUAACAAUUGAGACAUACUCAUUUUGGCACUUGUUUGGAGAAUGUAAAAUAAAAUUGUUGAUAGUGUUUGACAUGUCAAAACUCUGAUGCAAAAACCAAAACAACCUAACAAGCAAGGAUUAAAAUAUCAAUGUUGAUGUGAAUAUCGAGAUUUCAAUUUUACAGAUAUUCGUAUUAACAGAUAUUUCUAAAAGUCAUAAAAUUUAUUUAGAUUAAUAAUUAAGUUACUUUUACUAAAAGCUAAUUGUUUAUUAGUAUAGUUAUUGGUAUUUCUAUCCAUAUUAGACUAAAUAGAUGACAUAUUGUCUUUUACAAACACUUAUAAAAGAUGUUAGAUAUAUCCAUGUAUCUUUAGUAUCCGUAUCAAACUCUUGGAUUUACGGAUAUAUAUAUAUACAUCAAUAUUUUAAUCCUUGCUAAAAAGACAUCUUCACUUACAAUUUGCAAACCAAAUAAGACAAAACAGAAAAGAACAAAACCUACAGAAGCCACGAAAACAUAAAAGUUAUUAAAUCAAUCAGCAUCAGGAGCCAACAGGAACUGAUCCCACCAAUAACAGAAGCAGUAAAAUGAAAAAUUUGGUCACCUCAGGAUGAUAUCUGAUCCCUCCUUUCAUAGGGCCACGAGCAUUAUCAUGUUGAACUCUAAACCCCACAUACGACACCAAACUCCCAUCAUCCUUCGGAAUCGUACACUCAACCUAUUGGAUCAUCAUCAUCAUCAUCAUCAUCAUCAUAAUCAGGAUAACUCACAAGCCAAAACAAAUGAGAGCAUCUAAAAUAAAAAUCAAAACAAGAAAAGAAUAUAAGAAUAACCUUGAUUUCCCUAAAUGGGAUCAAAAGACUCUUCUCGAUCUUGGAGUCUAAACCCAGAAUCCGUGCCGCGUGACGGAAAUUGCGAUUGGUAGCAGCUAGAGCGUUCAUGAUUAAGAAGGAAUGAAAUGGAAGAAGAAAAAAGAAAAGUUAAAACUUAGGAAGAAUGAUAAAAUGGAAUGGAAUUGAAAAGAUAAAAGGGAAAGAGAGUGAUUGAAAUGAGAAAUGAGAAAUGAGAAAGAGAGGAGUUGGUUGAGGUAAAGUCCUUCAAUUUCGAUGUCAACGUUGUCCAGUUCCGCCAUGCCAAUGCAGUUUAGCAUCUUCUCAUUCAACCGUCACCUUCCUUAACUUUCUCCUUUUUCUGUUUACUUUUUUUAUCUUUUAUUCUUUUUUAGAAUUGUAUUUUCUCUUAUCCUAAACUAAUUACGAUUUGAUAAUAUUAUGCACUGUUUAUUUUUUUAAAUAUAACUAUAUUUAAGAAGAAAUUUAUAGUAUAAGAGUGCUUAAUAACCACGAGAGUAAUUGUGACAAAGGAGAAUUGAUUCACCUAAUGUCAUAGUAACAAUAUAUGUAACAAUAAUAGUAUUGAAAAGAAUAUAAAACCACAAUAGAAUCCGCUUUUAUUAUUUUCUAAUAGUUAAAAGUGUUCGGAAGAAAAAAAAAGAAUAUUGUAGCCUUAACAAAAAAAUAAAAAUAAAACUAGAAUACAAUAAAUUACACAAAUACCCUUACGGCUCUAAACACUCCAUGUGUCCUUAAUUUUCAACAAAUAGUGAUGGAAUCUAUAUUUGAGAACAAAUAUUAGAUAAUCGUUUAAAAGCAUCUAAAAAAAGUUACUGAAUUUUAUGUAAUUUUCAAAUGUAAUCAAAUUGAUCACUUUCAGCUCUGCAAUAGAAUUAUGCUUGUUGAUUACAAAUUUGAUUGAAAAUAGUACAUUUGAAUGUUACAAAUCAUAUAGUUAAAUGGUAUAAACAUGGUUGAUUAUAUUUAGGAGGAAAUAAACAUGGUCCUAAUACAAACUCUCCAUCUCAAUCACACUACAACCAGCUUCCUUUAUUGCUUUCUCAAUCUGCACUUGAGAUGAUCCAUUUGCUUCUUUCACUUUGUUUCCUUCCUUCCUUAGUUGAUAUUGUGUAUAAUCAGACAACCUCCCAGCAAUGGCAUAAGUGCUAGAAAGCAGCAUUGAAUCCGCGGGGUGUUCAUCAUUUAAAUCAACCAGCUUCCUCUUCACAGUCUCUCCCAAUUCAACAUCUCCAUAAACCCUACAAGCUGCCAGCAGUGUACGCCAUCCGGUAAUAUCACCCUUCGUCGAAGGCAAGCUCUUUAUUAGCUUAUGAGCUUCCUCCAACAACCCUGCACGACCAAGAAGAUCAAUAAUACAUCCAUAGUGCUCAAUCUUUGGUGUUAUCCCAUAUUCAUACACCAUUCUUUUGAAACAUUUCAUCCCCUCUGCCACUAUGCCUCCAUGACUAUAAGCAUUCAAGACUGCCAAGAAUGUUAUCUCAUUUGGCCGAAAACCCUCCUCCUCCAUCCUAUACAAAGUUUCCAUAACCUUCCUUGUCUGCCCAUGAUCUCCGUAACCAGUUAUCAUUGCCGUCCAAGUUUUUACAUCCUUAUUCUUCAUCUUAUCAAAAAUGUCAAUCGCCUUGUCUAGGAACCCAAAUUUAGCAUACAUACCAAUUAGAGUCGUUCCAAGAACGACAUCUAGAUCCAAUCCUUCAUUAUCUGCAUAAUUGGCAAGGUAUUUACCUGUACUGACAGCACCAGAGGUAGCACAAGCUGAGAUUAAGCCUGCCAAUGUGGAUGAAUUGGGUUUCAUUCCUUCAAGUUUCAUGAGAUGUAAUGAAGCUACUGCUUUUUUUAUCAACCCGUUUUUAGCAUAGUUAUCUAUCAAACAGUUCCACACAAUAACAUCUUUCUCAGCAACUUCAUUAAAAAUCGUUCCUGCUUCGUCCAAAUCACCAAACUUUCCAUACAUAUCAAUCAAACAUGUAACUACACGGAGAUUAGAACCUAAACCCAACUUGAUACAAUGUCCGUAAAGAGACCUUCCGUCCAUGGUAUUGCCAACAUCACCCACAGCAGAUGCAACAGAUAAAAGUGUACCCGUAUUGGCUAUCAAACCUCUCCUACACAUUUGUCUAAAAGUAUCUAAAACAACAAUGGGCUGAGAUGCACGAAGAUAACCAUCCAUCAAAGUGUUCCAUGAAACCAAAUCAUUUCUUUGAGAAAUUUCAUCAAACAGUUUAUGGGCAUCUUUAAUUUGCUCACAAGCACCGUAAAAAUGUAGAAGUAUAUUGUUAACAUCAUUGAAUAAACCAUGCCCAGAUUUAUGAACAAUCCCAUGAAUUCCCUUUCCAACAUGAAUUGCCAAUUCACGAGCACAAGCUUUAAGAGUUGUUAUAAAAGAAAACCGAUCAGGCAAAAAGUCCUGAUUCCUAAGGUCGUUGAAAAUAACAAAAGCUUGUUUUGAAUCAUUGCUAUUAGAAUAGCCUCGUAGCAUAGUAUUGAACAUAAAGAGAUUUGGGUUUCGUAUCUCCCUGAAAAUGGAAGCUGCAUACUUGAUAUCUAAUAUGGCAGAAGCAAGAAGUUUGCUCAAUGUAAAAGGGUCGAGAUCAAGAGCAGUCUUGACCAUGUAGCAGUGGAUUUGGGAGAUUUUUGAAGUCCCAUUGCAGGAUUCCAAUAGAGAAAGUAGUUUUGCUUGGUCUGAAGAUAUAGCAAAGUAAAGAUUUUUGGAGGAAGAGUUUAAAUGCUGCCGCGAGAACAGGGAAGGAGCUAAGCUCAUGACCCUGGGGUUGGUUGUAGAAGAAUCUGAAGCCCACAAACAGGAAAACAAGAUCCUGGGGACAAUCUUUUAAAUGGCGGGAACCAUUGAAUUUAGAAAGGAAAGUGAAGAUCAGAAAAGAGAAAAUUGCGAUGCGUUUCAAAUGGGGAUGAAAGGAAAGUGAAAGCCGCAAGAUCUUUUUAAGUUAGUUGGUUCCGCCAUGGGAGUUGGAUCUUCACCGAUGAACCGUCGGUUUCCGGCAUCACUACGUAUUACGUUUUGAUUUUCUUUUUUCUUAGAAGGAUCUAUAAAUUCAAAUUGACGUUUGAAGUCCACAUUUUAUGAUUAUGAUUGAAACUUUGGUUUCUUUUUAAUUCUCAUCUAAUUUCUAAAUGGUAAAUUUGUAUGAAUAAUUCUUUUUAUUUGUUCUUCGACUCAAAUUCUUAAAAAAAAAAAUAUCACAUGAUCAUUUGUUGAUGUCGUGUUUAGAUGACAUACUAAAAUAAACUCGCACACACGAAAAACUCACCUUACUCUCACUCUCGGUGACGAUCCGUAUGAUGAAUACUAAUGAACACAAUAUCUUUUCCUCUCUCGCUCUUAUUGAAUAAUGGAAAGGAUAAUAAUUGUCGAAACUAUGGAACAAAGGUCUUGUUCGACCAUUAAACAAAAUGGUGAAAAUUCACUAAAGAAUAAAGAAAUCACGCGAAGCUAGAGGAGAAAAGAAAAUCACAUCAAAGAAGAAAGAAAAAAACAACAAAUUUGUAACUUUUCUCGUAAGUGACAUCAACUAAAGAUCAUUUGACAUUUUAAAAAAAGAAAAACAAGUCAGUUAGUAGUGUGUGUCGGGUCAUUCUUCAAAUUUUCUUCAUAAAAUUGGAUCAUCCAAAAGAAUUAAAAUUGAUCAAUGAGUAUACAUUUUGAACUAGAAAAAACACUUGGUACACUUUAUGGAAUGAUCAUAUUUAAUCUUUCACAUGUCAAUUUCUUUUUACUUCUUUUCAAACAUAUUUAACUACUUUUGCUUCGCAAAUUACAAUGUUUUAUCUCAUUCAACCUCAGUGCAAACGAGCACAUAACAAAUUUUUUUUUUUUUACUAAGAAUAUUGAAGCAUAUCCAUAGAAAUAAGUUGAGUCUAACUACAUCAAAUAUUGCAUUUCAUAAUCUCUGUGAUAAGAAUGAAAUGCACAAACAUUGUUACCAAAAACAACCAUAAGUAUUUGGGUGUGCAUACUUCUAUUUUCCCUCUAUGUUCAAGCAGACUUUCUUUAAAGAAAAAUAAGCAGAACAAAAACAUUUUUCACACAAUGCCAAAAGAAAUUCCUCCAAUGAAUGAAUUAUCGAUCAAAUACUCUAAAAUAUAUAAAUAACAGAUUAAAAGUAUUACAUUAAAAGAUGUAGAUGUUUUCUUAAUAAUAUUAGUUACAUUACACAAAGACAAACAAUUAGCCCAGAGAUAAACUUGAGAAGAAGGUAAAAAUCUAAUGGCCACUCUUUUGGCUCCAUUUAUGGUCAAAAUUUACAAACUACAAUCAAAGACCUGCAAUCUCAAAACAAUGAUAAUAAAUAUACAUAUCAGAACUGGUACAUUACAUCCAACGAAUCAACUUCACAAUUCUCAUUGUCUAAUAACAAUUUUUAUUUCGAAAUUAGACGAAAAAUGGGACAACAAUGAUUUCCACAGCUAUUGGAUUACAGAUAAUGUUAAAAAAUCUUCCACAACUUAUAUGCGAAGAAUAAAUAUGACCAAAUACUGGAAAACUUUCCACAUGUGAGGAAGAUUCAUUCUAACUUUUGGUUGAGGAUAUAAUGCCUUCACUAAUUGAGUGAGGCUCAAGUUGGCAGAAUAUAAGAAACGAACUUGAUUGAAAUUAUCAAAAUGAAAAGUGGCCCAACUUAAACUAUCAUAUAAAGUUCAAUGUUUUCCUUACCUGUACGCAUAUUUCUUGCAAGUAGUUAUAGCGAUUUGUAUUGCUCAAUCAAGGACGAAGCAUGGAGGCGUGAGGUUGGAGUAAUUGUACAUCCCAAAUUGCGCAAAUAAGAAAUCUGUUCAUUGAAGAUAAUCAGAAAAACAAAGUGUAUUUAUGUCACGAAGAUAUUGAGAGAUUCAGAAAACAUGAACUUUGGAACUACAUCCCAACGCUUGAUCUUUACUAAACCUAAAAUAUGAAAACACAUGCAUGUUUAAAUUAUGGAAGGAAUUGAGCUAUUAGUAGGUGUGAGCUGUAUGGUAGUAACUUUCAAGAUUCAAACCUCCAAACUAAUUAUGACUUGUUUGGUAACGUCUAUGUUUUUUCUUUUUCUUUUUUUGUUUCCAGUUUUUGAGAAACAUAAACGUUUGGUGGUUGCUCAAUUUUCUCACUUUUAAUUUUUUCGGGAACACUUUAAAAGAAACACAACUUUUUGUAGCUGUUGAUACAAUGAAAAGAGUUGACGCUCAAAAUAAAAGGAAACAAAAAGAUGAGGUCGAAAACUUGAACAGUAAAAUCACAACACUACCUUGCAUCAGAACAAAGACUGAUAAGAGAAAAUAAAGGCACCCGAACAUAAAUAGAAGCAUUAUUUUAUUAUUCUUCAAUCAUAAAACAUAAAUAGAUAUCAAUGAAAAAAGAUAUAACAUAAGACUUAUAAAUAUUUAAUUUCAAAACUAAAUUUCAUAUAAAUCUUUAAGAGGACAAAUAAUAAGAAACAAUUAUCAAACAAGCAAUAAUCAGUUACAUUAUAUAAUUAUAUUUUUCUUUAUAAAAAAGGAAGAAAGAAGAAACGAAAAAAGAAACAUUUGGAAAUGGACUUCUUCAUAUCUAAAAAUCUUGUAAACCCCUAAAGCUACAAGAACUAAAGUGGAUGAAAACUUUCGAAGACGAGUAAGGACGGGUAUCUUAAAGGUCUGAUAUCUAUUGUGCUAAGAAUGGAAGUACUUGAAAGAAGUGGGAGAAAACUAACAAUAAAUAAAAUCAAAGAAAUGAAUUAUCAAAUCAAGGAACCAAACUCGAAAGGGACUUCUGUGAACUCGUUUGGCAAAUGAAUCAAAAGUUCUAAAGUAAAGUGAAAGAUGAUCAAGUGUACAAAAAUUUAAAUAAAAGAUAACUGAUCCUAUGAUGAAAACAAACAUUAUUUCAAUGACAAUAUUUCUGAAAUAGUACAUAAAUAACAGCCACCUGUUUUGAUGUAGCUGCUGAGGAGCCCAUCGCAUUUUCAAUUCUUAAUUUCUGGAAAUGCUCCUGAAACAACUUACUGCUUAGAAUUGAGGUAUUAAAGAGGAAGGCGUUCUCAUUUCACAGGUUAAAAGAAAAAUCGUCAAAAAACCUGUUCCACUAGGCCAAUUUUAUGUACACUUGUUUUCAUUGCAGAACUAUAUGUUAUGAUAUAUAUAUAUAUACAUAUGUCCUUUAUUGUAAUUUUACAUAGUCUCUAGGGUUUAGUUUAUUCUCUUUAUAAAUAUGUAACAUUGCUUUGACUCAAUGAGAAUAAGACAUACGUUUCUGAAUUCUAGAUUACACUAUAGAUACUGAAGAUCACUACGAUUAUGAUUAAAAAUACAAUAUACAGAGAUAUUCUCAAGGCCUGCUCAUGUACGAGUUCAGCUUUCACUUUGGUCCAAGGUAUGAAAUUUGAAAUGCAAAACUGAAAUGAAAGGGUACAGAUUUCACAUCGUUCCAACAAAUGAGAUCUCCUCAAUCUCAGGAGCUUAGGCUAUAUUUGGGAUUGCUUUUGAGUCUUAAAAAUGAUUAUAUAAAAAUCGUAACCACUGUAAGCGUUUGGUAAGAUUGAUUAUUAAUAAAUUGUAAGAAUCACUUUUUCAAUCACAUUCAUUCUCUGUUAUUAAAAUCUAUUCCCUAAUAGCUUUUGGAAGUUUUCAAAUCAAUUAGUUCAAUGCCACUGAUUUUUAUUUAAGAAUUUUUUAUACGCAUAAAAAAUGAUCUUCUAAAUAAAUAAUCUAAUAAAACAAACAAGAUAUAUACUUAUUCUGAAAGCAUAUUUAUGAUACGGGAUUCCAGAUAAAUAUUUAAAAAUAUAAAUUAUCAACAAAUAAAAUUUUCAAAUUUUCAUUAUAAUUCAAGCUAAUAAGCAAAAGAGAACAAACCUGUUUUUCCUGCAUUAAAAGGGCACGCUUGUCAGCAGGAAUCUGUUCCCAUCUCAAAACCUUUCACAGAAGAAAAAGUUCGAAGGAUACAUCAUAUAAACCACCCUUAGAGGAAGAAACAGAGAAAUGCAAAAAAGAGGUAACCAAAUGUACUUACAUAUUCAGCAUACUGAAGUGCUUCAUUACUAGUCAAUGAUGACUUCAAUGAACGCAAAACUUCCUGUGUACACAACACAAUCAUAUAAAUAUUCAAAGAGCAUAGCAUAGUUGAUCUCCAACAAAAAAAAAAACGAAAGCAAGUUAUAAAUAUGAUAUAGUGAAAAACUGACAAAUAUAAAGAUUUGCUAUGCAGAACUAUGGGAUCCAUUGAUAUAAGUACCGAUAAAAUAAAGACAACAAAAUUCUGAAAUGUUAAAAUAUGUUCAUCAUUCAUUUUACUUGAUUUCAGUAAACAAACAUUUUCUAAAAUAAUUGAACAAUUGAAAUAGAUUUAUAAGUAAUUCACUUUGAUGAUAAGUUUUUUCUCUCAUUUUAUGGCUUCACAGUUCACCAUACAAUUUUCAUAUAUUACUAUUCGUAUUAGUCAAACAAUGGGGUUUUGGAAGUCGGUUGAACUGUGGCCAAAACAAUUAAAAGCUGGUGGUAGCUUCAUUACAUAUAAAAUUAAAAAGAAAAACUAGCCCAAUUAAUAAAAAGUUAACCUUGGUUUUGCAUUUCUUCACUCUCAGCCGUUCCUCAAUUACAAAGCCAACCUGUAACGUUAUGAAAAAAGUAUUUAACUUUCCAUUGUCCCAUUUAUCGAUCAUCAGAGCAUAGAAGUUCAAAUACAGCAGUGCAACGGACAUACAAAUUAUUUAACUCUCUAUAGUCCCAUUUAAUUGAUUGAUAAUUCUUUGGUUUCUUUCCUUACCUUUGCGACCUUCUCUGUUUUCAAUCAUAAUCUAAUAGCGGAUAUAUGAAAGGUUAGAAUACAGUUUGCCAUACAGUUAUGGUCAAUCACAAACUCUUCAUUGAAGAGUUUGCUAUGAUCUUUUAUUCACACAUCAGCAUCUGUUAACACUGAUAAUUACACUGGACAAUAAUUACAAAUUCUGCACAUGGUGGCUUAUUCAAGUUUCAAACUAGGUAGAGCAAUUACUAAUGUGAUAAACAUGACCUGAGUUUUUAAAUAUAAUCUGGAAACAAUCAAACUUUAGAUUAUAUGUUCAUAAAAAUCAUCACCUUAUCAAUCAACCUCUUAGGAUCUUGAAAUGCCUUCUUUUUGGCCCAUUGAUGAAAUAAAUGGGAAAUGACUGCUCUGUUAUCCACAUCAAAUCUACAAUUGGAAUAGAAAAGACUUCUCACGUCAACAAGAAGACGAAGAACUAUAUCAAUGUACAAAAUCUUCUUUUUGUUUUUGGGUAAAGAUACACGAACAAAAAAAUGGAAUUGGAAGGGGGAAAACACCUUUUUAGGAAAUUAUUCCCAUUAGUAAUCUCUAUUGGUUCUUCAAAGUCUCUAAUGUCGAUUUGGUUGUUAGCAGGAUCAUUUGAUGCCACAUCCAAAUGACCUGAUAUCGAUUUUUCAAGAUGCAUGUAUGCAUUCUGCUCUAGAGCAUCAUGGUGCUUCUUCUGCAAGUGCUGGAUACUAACUUCAGCCUAGAAGAAAAGAUUAUAUCAUCAACAAAAGUUCAAAAUUAAAUCAGGCUGAACAAUUAGCAAAUCAAAAGCCCUACAAAGAGAUAAGGUAAACUAUCAUGUUUGGCAGAGCACCUUCAUCUUCAUCAGUAACUGAUUUUUCUUUAAUAAUAAACAGCUCAAACGUUCAUUAAGAACUGAAUUAAUUCAGUAUCUUAUAUUUUCAGAGUAUUAACUAAUACAGAACGAAUGGUUAUUAAGUAAAAGUUUAUACUCAUAUGUGCUUAAAACAUUUCCAAACAAUUAUUCAAAAGGAUUUCACAAACAACAAUAUUUUCAAGGAUUCCAAAAAAUGAUGUGCCAAGGGAUAUAAGAACAAAACUGAAUUGUAAAUGGAUACCUACAUAGUUCGAGAAAUACAUUAAAAAAAUUCCUGAUUUAUUUUAUUUUCUUACCCAGCUAUAACAUCUUCAUUUUAACCCUCUCUCCCUACCAGUACAGCCCUCAUCUUCAUCCCAUUGACGUUGUUGGCAAUCUGAUUGCUUCUAGCAAUGGUCUUUUUAAUAUAAAAAAUCAAGACUUUAUGGUUGAGAAGAAACGAAAAAGUACAUAAGGAAAUUCAAAAAGACAAUCCGACAGAAGGAGUUAAAAGAAAGUGUAGAAGGAGUAUGAGGUAAUGAAAUCUAAAAUAAUUAAACUUGACAGAAAACCACCUAUUGCUCCCACCCCAGCAAUGAUGAUCCUCCAGUAAGUCGUGCCUUCCCUUUCUAACUGUGUCCUAGGCCUACGUCCCCCUUGACUUCCUUUUUUUCCUCCUCUCCACCAAUUCCUCUUCUAAUCCUUUGAUUCCUCAUGUUCAUGACAUUCCUCCAUCUUACCAUUUUCCCAAUUUCGUCAAAUUCUGUUCACCAUUCACCCCCCAAAAGGAUUUCUCCACUGCCCCGCAUGUCCCAACUUGUCAUCAAAGACCUCUUUUCUGAUGAAAAUUUGUUUACUCUUGUCCAUUUAAAGCUCCCACAAAACUAAUCUAAUCACAUUAUACAAAUGACAAGAAAUACACAAGACUAUUUUCCAAUAUAUUAUACAGAAAAAAUAUGCUCUUUUAUCUAGUUAAGCGUGAAAAUUUUUCCAAUAUGAAGAUUAGUGAUAGCAUUUAUCAAGCUUUGUGAGAGUAAAUAGUACAAAAUUGACUAGAAUCAAUCUGUUUUCUAUUUCUCAAAAGCAUUAGCCCAAGAGUGGAUAAGGUACCAUCGGUUUAGUUAUUAUACUUAUUUAUAAAUUAUAUAUAGGAAACAGUACAUUUUGAUAAAAUUUAACCAAAAAUACCUGUAUCUCUCGGACAUGAUCUGGAAUUUCUUUGAGAAAUCUUGAAGGUUGGAGUAUCUAAAGGAAAUGCUAGAGUUAACUAAAUUUGUCUACCAUUUAAUGAUAAAAAAUAUUCAACUAAAACAAACCUGCCAAUCAGAGUCCAUCAAGACAUACAAUAUAAAAAGUUUAUGCCUUGCACGAGUCAUUGCAACGUAUAAUAAACGACGUUCUUCCUGAUAUUUUCAAAUGAGAAUCAAUAUGGCACCAAUGAAAGACAUUCUAAAGAACAAAGGGCAACAAUGUUAUUUACAUGGAAAAACAUACCUCAAUUGAGUUUCCGUUUUCCAUUGUAAUGCCCCUAGAUUCAUGCAAGAGAGGAAUCUCUGAUUCAUUGGCCUAGGAACAUUGAAGUACAAAAUGUAUUGUCAUCUCAAAAGCAAAAAUGAAAAAGUAUACCCAAAAACUUACCAAAGAAAUCGACCAAGCAAACUACAAAUAAAAAUGAAAAUUCAAUAAUGUCCAAUUACUAUUGUACAUUUUUUUCCUUUGAUAUUUGUACAUGUGUCAUACGCUCAUACCCAAUCACUUUGCAAGAAAUCAAAACAAGAACCACUAUAAACAUGACAAUAACAGAGCAAGGUACUAAACAAACGCCCUUUUAUAGCUUUCAAUUACCUUAAUUAUGAAGACAAUGUCCCACUCCAAGCCUUUUGACUGCAUAUGGAAGUGAAGAAGGAACUUACCCAUGAAACCAGAAAAAUAGAGCAAUAACAAUGGCACUAAUAAAAUGUUGUUUCCAAAUCUAAGACAAUUCUAAAACUUAUGCAAGAAAGAACCUGGUGAAUGGUAGUCAGAGUGACAGAGCUUUUAUUGUUAAGACGACGAGCACAGAAAUUUGCUUUUUCUCUCUCAGAUAUAUGGUCGAUAAAAGCUUUUAGAGAACUAUGACAACCUGGCUCAUUUUCUACAAUUUCUUUCUUCUCUUCUUUCAAAGUAGAUUGACUUGACAAAAAGUCGGAGACAUCAUCCAAUAAAUACUGAAGGACCUUCAAGAACAAGAAAUUCAACAGCAUAGAAUAAAUCAAGGCUAAGAAAAUAAUAUUACAGAAAAGGAAUGCCACUGGCAAAAGAUCAUUUGCACUUUUUUCCCAUCUAAAGUGAGUGUAGAUGGAAGUUUGCCACAAAUCAAGUAAGGAAUAUUCUAUUCAUCUAAUUGUUCUUUCAUUCAAAGGAUUAUGAACUAGGCCUAGCUUUUCUGGAGUGCAUUGCUUCUUAAACUUUACUCGUAUUCUUAUUUUCAUAGUACACGUAAUCUAUUGGCCCAAUGUUAAUUAAUUUUAAAUGCCCAUUCGUUGAUUGGUUUCUAGAUCUAGAAACCUUACACUUGAAGAGAUAACUUUGGGCUGGAUAAGAAUAUAACAAAAAGGAAUUUAGAGUCGAAAAACCUAAAAUCCCAUUUUGAAGUUUAAAGAAUAUAGGUUUCAAGACCUUGAAGUUCAUCGAAAUUAAAUAGGGAUAUCUGCUUCCUAAUUAACAAAUGGAACUUGGCUAGCACUCCAGGAAGAGGCGGUUAAGAAGUUUUGUGUCCUUGAUUUAUGGAAUUGAGAGUUUUAGACAUGGAUUAUACCUGAUAAAGAUAUCAGUGUUUGUCAGGAAAUUUUGAUUUUUUAAAAGAAACGGAUUUCAAUAGGAAUCAAACCUUCAACAAAAAAACUAUCAAUAAGUCUAAAAUCAUUGUGUUCAUUGAGCGAUUUGCAUCAUCUACAUCAAACUAUAAUAUCGUAAUAGCAUUGAUUUGUACUCACAGAUCUAAUAUCACUGUCUUCAUUCAGCAAUUUUCCCCCAUCAACAUUAGUAACUGCCUGUUGCUCCAGAAGAUACUUCUGAAGAUAUGCCACCAGAUAUGAUGUCAAAAUUUGAGAAAAUAGCAGCCUUCAUACAAGUUCAGAAAGAAUAUUUUCCUAAUUAAAAACAUAACUUGCCAUCUCUCCUAUUCGGAUUCGGAAAGAAAGUCCAAGAACAAAGUUAUAAAUAAAAAACUAUAGCACAUUAAAAUUUUUUGGUAAGUUGCUAACAAUCAGAACAAGAAAUAACAGUGAGGCCUCCAAUUGUGUAAACUUACAUGAGGAGGGACAAGAAGGGAAAUUAGCAAGGAAGUUGUUUAGUGGGGCCAGAGGAGAUCAUGUGUGAUAUGGCUGGCUGCUGGAUAGUCGUUCAUUAUUUCUUCAGGGACAGGAAGGAGGGAGGACCAUUCUGCAUUUUGUUUACGAUUUGUCAAAUUGGAGGAGAGGAGCCAGCACUCUUGAAUAACUGAAAUGUCUAUCUUUUUAUCUUCUCACUUGUUGUAUCAUUAUCAUGUUGAACUCUUUAAACAUUUCUGGAUAUUUUCAAUGGAACAGGCAAUGUUCUAGUCUAUUGUGUGUUCUCUAUUACUUUGAUUGUUUCCAAGUAGUAAUUGAACUCGGGAAACUUAACAUAAGCAAUGUGAUAAAUGAGUUUUUGAAAGUUGUUUAGUAUAUUCUUCCAGAAGUACAGCUCAUGAAGUUAUCUUUUUUUCUUUUUUUGUACAAUAGGGUCAAAGGUAUUCAACCACCAACUUACAAUAGCUAACACAUACAUGAAGUUAUCUUCAAUUCCAAAAAGAUAAAAAUGUUUUCAAGAGAGAGAAGAGUAACCUAAGAACUCUACUAAUAUGAGCCCUUAGUCCAGCCCAUCAGAAUGAGUAACAAAAUGAACUUUCCACAACAUGAUGGCAAAAAUCCUGACAGAAAUACUCUAGGGUGAAAAUAGUUUCAACCUUUUCUAGAGGAACCUAUUCAAACCAACCAAACCUAAUAUAAAAGCAAGGAAUGGUAGUUCCUGUAUUUAAGCCUCUAGAAGCUAAUGAUUCGUCCCAUGGAUUUUGAAAUUAGCACACUAAAAAACACUCUUCAAAUAUCCUCUUUUACCAUUGCAGGUGAAACUUUUUCUAAAAGUAAGAACAGCAUCCAAACAACUUUUAUAAAAAGGUGGAAAUGAAACAGCAUCCAAACAAUGCAAAUCUAAAAGUUAGAAUGUGCUUGUAUAUAUGCUUCUUUUUUUUUUUAUGGAGGUAAGCUUAUUUAUUAAUAUAAAACCCAUAGUACAAGAGAAUUAUAUAAUGAGAAUAGUAAAGAAGCCUAAAAAUAAAAUUAGAAACAGAUGAUCAGGAGGCACACUCGGACAUCUCAACUAGGUUGACACCCUAAGUGUCAUCAUCAUAUCCCAUAAACAAGCAAAGAACACAUAGGUACCAUAUAAAUCAGAAGACAAAACAGCCAUAGCAAAACAAAACGAGGAGAAAAGAAACACCACAGAGGAAGUAACACUUUACAUGUGCUUGUUUUAAACUCUGUCAAAUGGAUUGCAUAUGAAAAUUCAUAAAAUGAUCAAUGAUUGAAAGAAGACAAACCUCAGGUAACAUGUUAGACACAGAGGUUAUAACUGUUGAAAUUGAUUGUUCCUGCAAAUAUGUUACAAAUUAGAUUGAAAUUGAAUUAUUUGUGAUUCUUUUGUGGAAUUGAACUUUCAUUGAAAAAACAAAACUAAAAUAAUAAUAAAUAAAUAAAAUAAGCUAAAAAGGAAUAAAACCACAAAAAAGGGAGUUCGACUCUAAAUAUAGAAAAGAACUUCAAUAGAAAAGAACAAUACCAAAAUGAUUACAUAAAAGGCCUAGUGACCCACAUCUAAGAGACAGUCAUUAAACCUAACCACCUCUCAAGACUCACCAAUCUAUCAACCUGUCUAAAAUUUCUAUUUCUCUCAAGUAAAAUAUCCACAAAAUUGCAAAGAGGCUAGCAUGCCAAAACACUUGGCCUUUUCCCUACCCGGAGAGUUAGAAACACCUUCUUCAACGUAGAGAAUUGUUUUUAUUCAUGAUUUGUAAAGUAACAAAAUAAAUGGGGAAGAAAAGGAGUAAAUUCAAAAGGCUAAUAGAUUGCCAGUUCCACUUUCCAAAUAAGAAAAAGUGGCAGGAUCAAGAUUUUUAAAAAUUUAACAUAAACCAGACAAAAGAAUGUCUAGAGUUUGAACCACUGGUGCGGGAGAUUGAGAGAAGUAACUCUCCUACCCCUUGGUGUCUCCUAAGGAUAGCCUAUAGUUGGGCAGGUUUCCUUAGAUUUAGUGGGAAUAAGACCAAGUACCCCAGGUCCCCAAUUACACAAAAAUCAUCAUGUAGAUACCGUAGUAGCAUUCCAUGUGCAUUACCCUUAGAACAAGUCUCGAUAUCAUCUCUAGUGUUGACAGCACCUUACGUCCUUGGUUAAGUUGGCUCCUGUAAGAUUUGGGAUGGAUCAAAAUUCAGUAAUAUAGCAAGAGCCGAGAAGAAAGAAGAAUAAUGGAACCACCAACAGACAUACAACCCUGUUAAAACAUUCAUGUCCUAAGGUAAUAAUGUCGUUCGUUAGAUCCCAUGUUUCCUUUUGGACCACAACUAGUUGGCUAAAAACCUCAUAGGAUAUGAAAUUGGUAGAAGACUACCAUGGCUUUAACCAAUCCUCCCUUUCAUUAUUUAAAUGGAUGAAGAUAUAGAGAUCUUAAAAAACUAAAGAAACAAAAGUUCUUUAAUAGUUUUUCUUUACAUGAAGGCUUUUAAGCAUCACAUUUCUAAUUCCUGUAAUAAAAUUAUAUUUAAGCUUAAAAAACACUGUAGUGUGUCUCAAGGUCCUCAUACCUAGGCAAGCAACUUAAAGUAGAGCAGCAAAUGAAAAAUUGAUAUCACAUACUAGAGCAAUGAUGAUUUUAAAUGUAGAUUUCAAAAUUUACAGAUGAAUCUCUAAAAUUUGACCUCUUUAAGGUGCCCGAAAUCUUGGAACUGAAGACAUCCCUGGCAGCAUCAAUAAAUCUACAUUUUCUUACCGUUGAAAUUUUGUCAAUGUGAUUAAUUAUCUGCAAAAAUAAAAAGAAAGGAUGAAGGGCUACCUUCUAGCAAACAAAACCGACUUUCAAGAGAAAAGCAAAAUGCUGCUAUCACAAUUCACAAGGGUCUUAAAUAACAAAGUAAAGAAAAAGAGAUAAGAGAGAAGGAAAAAGUUACCCUCUUCUUGUCCUCUUUCUCAAAAGGCAUUAAAGCCUUGAAAGCUUGAUGAUAAGCACCAUCAUCACAAUCAGGAAAUGUUGUUUUAAGUAGAGCCAGAAUGGUUUUGACUACCUAAACAGAAGAGAAUUUAAUAAGUUUCAAGAAGUGAAGUUCUGGUAGCCAUAGUUGGAAUAAAGUCAAUAAGUUGCAAGAUUAAAAAUAAAAUUAGUUCGUAAAAUUUCAAACAAAAUGACCAACCACACCACAUAACUCUAAAACACCCAUAUUAGUUAUGGACAUACAAAAACUAACAAGGAUUCAAUUAUCUGUAACAUGAACACCACAAUUUGGAGCGAAGAAAUCUAGCAUAAUAGUUAAUACAAGUCAAGAACAUUAAACAUUCAACUGCACAUCAUACUUGAUUACAAUCAACGAGCACCCAUGUUAUAAAGGAUUCAUAUUAUAGAUGGAAGAAGAAUAUACCUUUUUUCGGUAGAAGGCCACACCAUGAACAUUAAAUGGUAUUUUUCUUUCACGAAAAGCUGUUUGAAAGAUUUUUCCCGAUAUCUACAGAAAUAAAGAGAACACAGAUUUUCUCAGAAUAAAUGCAGUAACUUCUCAUGUCCUUUAUUGAUAUAUUGGCACAUAAGUUUGACCUGCCUCCGGUAAAGAACUGCAAAGCUCCCAAAGCCUUUGGAAGCUGAACAAUUUGAUGUGCUUUCCAUGAUCUUAUCGAUAACAAAUGCACAUUGAGCAUCCUCAUUAUUGCAUUCUUUAAUUGUAAUCUGGGGAAAUUAGGGGCAUGCCAUUUCAUGUUAUCAUGGAGGAGAUAAAAGAAACAUGAUUUUAAAAGAUUAAAACAUAAAUUUUACUCUAUGAAUACGGCUACAGCUUUACCUUAGAUCCAGUUAAAUUAUCAGUUUGUACACUUUUAAGUGGGCAUCUUUUUUUAUUAUUUCGUAUCAGAGAAGAUGCAGCAUCAAUAAUACAACCUGUGGAUCGAUAGUUUUUAUUGAGUCUGAUCUACAAGAUAAAAAUAAACUAAAUUAAAACACUCAAUUGUUGGAUAGAAAUUUGUAAAUCGUAAUUAUAUUUUACACAAAGAAGCUAAAAAAAAUCUGAAGGAAAUCACUGGAUUCGAGCCUAGAGAGAAUGUGAACCUCUUUGUAGGUUGGGAAGUCUUUACGAAAAGAGUCAAAUCCAGAGAUAUCGGCUCCAUUAAAACUGAAUAUGGACUACAUGACAACAUAGAAAAUGACAUUAAGAAUAACAAAUAUACUAAACAUUGAAAAGUGAGGCGGAAAAGGAUAUUAUAUAACAAGUAAUCCAGCUUUUUACUGAUACAAUAUGAUAGAGCAAGAAAAUUAUAAAUAGAAUUACAAAUAUAAUCAUGAUUUUAAGUUAAUUCUUAGCAUUAUAACAAACACUCGACUUUUUUCUAUAUACUCAUUAGAUAGAUGGUUAAACUUUGAAAGCAUUGCUAUUAACAAAAUGGACCAACGCAAGAAUGGAGAAAAUAAGAUGAUGGUGUUUUAUGAACAGAAGAUAACUCAUCCAACAAAAACUUCAUCAACAAAUCUGUCAGUGCAAACAUUAUAUUUUGAUAAUAUAAAGUGCAAGACCAAGAAAAUGCAAAAUUUGUAGGGAUGAACUAAUAGUUAUGACCUGAUCAUCAUCACCAACUAUAGUUAUCUGCUGAUGGGAUGCAAGAACCUGAAGAAGCUUGUAUUGCAUGGAACUUGUAUCUUGAAACUCAUCAACAAUAAUCGCUUUCCAUGAAUCCUGACAUUCCUUGUAUACUUUUAAACAAACAACAAAAACAAAUGGGUCAAAACAUGCCUAACACUUCAAAUAAUAUUAAAACUGAUAAGCUAGUAUUGAACCUUCAGGAAAAUCAGUAAGCAGCUUCAAGGAACAGCUUAUUAAGUCAUGGUAGUCCAGAGCAUUACAAGAUUUCAAGAUAUCAUUGUAGUUGUCAAGAACUGUAGCCUGAUUCAAGCAUUAUUUCAAUUAAAAAAUGGGAAACAAAGCUGUUGACAGAAACCUUGUUAAUCAGAAAAGUGAUAUCUUACUCCUGCCUCAUCACCCUUUGUAAGUAGUUCUGCAGAAGUUGUUCCACAAGCUUUAGCCUGGAAUCGAGUGAAAUCAAAUUAGGAACAAAAUCAUCAAUUAGGAGAGCCUUCCCCCACCAUUUUUGUCAAAUAGACAAGUGUAUUAUGGAGAUACUAAGUAUAUACAGUACAGGACACAAGAAGAUUAUGACUUGUCACAAAGAAGUUACAAAGAAAAACAUCCCCAACUAACUGAAAUGAGAUAAAAAAAACUUUUUUUUCUUUUUGAUCAGAGAUGCAAGGCAUUCCAAAAAAUAGAGGGACGAAUAUUACAAAAAACAAUUGGUGUUAGAACCUCAAAAGAGGCCAUAUGUUAAAACAAAUCUCACAGCUCAAUAAUCAUAUUCUCCAACAUUGUGAGUUUGCAAGAACACUGGGAUUAUUUCUUUCGGACCCUUGGGUCCUUGCAUGCUCAGGAUAAGGUUGUUAGUGAUAUAAUUGGAGAGUUCUACCUCCAUCUACCUUUUAGGAAGAAGGGACGCUUUUUAAGAAUGUGUGUUGUUUUUUUAGUUUUGUUGGGGGAACCAACCAAACAAUAGAGAGGGACUCUUUUGAGGUUUGGUCCCUUGUUAGAUAUCACGUUUCUCUUUGUUCUUCGGUUUGGAAGACAUUUUGCAACUAUUUUUCUAUUUUGUAUAGUUGGAGCCUCUUGGGAUUCUUCUCUCUUUUGUGAGCUUGAUUUUUUGUCUAUUCUUUUGUUCUUUCAUUCAUCUCAAUGAAAGUCAUUGUUCUACUUCUAUCCCAAAAAAACAGAAGGCCUUUAGACAACAUUAAGAAGGUAGAAAAGAACACACAAGACCCUAAGCUAAAGUUGCAAAAGGUAAAUUACUUACCUUAGGGACAAAUGUUUGCCAUUUCUUUGAUUUAUCCUUAAACUGCAUCGGGGCAACAUCCUUAAAAGCAUCACCAAGUAUGUUGGAGUCCAACUUUUGUUUACUUUUUUCAUUUUCCAAUAGACGCACAGCCUCAAUGAUUGCCCUCCUUUGCUGCCCAUGUCCAUAUAUCGAAAAAUCCGAAGUGCGCUCUAACCUGUGGAAUAUAAGAUAACAAUUUAAUCCCAAGAUUAAUUACUAGGAUGGAAGGUUAAAAAGGAAGGCAGUUGCACUUUGGUAGGAAAUGCUUUAACUUAGAAUUUAGCAAGACAAGACUAACGACCAUGUAAUAAACAAGAACAAUAUUACACAUCCUACAACAUAACAUAUAUUCAUUUUAAAACAUUGUGAGAUUAGAAUCAGAUCUGAUCCCACAUACAUGAGUUUAGAAAUUUAUUUUUGGGUUGACUUAUGACCGAGCAAAAACAUAUAUUCACUUUUGGCAUGAUUUCGCUUAGUUGGAGCCUUUUCUUGUAAAGGAAGUCCCUCCUUUUUGUAUACUUGUUUUUUUGUAUGGUUGUGUAUUCGUUCCCUUUUUCUUAAUGAAAGCUGUUGUUUUCAUUUAAAAAAAUAUAUACAUAUAAUUCUAUGUAAAUCAAAAAAAUUUCUCACCUCCGUUUACCCUCCUUCUUUGUUUCCCAAGUAAGAUACCUAACUACUUAUUCAUAUCCUCUUUCUCAAUUUGAUAAGAACUUAUUGAUAUUUUUUAGUCAAAAAUAAGGAAGCUUAAACCUGUAAAGAAACCUCUCGGACACUUCCAUUAGUUGUCCUCACUAAUAGUCUACAGUGGAAUUUUCCUUCUCCAUAGUCCAUGCAUAUAAUUUUCUUGUUAGCUUAUGCACCAAUUCACAUAUAUAAAUAGUUGAACUAAUAAUGUGCACCAUGCAUGGUAAGACUACAAAAAAAUGAAUAAUGAUAAACCAAGAUACAGAACCCAUAUGCUAUAUGUAGGCAAGGUAAAAAAAAAAGUUUGAGCAUACUUUUCUGCAUGUAGACGACAAAGUUGCAAUGAAAAGGAAUGAAACGUGCUAAUCACAAGUUCUUUUGCCAUUUUCUUCCCGGCAACUACACCAACGCGAUCCCUCAUUUCAGAAGCAGCUGCAGUCGUGAAAGUCAUUGCCAAAAUUUUCGACGGACUUAUACCCUAUACAACCAAAAAGAAGUAACUACGCAGAUAAUUCUAAUAACUGAGUAUAAAUGAAACAAAAGGAGUUAUAAUAAAUACCAGAGUAAAACAAUCUAUGAAUAAACAAAAACAAAACAAAUUUACAAAAGGCACAUUAUGCCAUGAGGUGGAUAUACCUCAUUAAGCAGCAUCAAAACUCGACCAACCAUUGUGGAAGUCUGCAUAAAACAGAAAUUUCAGCUCUUGGGGGCAAAAUAGGCUCCAACUCAGACCAACCUUAAGAAAGCUUUAACUGCAGACACGCGCUCGUGUAUUGCUUAAUCCAUUUUUUGAAUGAAAAUACAGCUUAGAUAAGAAUACCAUUUAUCACGAACUAGACAAAUUUUCUUGAAAGCAAAAACAUUAAUUAAACCCCAAAAAUUAUUUGUUGAUUCUCAAUGUACAAACAAGGAAACAAGAAGUGAGACCUUUCCGCUUCCCGGGCCAGCAAGGAUCAUUAAAGGGAUUGAGAUAUCACCACAAGCUGCUUCUCGUUGUCUAUCGUUAAGAGACAACAGAUAUUUUGAAUACUCUUCUGGCAUUGUCCCAAUUUUCUUCAUUGCAGAGUCAGAAAUGAUCAACUCCGCUCUUGGUUCCGAGGCAUCCAAAGAACAUAAUAAGUCUUUGGCUUCUAUACUCCCGCCACCAAUUACAGAUUGAAAAUCUGCACUAAGACCACCAUUAUAACUACCAUGAUCCUGAUUUGUCACAUGGAAGCUGGAAUCUGAAGCUGGCCUUACUGAUCUCCCUGAUGAGCUCUGCUCUAACAGAGCAUCAAUUUCCUCCAAAGCAGACUCAUCAAAAUCAUCAUCAAGAAUACUUGGAACUGAGAAAGAAUCUCUUAUACCAGAACACGUUGGAGUUUUUACAGGAGUCUUGAGACAAUCCAACCCCAACCCAUUCGACAACGGAGUGUUUACCGAAAUCUCUCCCAAUGGAACUCUCUUUGCAUCAUUAUCACGAACUGUGGCUUCAUUUGCAUUAAAAUCCCCAACUCUGGAACUAAAAUGGCAAUAUAACAUUUGGGAAAUCUCAAAAUCUUGAACUUAUAUUUCUUUGAUUCCAUAAAAAGGGAAAAUGCAAUAAUGAGCAAGCUAUGAAAAUUCUGUUUAGUCCAAAUCAAAACAAACACAAUAACUGUGAGAAUACAAACCUGUGAGGAAGUGGGUUAGCUGAAUGGGUAGUGUAAGAACACUGAGAAAUGGUGUGAUGGGAGUGAAAAAGACGAGGGCGUUUGCGAGCAAGUAGAGCUUUUGCAGCUCUGAAAUUGUGGGAGAUUCGAGCUCUUUCUUCGUCGGUAAUGCCCGGAUUUCCAUCGUCGAUCAUUGCUUCUCCAGAAACUAAACUGAAACUGAAAUUAAAGCCUACAAGACGAAGAAUCGUAGAGUAGAGACAUGGAUUACCAAAUUCAAAGUAAGUCCAGAGGCUGCAUCUCUUUCUUUACUCACUUCACUUCAUUUUCCCACCAAGCUUGAAAAAGUUCAAACAAGGAAAAACACGUUCAUCUUAAGAAAAUUGUCUGUGAAAGGAAAUUGAGUAAAGCUAAAAUGUGGACAUUCAAACUUUUUCUUGAGAAAAAUCGAUCUUUCCAAAAAACUAACCAAUCAAACUAAACUUAUUAUUAUUUUCUUAAAAGAAAUAAAUGGUCACCAAACUAUUUACAAAAAAUAUAAUAUAGCAAAAAAAAAUAGUUUGAUGAAAUCUAUUAUAUUGUAUAAAUAGUUUCCUAAUUUUAAAAAUACUUCUUUUUAAAAUUAUAUUUUAUUAUUAUUAUUAUUAUUAUAUAUAUAUAUAUAUAUAUAUAUAUAUAUAUAUAUAUAUAUAUAUAUAUAUAUAUAUAUAUUUAUGGGACAUUUUUAGAAAUAGUAAAAUAAAUUAAAUUAUUUAUCAAUUAUAGCAAAAUUUAGAAUUAUAUUGAGGAUAUAAACCGAUAGACUUAUAUCACUAACUAUCAAUGUAAAAAAUGAAAUAAAUCCAAUUCAGAUGUUCAUAGUUGGGUUGGAUUUCGUAUGAAAAUAUAUACCUAAAUAAUUAUAAUGAGUCUAAAACGUGUUCGAUUUCAAUCCAAUUCAAACACACCAACACAUAUACACAAUUUAAAUGCUCAAAUUCGCCUUUUAUAGACUUCAAGAAGAAAAAUAAUAGUUUUAAAUACUCAAAUGCUCACUCCGACCUUAUCAAGAGUAUGGUUUACAUAUUUCUAAUUUCUAACAUGAUGAUUAGCUUGUGAGAAAAGUGUAGCAAAAACCAAUCAAUGUCUUUAUUUUCUAAGAUCAAAAGCAACAACUUUGCAAAUUACAAAGAUUGGUUUAUGGCUGCAUUUGACCUUUACAUUAUUAGCAUCUUAUAUGAACAAUGAGAUCAUUAGUAGCUUAUGAUUUGUUUUGUUAUCGUAAAUUAUGUUGAUGGCGUUUUGUUCACCGGAGAAGUAAUCAAUCAUGUAAAUUUAUAUCAUAUUAUAAAUAAUUGACUAACUAACCAAUCUUAAAUAAUGAUUUGAAGCAACUUGUUAAAAUGUUAAUUGAUUUUUUACGAGACAGUUGUUUUGUUCAACAUUCAAAAUAAAUAAUAAACACGUUAAUCUAACAUGCCAAACAUCCAUACCAUUCAGGACACCGUAAGAUUUUGACGACCUAGACUUUCAUAAAACCGUUUUUUUUUUUUUAAUUUUUAACGUCGUUUUAGUAGAAAAGAAUUAAUAUAUACAUUUAACAUCAAUGAUUUGAUAUCUCACCUCACAAUUGUAUAUAUAUGAGAUUCAAAACAUAAUCUUAGUUAUUACACACAUAUGCCGAAAGAUUCGACAAUUCUAAACUAUCUUUAAAGAUAAUUAGGUGAGUUUGUAAUUCUUUAUAUUCGUGUAGACAAUGUUAGUUUGAAAUUGACAUUUAAAACAAUGUCAUUGCAAUAUACAGACGUGUAUUUAUAUUCUUACUCGUAUGGUAAAAAGGGAUAUAGAAGUACACACUAAUACUCAAAAUUUCAACAUUUAUAACACUAAAUUUAUGUAAUUCAUCACACUUGAUAUUAAAAGCACGACCCUCAAUCCAAACAUACAACAUAUUGACAUAUUAUUCAUAAAAUAAAAAUAUUGAUAUAAAGUAUGCAAACAACUUAAUCAACUAUGUUAUUAAUGUGUGACAAAAUACUAUUUAUUAUCUUCUUAUCAUAUGAUCUCAAGGGUCCAAAUUAGAGAGUGUGUGGUUUCUCGAGGUCUUCGAGGCCGUUAUGUCGGAACCAAGCCUUGAGGUUUAGAACGGAACCCUCGUUACCACCAGCCGACGUGUCGUUGGGAACAGUUGAAGAAUUGUGGUGGGCUUUUGGAGGCCCAAAAACUCCGGUUUCAGGAUGGGGAACCCAAUAAUCUUCGGAUAGAUCACGAGAGAUCAGGUGAUUGGGUACCAUUGUAGGCCAUAUUUGGUCCUCUUGGUUCUUCUCGUACGCUGACCAAUGACUUGACCUAAAAAACCAACAACUAAUAAACUCGGGUUGGUUGCAUCGGGAUAUCAUAUCAUAUCAUAUCAUACCAUAUCAUACUAUAGAUUUAUUUUCGUGAGUAGUAAUGGAUGUCAUAUUAACAUUAGUGAAUCUCACUCUAUUUUUUAAAAUUUUUUUUGUGUUCUUACGUUUCUAGUGUGAAAAAUUCAUUGUUUGUGUUAAUAGGACGAUAGAAAAAGAUUGAGUAUAUGAUAGUGUCUUAAUUUUAAUUUUAGAUGAAAGAUUUUAAUACUAAUUAUUGGAUUGAUAGUUGUUUUUCGGUUAUAUAUUUAUGAUCUAGUUCUAAUUAUCGUGGUUACUUAUUAGAUUAUGUCUUUUUUAAAAAAAAAAAAAAUUUCGUGAUAUAUAUACUUCCACAUGUACGUUUUAAUUUUCAAUAAACAUUUAAAAAACAACAAAAUCUCAAUAUUUGAAUAAAUUAAACAAGGCACAACCAAGACUUAACAUAGCUCUUGAGAGAGGAUUAAUGGACUUCUAUAAACAUCUUUUUUGUAUCAAUAUAUCGUGCAUAUGUGGAAAUGAUACUUUUGUCCACACACGAACAAAAAGUUCUUUUUGUUUUAGGUAUCUUAUGUGAGUAGAAAUCAUCAACGGGCUUACACAGUCACUAUUGUGUCAACAUAAACAAAGUUUCGUCAACGUAGCGUGCGUGAACAAUUCAAUCAACACAACAUCAAAUGCAUCGGUGUUAAUAUGUUAACUGACUUCGAUUCACGCAUAAAAAUCAUCAACAAAGAUCUCUCUCUAGUACUUUUUCACCUCGACAAACAGUAAAAGUUUUGGAGCGAAGUUUGAAGGCAGAAACAUCAUAAAAUCAAAUCUCUAUAGUAUGACUCAAAAGGUAAAAGAAGAGAAUCAACCCUAAACAAAAACAUCACAUGAAAUACCAAAGAGGAUUAAAGAAAAACGUACCGGAAGCCAAAAUUAGGGAAGGGAAAGAGAUAAGUGUGAGGAAGUAAUAAUGAGAGUCGUGGACUAGCAGCAGCAGCAGCAACGAUAAUCUUCGAACUGCAGGCCAUGCAAAUCAAACACACACAAGUUAAGUACUUUAGCUACAAAUAUUAGUUUUGAUGCCAAGCCAAUGCCAAUGGUUGGGGGAAUAGAAAGAGAAACACACACAAAAUGAAAAUAUGCCUUUUCUCUUCUCUUAUUUAUAUAUUCUUUGUGAUUAUGAAAAAGAUCAAAAGAGAGAAGCCAAUAAAAUAAACAUAAAAUAGAUAUUCUAUUCCUUCCUCACUUACGUAUUUCCUCAGUCUUCACCUGCCCGCUACCUUCUGUUUUUCAUACUAAUUAUGUGUAAUGGGUCAUGCCCAUAUUCAUAUUUCUAUAUAUAUACUAUAUUCUUCUACUUAUAAUUAUCUAACACAGUGAUUUUGAUCUAAAAUAUGUGUUCUGUGUGUUGUAGUUUGGGUAAAGUUUCCAAUAACAAAUAUAAUCGAAUUGCCUUAUUCUUUGUCAUCGAUAUACAAUAAUAUUUAUAUAGAUUACAAUAAAGUAAAUAUGACAAAAAAAAAAUCAAUUUACGAUUAAUGACUAAAUUACCAUAGAAGAUUUUGAGUCUAAAUUAUCUCGUAAUAGUAUGAUGUUUUAAAAAUUUUAGAGAUAUAUCAGAAAUUCGAGAUACACGAAAAUGCAUUGAAAAUUAAUCUCAACACUAGUAAUAAACGAAAGUAGUAAAGAAAUUUUUUAAUACCAUACUACGGUUGAAAUAUGUAGAGAAAGAAAGAAAAGAAUAGAAAAAGUUGAAAUAUGAGUGAUUGGAUUUGGUUGGUAGCAACCGGUCCCGUACCGUUCUUGGUGUUGGAGGUACCAUUCGUAGCGUUUUGCUUUUUCAUUCUAAAAGCACUUUCACUAAUACAAAGAAAAGAAAAUUCGAUCUCUCUCUCUCACCGCAUGUAAUUCGCCCUUCAUUGACACUGACUCAUCGUUUAUUUUAUUCCUUUCUCCAUCAUUCAUGCUGCCUUCAAUUUUUUCUUUUUUAAAGUUUAAUUAUAUGCUAAUUACUUGUCAAUCCACUGAUUGCUAAGGUCGUAGGUGCAUACGAUCAAGUUUUAAUGUAAUGAAUUUUGUAAAAACUGGUUGAAAAAGUUUGGUUAAAAGUGUAUAUAUAAUGGUAAGAGAAUUAUAUAGAAACUACUUUCAAUUGUGUGCUUUCACACUUAUACAGGGAGAGAGUGAAAAAUUUAGCGAACCAAUCAAAUGAAACUCAUUCGGUCGAAAAACAAGAGGAAUAGGUCGGAGUUGGUUUCAGGUAGUUUCAAAUGGAGAAUUUUCAAAAAGUAUUUCUAAGUGUUAAACCGAUUGAUGGAUCGACCCUUAAUUACUUAUGACGAUGUUGAUGAAGGUCGAUCUGAAACUGAAUGAUGAUCACGCUUAGAUUUAUCUAAAGAAAAUAUUAAUUAAGAACUUAGAGAAAGAUUUAGUCUAGAAAAUUAAAUUACAUGACCUUUACAUAUUUAAAAAUGUAUAUCGAUCUAUAAAUAAUCAGGAGGUAAGCACCCGUAAUGGAAUUGAAAUGCAAUGUAAUAUAAUCCAAUUUUUCAUGUUUGAAUCGAGAGUUUUGAGUAUGAAUUGUAGCAAUAAACUUCUUUUGUUUCAAGGGUUUUUAUUUAAAUGAUAUUUUUUUCUCGUUUUCACGCUUUACGCUUCUAUCUUUGUUUUGUCUUCAAAUCUGACAUGCAUUCCAAUACUCUUUUGAUAUUUAUAGUAAUUUUGAUUUUUCGGCAUAUCUUUGCCUUUAAUUUUUUCUAGACAAUUUAUAACUGAAAAAUGUAUGUAUAUCUCUUAAUGGACUUAAAUAUUUGCAUCAACUAGAUGGUGUUGUUGAAUUUUGGAAAAUGUCUAACCGGUAAUCUAAACUUUCUACUUUAUUGAUAGAAUACAUGUUUGACUUUAAAGUUCCUAUAUGAAUGAUACACAUAAAAAGAGUCUAUAACAAAUUAAUUUUAUUUUAAUAUUAUUGCAAUUAAUUUUUAAAAUGUUUUAUAAAAAUAUUACAAUGUUUUCAAACCAUUUAUAAAAACAAUAUUACAAUUUUUCAAUAUCGUAAUUACACCAUUAAUCAAUUGUGUGCACAUAGUGCUUGAACUGCUAAUCUUGCAGAUAAAUUUGUAGCAUUGCCUAAUCCAAAUGACUUUGCAGAUACAUCAAUUGAACAACUUUUCAUGCCAAUGCAAGCUUUUUCCACAAUAAGAGCACUGUUUGUCACAUCCCAUGAACCGUGCUUAAACGAACCACAUUUUCCCUAUGGAUUUCCAUAGCUAGCAAAAUUUUGUGGCACUCAAAAGAGUUAUUGUGUUGGUUCCCGAUUUUAGUAUAAUGGGUUUCUCAAACACAAAAUUUUGGUCAUUACUCCUCCAUUGCGAUCCAAUAUAUCUUUUAUUAACGAAAGCAUGAAAACACAUGACCCUUUGUAUUCACUUGGAGAGUCACAUUUUGAAAUGAAGAUGUUCUGUUAGUGUCAACCUUUGUCAUGUACCAGAAGUAGUCACUAAAAUCAACUGUGACCCUUUUUUGUUCCAAAAGAAGAUUUGCGUUAAAUUUACCAUUUCCUUGCAUUGUGUCUUUCAUAGGUUAUGGAGCUCAAGCCCAUGAGAGUUAUGCAUUUUCCUUCUCAUUUUUCUCCUUUAUAAACACAGAUGUUUGAGAAUUUACUUUUGCAAUGUUGUAAACCUCCUUGUUGCAACGAUCAAGAAUGCUCACAGACCAAGCUGGUACAAAAUAUUUUCCAUCUACUUGUAGAUCUAUGGUGACAUCAUUUUUUCCAUCUGUGUUACUUAAAAAGCAAAACCUCUCACUUGUUGUUGGGUUAAAGAAUUUCAUCAAAGUUACAGAGCCACCAAAGUUUUGGUCUGAGCGUGUGCUGUUAGUGAGAAUCUUCUCUCCUAACUUGAUUGAUGCAUGAAGUUGUUUGAGAUGCCCCCAUUUAGGUUGAUUCAAGUUUCCAUAUUCAUCAAGUGGGGCGUUGUAGUCGUAAGAUGUAGUGAUGAAUGGACCUCCCGAUGUUCUUCCAAAGUUGGUACCUCUAUGAUACAUGUAAUAAUUGUUGAAGACGCCACCAUAUUGAAAAAAUCUUGCCACAGAAAAUGCUACAUCUUCUGCAGUUCUAUAAGGGUUUUUGUUGCCCCAUUUCUUGAACCAUCCCACCCAAUUUUCAGUGAACAUUUUUGGGCUUUUAAGAUUGUUUGGAGUAAACUUGUCACAGUAGAAUCCGUUGCAUGUAUUAAUGAUAGGUUGUGGGGCAUCACUUUAUUGACACAUGAUCCAUGGAACAUCAAUAUUGAGAGAUUCUGCCAUUUGAGCACACCAAUUGAUAUAUGCUUUCCCUGCAUCUCCAUAAGCGGGUGUCAUCACAUUUUCACUAUCUUUGUUGUAAAAGUUUGCAUUUCAUUCUUGUAGACUUGAUUGUUAGUUCGUAGUUGGAUUCCUGGCAUAUUGUGCAACCACACUGGGAAGCCUCCGUAGUUCCACUCGGCACACACGUACGGACCAAUCCUCACGACAACAUAUAGUCCAGCAUCUUGGAUAAGCUGGAAGAAUUUAAUAAAAUCUAAGUGUCCAAAUAAAUCAUAUUUUCGUCAUUGUGGCUCGUGUCGAUCCCAAAAAAUGUAUGUCUCAAUUGCAUCAAGUCCACCAUCUUUAGCUUUUUGAAUAAGAUCAGACCACAUUGCUUCAGUGCUGCGUGGAUAAUGAAUUGAGCCCGAGAAGACAAUACAUCGUUCUCCAUUGAUAAUUAUCGCAUUUGAAUCAUAUGAAACAUUAUCUCCCAUGCAAAAAGUCAAGCAAGCUAGGGUUGCAACAAGCCAUCUUCCUUAAGCAUCUUUGAUCCCACAACUUAUGUCUUUGGUUUAUUUGUUUUCACAAAGCGAUGUGUUUAUUUAUAUAAAAUACAUAGUGAUAAGGUGAGAGUUAUUUCCUAUCUAUAUUUGUAUUCAAGUUGUUGAUCAAUUCUAAGCAUAGAAAAACAACAGUUGACAAAAGUUUUUCGAUAUGAAUUACAUCCUCUGAAAUUGGAGAAUUCUAAUUAACAUUAUCCUUAAAUAACCUUCUACCGAAUUACAACUAUUAUACACAAUUAAUAAAAUUGUGUUUCCCACACCUUAUGAUUCUAUUUUUCAUUUUUCACACUAACGUAUGCACUUCUCAAUAUAGACACCGCCAAAAUUUUUACUCGAACCUUUUGGUUUUCAAUAUACAUUAAAAAAAUUCACGAAACAAGUAAAUAUCACCUUUUUGUGUUGGUCAAGAGUAAUUCAUUUAAUUAUUUCAAAUUACUAUCAGUAGUUCAUUAAAAAAAUUAAAUCCGUAAGCUUUGAUCAACAAGUAACCAAUAAAAUUAUGCCACGUGUUCUAAUGGCAGUUGAAACUUUUGAAUUCCAAAUUCCCUCUCAUAACCGUUGUAACUGUUCAUGAAACACUUAAUUAACUGCCACCGUCGGCUCUUUAUCCAUCAUUUUAUCUCAUCAAAACUCUUUCCCUAUAAUUUUCUCUUUCGUUUUUCUUUCCCCAUAGACUCAUCACUUAAAUUUCUCCUUCCAUAUCCUUCUUCAAUGUUCUUCUGCAAAAUGGCCCCUACUUCCCUCGCUUUCCGCUGCCGACAAUCCAUCACCCCAACUGCAAUCCGAUCCUACGUUGCCGAGUUCAUCUCCACCUUCUUCUACGUCUUCUCUGUCGUUGGAGCAUCCAUGGCCUCCCGUAAGUAUCACACUCCGUUUAUAUUUCUCUCAGUUUCUCUAGCUUUCAACAUAGCGAGCCUGCAUGCAUGGGAUGGGACCGUAUUACGUGGUUGUGAAACUAGGAAUUUAAAAGAAUUAAAGAAAUUAAAAUUUAAUCGAAUAUGGAUAUGUAUUGAGUAUUAGUUUUGUAUGCAAUAGAGAAGUAUAUGCCAGGCAUUACUACGGCAGACCUAUCGAGUCUUCUGGUGGCCGCUAUUGCCAAUGCCUUUGCUUUGGCUUCAGCCGUAUACAUUGCCGCCAACAUCUCCGGUGGACACGUCAACCCGGCAGUGACGUUUGGAAUGGCCGUUGGUGGCCAUGUCAGCGUUCCCACUGCUCUCUUUUACUGGUUUGCUCAAAUGCUUGCCUCUGUCAUGGCCUGCAUUAUUCUUAGAGCCACCAUUGUUGGACAGGUAAAUUAAACAACUCUGAUCUCAUUUUUUGAAAUUUUGUUAGUACCCUCAAUAAUUGAGAGUUUAAUUUAACUUUACGAGUUAUCUUUUGAGUUAAGCGUUGAUUUACCACAUUUCUACGAAACUUUUUUCUAGCACGUUCCAAGCUAUGCCAUUGCCGAUGAGAUGACGGGGUUCGGAGCGUCGGUGGUGGAAGGUGUAUUGACAUUUGCGCUUGUAUACACCGUCUUUGCCGCCAGCAAUCCGAGACGAGGUCCGUGCAAUGCGAUUGGUGCGGUGAUGAUUGGGCUGAUUGCUGGAGCCAAUGUGCUGGCUGCGGGGCCAUUUUCGGGUGGAUCGGUGAACCCGGCGUGUGCAUUUGGAUCGGCGAUUGUGGCGGGGAGUUUCAAGAACCAGGCAGUGUAUUGGGUUGGGCCAUUGAUUGGGGCGGCUUUGGCUGGAAUUGUUCAUGAUAAUGUGGUUUUUCCGAUUGAAAAUGUAGAUUCAUUCAGAGGGGUUUCUGAGGCUGUUAUCGCUUGAUUUUUUAGGGGUUGGUUUUGUGCAAAAAGUUGAAUAUUUUCACCGUUGUUCUUGUAGUUGAUUAUAUGUUAUAUAAUAAUUUGUAUCUAACAUGAAUUUUUUUUUAUUUGUUGUUUUGUUUUAAAUAAUCAAGUGUGGGACAAAAUUGUAAUUUAAAGCUUUAUUCACUCAUAUUUUUUUUAGUCAUUUUGGACUCUUUUGUGCUAAAUUUUGAAUUUGACAGAGACAAAAUGUGAUUUGUUGUAUCUCUUUCCUAGAGUCUACACAUGAGAAAAUUGUUAAAUUUAACUGCCAUACCUUGAAAAUUGAGUAACAAUCUCGACGAUGAAGAAAAAAACUUUACAAUGAUAAAAGAGUUAAGCAUUUAUGAUACUCGUAAAAAUCUCAACUAUCUUGAAGUAUGACUACUAAAUAAACUUUUUUUGAAGUAUGCCUACCAAAUAAACGUUUAGGCUCUCUAAACUUAGAAACUCAUAUUUUUUUAGUUCAAUAUUACAUUUUAUUCUUCUUAUAUGAUCAAGGUGUCAAACACGUAUAUGCUAUUAACCUAAAGUGAGAUUAACUCCUCAUCAAUUUUGAACUUAGAGUCAAUUAUGUAAAGUUUGAUAAAAAAGUCUUCUUCACUAAGACAACACAAGAGCGUAAACUUUUUAGUUUAUACAAACAAAACCUACAAUCUUAUUUUUAGAAAUAAUUAAUGCAUAAAAAGAAUAGGCACAAUGGCAUGACACUAUUUUUCCAAUUCCAAUUGACAAGAGUUUCCAUUAUCAAAAAACUAGAAAAAAGUUUAUGAACAUAUAAAUGAGAACCAUUCUCAUCUAACACCCCAACUUGACAAUCAAGAUCUUAAAAAAAGAAUUCUAAAAUACUCAUUUACAUCCAACCAUAACAAUAUCUUCAUAAUCUUAUAAUCUCAAUGCAGGUAGUCAUUAUAAGCCUAACCAAAUUUAUUAAACAACUCUAAAAUUAAAAGAAAAACAAUAAAUAUAUAUAUAUAUAUAAAACUAUUUUCAAAUAUAUCAAAUUUAACCAAAAUAAUUACAAAAAAUUGAAAGCAAUUUUAAAUCCUACCAAUAGUCAUUCAAAAUUUUGCUUGUAAAUAUUGAGUGAACUUAUAAGAUCGAAGAGGAAAUUAAAAAAGAAAAUCGUGAUUGGGUUUUCAUUUCUUUAUUGCACUCCGUCCUACGUGUCGAAAAGCCAAAAUCCCACAUCCUCUAUCUCCGGCGUAGCCAAUUUCACAGCUUACUCACUUCAACGUUCACCAAUGGCACUCGCUCCCUUCUCCACCAUUUUCUUCCCUUCACUUCCUUCUAUCUUCACCACUUCUAAAUCCCUCAAAACUCCCUCAUCUUCCUCCCUCAUACUCUCCCAAUUCUCAUUCGAAACCUCACACAAAAAACCUCCCACCCCUGACCCACCUGAAUCCGACGGAACUGGCGCCGCUGCCCCCACCCGAGGCGACCGGUUCCUCGAACGCCAUCAUUCCGUCGAAGCUGCCAAGUUUGUGCUCAAAGAAAACAACAAGGAUCGGAAAAGAAAGAAGGAUAAGGCCUUGAAGGUUUCUUUGGCGGUUGCUUCUUGUUAUGGCUGUGGUGCUCCGUUGCAGACUUUGGAAUUGGAUGCUCCGGGCUAUGUGGAACCGGAAACCUACGAAUUAGUACGUACUUGAAAUUAUUUGUGUAUUCUGUGUAUUCAUGAGCGGGGAAAACCGAUGUGUUAUGUUUUUUCAGUUUUUAGACCUCGUAGUUAGUGAGGGUUUAGAUUUCAUUCUGUGGAUUUCUAGAGGUUACUGUAUGACUAUUGGAGUAGAUUUAAUUUGGAAUUAUGCCAUUUUUUUCUUAGUUUUAAUGGAAUUUUGGUACUGGUAUGAAUUUGAGGGGAUGAUCUUGUAUGAUAUGACUUAUUUAGACUGCAUUUUUUGAAAUUUGAAAUACUGUUCAUUCAUGGUCUUGUAGUGAUGGUAUGCUCUUGCAUUACAUUUGUUUGAUAUCUGUUUAUGAGCAGAAAAAGAAGCAUCACCAGCUUAGAAGAGUUAUCUGCGGGAGAUGCCGACUUUUGUCUCAUGGUCACAUGAUAACUGCUGUGGGUGGAAAUGGAGGUUAUUCUGGGGGAAAACAAUUCAUCUCAGCUGAGGAGCUCCGAGAUAAGCUCUCUCACUUGCGUUAUGAGAAGGCUUUGAUUGUGAAAUUGGUAAGCUUAGGCUGUCUGUCUUUUUUGCUUUACCCUGAAGUGAAGUUGAGAUAUUCACAGAUUCGUGGUUCCUCCCUCUUUUUGUGGCAAUGAGUUAUAGGUUGAUAUAGUUGACUUCAAUGGCAGUUUUUUGGCACGUGUGCGAGAUCUUGCUGGUGCAAAUCCAAUAAUACUAGUGGUCACUAAGGUGAUCUUUUGAACUUUUUUGUUGGUUUCAUGAUAUUGGUGAAUAUUGAUUAACUUCCUUCAUGUUCUUUGAAAUAAUAAUAAUUUAUGUAGGUUGAUCUCCUUCCCAAGGGGACUGAUCUGAACUGUAUUGGUGAUUGGGUUGUGGAAGCCACUACAAGAAAGAAGCUUAGGUAAGUUGGAUUCCUUUUGGCCUUGUCGGAUAUCUUUCCAUCUUCAUCAUAUUGCUCAGUUAGAGCAAGAACAUGAUCUUUGUGAUUUAAAGUUCCUGGUUGGACUUCUAAAUUGUGAAGCAUUGCUCAAACUUUGUAGUGUUCUGAGUGUCCACCUGACGAGCUCGAAGUCUUUGGUUGGAGUAGCUGGAGUUGUAGCAGAUAUUCAAAAGGAGAAAAAGGUUUUUUCACUUUAACUUUGAUAAACUUCAUAAGUCAACUAGCCAACUGUUUCAAUAUAGGCUACCUAUUGACUAUUGACCUCAUGCAAAAUUUAUAAAUAUCAUGGAAGUUUUAGCCUUUAGGAAGUCUAUUGAUUCAUUAUAUCGGCACCAAUAACCUUGAUGAUCCAGUCACAAGUUUUAUAUCUACACACAUUAAGUUUUAAAGCAAAUCUCUUAAUUCCCAUGAAUUUUUUCCCUUCUUUACUAAUUGCAUAUUAGAGUUAUAUCCUCAACUUUUGGUCAUCUCCAUUUUGUGUAAUAUGCGGGUUCUGUUUUUUUCUUUUUCUUUUUAAUAAUUUUGAUCAGAAGAUGCUGUCUCUGUUUUAUUACCGGACUGAAUCUUAGAUUUAUUUUUUCUGGUGCAGGGGCGGGAUGUGUACAUUCUGGUUAGUAUACUAUUAAACUUAAACAAAGGAGUUGUUUUAAUACACGUGCCAUUUAUCUUCAACUUAUUUUUCAUUGAUAGUGAUAAUAUCCACUUAGAAAUGGAUUCAUAAUUAAUGUAGAAGCGAAAAUAACUGAAUUUAUUGAUAUAAAUUUUUUCAACAUAGGGUUUCGGGAGAUGGUUGGUCCCCCGUUAUUUUUUCUUUUGUUCCCAAGUCCCUGAACUUAAGAAGAUCUGUUAUUGUAGUACACCAAUUUGUUAAUAUCCAUCCAAGGCAUUUUUUAUUAACACAAUGACACUGGUUGAAUCAUAUGCUACUUUUUUUGAAAAGAAAAGAAGACAGCCUCUUCAUUAAUAUAAUGAAAUGAGACUAAUGCUCAAAGUGCAAGAUUGAAUCAUAUGCUACUAAUUACAUGUAAAACCAAAAACAUACACCACUAUGUAUAACAGUAUAAGAGUCGGGGCAGGCCCCAAUAUUCUCAAGUCCUGCAAGUUUCCUAUUUCUUGAUUCUUCUUACCUCUCCUAAUUUCUUUGCUAUAGGUUUCUUCUCUUUCUUCUCUUCCUAUUUUUCUUUUUUAUUAAAUCUUAUCACCAAUUGUGGCUGCCUGGACGACCUCUUCUCUUAGGAUUUGAAGAUAACAGGGGAAAUAGCUUUUCUAUAUUUUCAUCCCCAUUUCUUAAAGUUUGUUUUGAGUUUACAUGUUAUCCUAUGUUUUUUAGAUAAUAUGAUAAUAUGAUUAGUGAGACUUGAUUUUCAUUUGGUAUGCGUGUAGGGGUCAGCUAAUGUUGGAAAGUCUGCUUUCAUCAACGCUGUGCUGAGUGAGUACAUUUUCUAUUUUUUAUCCAUAUAGUAUUCACACUAUCAUUGAAAGAUACUGAGCAUAUGUCAAGCUUUGAGUUGGCUGAUAUUGUGUCUAAUAUCCCAAUUAUUAUUUGGCUAAUUUUUAAUUUUGUGACUAAUGUAUAUACCAUUUUUCAGUUUCAUUCCUUUUUCCUUUUAGAAGUUUCAAUUUUACCCUUCAUUUAUUAAGUUAUUUCAACUAAACAUUAAAAUAACGAUGCUUUUGAUAUUAAAGAAAUGGAAUUUUUUCUAACGAGGUGACCUGUUCUUAAUCUAGUAACAAUUUUGUGUUUUUCCAAAGAAAGAAUAAAAAGAAUAAAAAACUAACAAAUCUGUGGGUUGCUUUCUUUAUUUUUUUACAACACAUACGGACUUGUAGCAGCCAGCUAGACUUCCUAUACAAUCAAGACAACAAACCCCCCAAAACUAUGUCAACUGAAAAGAAAUCACAUGAAGACAAGAAUAAUUAUCAAACAAAUAGUAUCCUUUUGUAUCUUACAGCAUUAAUUUCUUAACGAAAAGUUUCGUAGCCUUUUCUAAAAAAAGUUAUCUAACACAACUGUGGAAAAAUUUAAUCACGGUUCCUCUGGCUCUUACUUCCCAUUCAUGAUGAUAUUAGUCAAACAUUAUGGACAUCGUUGACAAGGUGGAGGAUCACUACAUGAAAUAGUCAAAUGAUCAUAUGCGAAAAUAUUUGUCACCCCUAAAUUUUCAAUAAAAAGUAAAGUAUGAAGUAUGCAGGUUUCCACUUUUUUGGCCACUCUUUUUGGGUAGAUUGAUCGUUUCAGGUUUCUAAUCAAUUAGAUACUAUAGAUGGCUACAAUCAACUUCCUAAACUAACUGUUGAUGGCAGAGAAGAUGGCUGAAAGGGAUCCAGUUGCUGCAGCAGCUCAAAAAUACAGACCCAUACAAUCUGCUGUUCCUGGAACUACUUUAGGUCCUAUACAAAUUGAUGCUUUCUUAGGAGGAGGGGUAUGUGUUAGUGUUAUUGAAUUAUUGUAUGUGAAGUUGCCUUAUGAACCCAUGUAUGUAUAUGUUAUCCAACAUAUUUUUUGUUUUGUCUGCCUAACCAGUGAUUCCAAUAUCCAUGAAAAGAGACACUCGUUUUAAGGAAAUGAUUAGCAUAUUUUCAUAUGCAGAAAUUAUAUGACACACCUGGAGUCCAUCUCCACCACAGGUUAGCUGCAGUUGUUCAUUCAGAAGAUCUUCCUGCCCUAGCUCCUCAAAGUCGGCUCAGGGGUCAACAUUUUCAAGUAUGCAGACUUGAGUUCCACGAUGGUUACACUGCUUGGCUCUUGCUUUCAAUCUUGACCUUUUUCUAUGUCAGGUUCAACACCUGCCGAUGGACAAUGAAUUAUCCAGUGGGUUGAAUGGGUUUUCUAUAUUUUGGGGAGGUCUUGUGAGAGUAGAUCUAUUAAAGGUCUUCAUUUCAGUUAUUAGAACUUCCUUUUUCCGUUGUCAGAAAUGGUACAUUUUUGGAUUUAGCAUUGUCAUUUUUGUUAACAGGUUCAACCAGAAACAUGUUUGACAUUCUAUGGUCCAAAAGGAUUGCAGAUCCGCGUGGUUCCUACUGAAAAAGCAGAUGAAUUUUAUGAGGUAAUUGAAAUGCUAUUUGUAAUUAGAAAAAAAAUAUGGAUCUGUUUUUCUGAACUUUCUUAAUGUGUUGGGUGGUAAUCAUCUGAAGGUUACAUGUCAAAAGAAUACUAUAAGGUUAAGUUAUCAGUUUGGUUUCAAAUUUUUAAGUCGGUGUUUAAUACGUCCCAUGAUAUUGAAGUUUUUGAUAGAUUAGCUGAGCUUUUAAUUUCUAUCUAAUAAGUCUCUAAAUUUUGAAAUGUAGUAAGCUCCCAAGGCUUCAAUUUUGUGUCUAAGAGGGACUUGGAACCUCUUUGACAUUUUUUAAAGCAUGAACCAUAAUAUUAUUUAGAUACAAAAUUGAAAGCUUAAGGUUCUCUUAAACACAAAAUUCAAAGUUUAUGUUUAAUAAUGCAUCAAUUUAAAAAAAAAUGUUGAUUAUGCCAUUAACCUAAUGUUUAGAUAGUUAUUAUAUACUUUCUAAAAUUCAAGAUCUAUUUCAAUAAAACUCAGAGAUGUAUUAGACACUACACACUAGUUUAAAAGUUAAGAGAUGUAUUAGACAAAACUAAUAUUGUAAUGUAACAAUACUUUCUAGUUUCUAUUUAUGUGUGCUAAUUAAUAGGAACACUACUAUUUCUCAUUUCAUCUCGUCCAAUCCAAACAGAGAUUAUUUUUACCUCCAUCAACUAUUUUGUACUUCAAAGCACAAUGGAUGGUGUUUGGACGACAAAAAAUGCGUUUGACCAUUACAUGACGUAAUGUAAUAAUUUCACAUUGCUUAUAUACAGAGGAUGUAAUUUAGGGAAUAAAUUAUAGCUUUGGUUAUUGAAGAUCGAAUGCUAUAUUGCUAUGUAUUCAGAGGACUAUUUCCCACUUUUUAUUUCGACCCAUUGGUAAUUGGAGAUUUUCUUUUACAAUUUGACAGAAAGAACUUGGGAUUUCGCUAACACCUCCAUCCGGAAAACAAACAAGGAAUGAUUGGAGAGGACUCGAAACAGUGCGUCAGUUGAAGAUAAAUUUUGAGGACGAGCAAAGGUGUGAUAAAACUCUUGCGACUGGCAGUUUUAUGUUUUGUAGAUUAACCUCAUUUCUCUCCAAUGUUAUUCUGGAUCUGUUUUGGUUGAGGUAGUUUGGCUGGCCAGUAAGUACAUCUCAGGAAACAAGAACUUAUUUCCCCUUGCAUUUCUCUACAGACCUGCUUGUGAUGUGGCUAUAUCAGGCUUGGGAUGGAUCACUGUUGAGCAAAAGAAGUCGCUCUCAAACAAUCAUUCUGAUUUAGAAUCAUCAGUCGACGAACUCGAAUUGGCCGUCCAUGUCCCUAAACCAGUGGAGAUUUUCGUUAGGCCUCCCAUGCCUGUUGGUAAAGCUGGAUCAGAAUGGUAUCAGUACCGCGAUUUAACAGAGGAGGAAGAGGAAGUAAGACCAAGAUGGUACUUUUAGGUACUCUUCUCUACCUCUCUUCAUCUUUAUACUUCACGAUUAAUCAUAUAACUGGGCAGCCGUUUUUGCUGCCCGGUGAAUGAACUGUAGUUCCAAAGAAAAAGGAUGAUAAAACGGUUAAUUUAGAAGCUUAUGAAUGUCAUUGAACUUUGAGGAAUCUGAAUUCUUUCAAAGUUCUAGUCAUGGAGAGGCAGAUGCCAAAAGAAAAUAAGUCCGUAGCAAUGAAAUUUGUAGUGUAGCAAAGCUUUUCAAAAUUGCAACAAUUUCUAGCAACAUAUAGACAAAUUGUUGCUAUUAUAUGUAAUAUGACGAGGCUUUUUUCUUUCCGCCGAUUAUAAACAAUUGUAGGUUUAUGUAAAAUUACUGGAGUUCUUUUUUUUCCAACAUAUAUUUUCAAGUGUUGCAAAUAUAUUAUAAUGAAAUGAACUUCUAAACAAAGUGUGUUAAUAUAAACUUUUUCUAAAACAUUCCCUCUCAAUUCAUUUCAACCCUCUUCUUUCUCCCGCUCAUACUUCCCGACUAGUACCUCCCAAAUCCACAAUUUCUUUUGGCAAACCUUAUUAUCUCUAUUGAAACCUAAGCCCUGAAAGACCAAAUCAUAUUGGGCAACAGGAGUUCGAAGCAGCUGUCGAAGAAGAAACCGUCUCGUAGGGGUAUGUAUGAUGGACCCAAAAACUAAGUUGACCAAUCAAACCGAAAUCGGCUGAUCAGAAAAUGAGAGGUGUAGGUUUCAAAAAGUUUCAAAUAAAGAAUUUCCAGAAGAUAUUUCCAAGUGUUAAACGGAUACGACAAAAACCGACCGGCCAAUCCUUACUCAUCAAAGUUUAGGACUAAUUACAACAUCUAUGAGUUUAAAAAGUUUUAAUCAAAGUUUAGGACUAACUACAACAUCUAUAGUCAAUAUAUUAAUCAUACCUUACAAUGCUGUUACUAUAAGUGCACCAAAAAACACAUUUCAAAUACUUAUAAUCUUUGUAAGAAGUAGGUGAAAUUCACUCAUGAGGACCUUCACAUGUAACGCUAUCAUUAAUUAUUCUUACCUCUAUUAUUUCCUGUACUAUAUUAUUAUUAGAGUUCAUUGCUAUCAAUUCAAGGCCCUAGAGAAAUUAUUUGAUAAACCCUUUUCAUCAAAGACUUCUCUAUCUAAUGAGAGUUCGAGCUUAGAUGACCUUCAGGACGACCAAUCAACUAAAUUUUGGAAAAAAUAGCCUAUUUUUAAUUCAACUGUGACCCAAUUAUGUUGGGUACUAAUCUAAUAUCAUAAUAUACUUUAUUAUAGUUCCAUUGUUCGGUACUAAUCUAAAACUUUCCAUUGUUGGGUACUAAUCUAAAGCUUUUAAAUGAAUGUAUAUGCAAAAUUAUUAUUGUUAUUUAACACCCAACCUCAAGAUUAUUCGGACCAAAAUUUGAAAGUCAGAUCUUUCUAACAUUUUCGUGCAUCUCUUGCAACCUGACAAUGUCAUCCUUACUUUAUCCUCGUUUACAAGCAUCCUAAGAAAAUUUCGAGAUGUUCCAAGUUAAGCACGGUUAACUUUAGAGUUUCUAUAGUCGAAUCGUCGAAAAGGAAGAGUGCACCUAAUUGGUAUAUAUAGGUAUUAACUUUUAAUUAUUUUAAGUCUUUCUUAACCUUAUUUUUAUGUUUUUAGGAUUCCUCUCAUUUAAAUAUGAUAUCAGAUAUAUCAUUCAUGUUCUCUUCUUAAACUUAAGAUGUUACGUUAUUAAUAAUAUAAACAACAGCAAACAUUCAAAUCCUGCCCUCAACCUAAUGCUGACACUGUAAUCAAAUUUAAGGUAAAUUAGACUCUAAACAACAAACCUCAUCGUUAUCAGAUCUCCGAUAAAAACCGGAUUAUUUAUUACAUAGAAAAAACUACGUUAUUCAUUACACUUAACAACGACAAUCUUAGUAUAAUUUUUUCUCUCUAAAGUCUUUAACUUUUGUCUCUGGCCAAGUGUGUGACAUUGAACUCAUCCUCCGUAGGGACCUUUACUGUUCCAUGGGAUGUCUUUAUAAGAUGGCGGAAGAUUACCUACAUCUGCAGUUAAGAUAACAUACUUAAUCUUUUUUUUAUAAUAAAGUAAUGCUUUUUUGGUGUAAAUAUAUAUUUUUUAAUUAUUCUUAAAAAAAAUACCCCUAAAUAAAUAAUUGUGCAAAGACUAGAAUAAGGUUUAAGAAAGUACUUAGGAGUAGGACCGUCGUAAUAAGAAAAUUGGCCCCUUCAUUUUUCUAUACGUAUGAGUCUAUCAGAAAAUGUUGGUUUUGUCAAAGAGACUUUUUCAAGGACUCUUCUUCGUUGGAAAAUGUCUGUACUCUUGCAGUAACGACCAUGAUCUACUAACGACUAAUUUUUAUCGGUCGAUAAUGGUUUAAUCGAUUUCGGUUGGUGAGUUGCUUUGAUUAAUUAUUUGUAUUGAUGUUUACUUAUAUCUUCUAAGUUUGAAGAACAAAAGAUAUUAGAAAAUCUGGAGAUGUGGUGGAAAAAUAUCCUAAAUGAAAAAAUAGAUUCUGCCAAUCAAAUUUCACUAUAUAUUUUUGUAAAUAUUUUCAAAUGAUUAAGAGUGUAAUUAUGAUAUGAAAAAGCAUUCUAAUAUUGAACUUAGGGAUAAUAUAAAAAGCAUACCAGGAGGAGAUUGAAGCAAAUGUCUUUUUGCAGUGGCAGUGGAAGCUAGAAGAAACAGAAGACACAACAAAGCAGCAACUAUUCUUGAGAAUUGCUUUUUGGAAGCCAUUUUUUCUUAAAAUAAACUUUUUUUAUUAAUUAUUCUUAUUUUUGUGCAUUUUCUAAAGUUAUUAUAGGUGUAGUAUUUAUAGCCAAAUACUGCAAUGCAAGAGGGCUAAUUACAAAGUCAUUCUCAAUGACAGCAGGGAGUCCCAAUUGCAUCAUUGAUGACACAAUUCACAUGUUUGACCCACACCCGAUAAAAUUUGAAAUCAAAUCGUCGAAAUCCCUUGAAUUCGAUAUGUGAUACUACAAAUAAUCUUGUACGAAGAUUUUACUGUAUUUAUUUAAUUUUAACUCUAGGGUUGGAGAACUUCGAAAUAUAUAUAAACUCUCUAACCUAGUGGUGUCACAACGUAUUUUGAAAAGUUCUCUCUCUAAUAAAAUUGUUCUUUAGUUAACACUACGUAUAUCUCUUGGUCGAUCUCUAUAUAUAUUUUUGUAUUGCUUAAUUGUUACAUUUUUAACGUUUGGUUUGUUAAUCAAUUUGGGCAAUUUUCAUAUUCCGACACUUCUCAUCGUGGUUCCAAGUUUGCUUCAGUGAGUUUUAGGCUUUAGAACUCCUUCUAAACCCAUUCAAAUUAGAAUAAUAUGUGCUAUAAAUAUUGAGGUUUAAGGUGCAUUUGGGUGUGCAUGAUUACUCAUUUAACUAACUUCUAACAUUAUAUUUAUAUGGAAACCAUGUUUUACUAUUUCAGGAGGCCUCUCGAUUAGAUUAGAUCAAGUGUUUUAAAAUACUUAGGUAAGUAGAAUUCUUCUUAAAACUCUCAUCUUUUGUGAAGUGUAGCCUACAAUGUCGGUUGAUAACUAACAUUAAAAUUUGUAAUCUAUGACUGUUGAAACUAACAUUGAAGGUAGAUGACAUUGAAAUGUUCAUCAUUUCUAACGUUGAUGGAAAAUCGAAAUGAAAAACCACCACCAUUAUUGGGGAGACCUAUUGUAACACAGUUUUUGAGGUCGGUUUUAAACAAACAUUGUAGCCUACAAUGUCAGUUCAAACUUCAUUGUUAGUCCUACUAGUAUUACUCAUUGGAAUUGCCCUCAGUCUACACGUAACAUAGAAAUGAAUUUUCAAGGUGGGAAAACAUCAUUUUGAAAUUCAAAGUUACACCUGUAAUUCCAUUGAAAAGGUAGAGACAAGUCGUUCUCAGGUUGAAACUUCGAAGGGCACGUCUACUUCCACAGUAAACAAAACCCAAUAAAUAUAUAAACAAUCACUUUUGAAAGUACGAGUAGAUAUAGCACAAUAAAAAAAUUUACAAAUUCAAAACCCUAAACCCUAAAUUUAUUUUGAGAAAUAAAAACCAUAACUCCAAGUUUUCUUUUUUAAAAAUUUCAUAUGGAAAAAUGUUUUAUUUUAAUUUGCACUUGUUAUUUAUUCUAUUAUAAUUUUGCUCUUUUUAGUAAACAACACCUUUUCCUCAUUUUUUUUGUCCUGCUUUGAGUUGUAGGAGUAGAGGUAUACUCAUGGAAGAUGAAUAUUCAAAGUAUACACAUUAUCGUUUUGGAGAUGUAUUGAAAUUUACACCUUUUUAAUUCCAUUGAAAAAGUAAGAGAAAAGUAGUUGUGAAGUUGAAACUUCAAAAACCACUUUUCAAAACCCAAUGAAUCACGACUCCGUCCAUAAGAAAUCAAAUUCCAAAGAGUAGAUGGAAAAUCAACAUACUCAUCCUUCAAAGUCAUAUGAAUCUAUCAAUCUAUCAGUAACAACACUAUCGAUCAUUAAUAAUAUAUUUUUUUAUAUUUACAAUUAUGCUCGACGAUUCAUAAUUAUUAGAGAUAAAGUCUUACCCCACUGCAAUGAACUUAAGUAUAUACACAUAGUAUGAAGUAAAUGAAUAUUCAAAGUAGGACAUCUAUCAUAUUUUAAAACAUAUAUAUUAAAAACUUGACCUUUGAUUCCAUUGAACAAGUAGAGAAAAGUAGUUCUGAGUGUUGAUUAACAACUGGCAUUUGACUAAUAAUCAACAAGCAAAUCAUGGUUUUGCAGCAAUCUCCAAGAAUAAUCAAUCAAUCUCUCUCAAGGUUGAUUAAUCAAGGUAGCAGCCCAUGAUUUUUGGCAUAAAUCAGCAGUCAAAUACACAUGAAUGAUGAAUUAUUCCAAAAUUCAAUAUUUGAUUUUGGUGCAAAUUCCGUUACUCAGCUUGAAACUUCAAACAGACCAAAGUCUUCCAUUCACAAUAAAUUACUACGACUACUUUACUAUAUGAUUGUUUACAUGCUUUCUUUUCAAUUAAUGUUUAAUUAUUGUUAUAAAAGAGAGUACACAAUUGAAAUUAAAAUGUUUAAAAGUAGAAGGAUCCUACCAAAUGUUGAAACUUCAAAGACUACCAAGUCUCCAUCCAUAGUAAAUCAAACCCAAUAAAUAUAUGUUAUUACAGUAGACAUAACACAAUUGAAUUCAAUUUUUGGAGUCGAUCGAUCUACCAUUUAUAGGAUUCUACAAAUAUAAUGAUACAUUUUGCUAUACUUACUAGUUUUUUUUUUUAAAAAUUAUGCUGCACACAAUUAAUUAUUCAAUCUGAAAGUGAAAUAACUUCUAAGUAUAUACAUGGUAUAAAGAAAGUGAGUAGUCAAAGUAGGACACCAUAAUUUUGAAGUAUAUUAAAUUUCACUUUUAAUUCCCAUUGAAACAAGUAGAGAAAAGUAUAGUUAUUUGUCAGCUAGAACAAACCCUAUUCGUAGUUAAUAUAUAAUAUAUACAUAUGAUAUAUGUAAUAGAGCAAAUAUCUUAUCCAAACACCAAACUCUCCAUUAUGACCAACCAAAUUAAACACUCAAUAAUUCCACUUCCACUUGUGCCAAAAUCAGUUGUUUUGCUUCUUUUCUUAACAAUCCUUUGUAAAACAAGUGCCAUUAACAUUGAAACUGAGGCUCUGUUGAAAUGGAAAGCAAGUUUGGGAAAGCAAUCAAUUCUAGACACAUGGGAGAUUCUUCCAUCAAACUCAUCAAGCUCCUCCUCCAAAGCUUCAAAUCCAUGUCAAUGGACGGGAAUUACUUGCAACAGUGCAAGCAGUGUCACACAUAUCAAUUUGAUAAACACUGCUUUGAAUGGUACUCUUCAAACCUUCAGCUUCUCUUCAUUUCCCAACCUUCUUUGCUUGAAUCUCAACUCGAAUAAUUUUAAUGGAUCCAUUCCACCCUCCCUUGGACUUCUCAAUAAGCUCGAAUUUCUUGAUCUCUCCACGAACUCCCUCACUGGUACUCUCCCUUCUUCUCUUGCUAAUCUCACUCACCUCUACCAUCUUGACGUCUCCAAUAAUUACAUCACCGGAGGCUUGCAUCCGAGCUUCUUUCCAACUGAAAAUUCAAAAUUUGGCCUGAGAAGUAUGGAGAAGUUCAUUAUGCAAAGCACCAUGGUAAGUAAAAUAUCUGUAAUGAGAGCUGAGAAAAUAAAGUUCUAAAUUUCGUUAUCUCUCCAUGUAUACUCCCUCAGAGUUGUACUUGCUUUUUUGUCAUAUCUACUAAAUGGAAAAAGUGUUUGUGUAAAUCCCUAAACUCAAAUUGUCACCUCCUAGAAUUUCCCUAAAAUUUUUAUUCUCUACGUAUGAAUUUAUGCUCCAUCUGACAUAAAAUUCUAACUUCCACCAUACUCAGAUUGGAGGGGAGCUUACCGAGGAGAUAGGAAAUAUGAAGUCUCUAAGCAUCAUAGCUUUCGAUGACUGUAAAUUCUACGGCCUAAUUCCUAAAGCUAUAGGAAACUUGAGAAAUUUAACUGUACUUCGUCUCAAUGGUAAUGGUAAUUUCAGUGGUGAAAUUCCUGAAGGUAUUGGAAAAUUGACAAAAUUAUUUGAUCUAAGGCUGUUUGGUAACAAGUUAAGUGGGCCAUUGCCUCAAGACUUGGGAAUUUCUUCACCUUUGGUCGAUGUUCAUAUUUUUGAGAACAACUUUACGGGUCCUUUGCCCCCAGGUUUGUGCACCCAUGGCCAGCUUGUUAACUUCGCUGCAUUUACCAACUCUUUUACAGGUACUAUUUUCGAUUUUUUUUGUGUAUAAGAGUGAAAUUUAGUAUCAGUUUGGCAAUGUUCUUGGUUUUAAGAAAUACUUUUUAAAGUUAUUGAAAGUGGUGUUCGGUAAUUAUUUCGUUUUUUUGUUUCUCGUUAUUUAGAAAGAACCUGAAAGGAUAUAAACAAGAAAUAAGAAACAAAAACAUUUAGAAAGAACCUGAAAGGAUAUAAACAAGAAAUAAGAAACAAAAACAUUGAGCAUUUAGAAAAGAAAAACUAUUUUUCUUAGUUUCAAGUUUAACAAACAUAUAUGCUAGUUUGCUAAAAUGAACAUAGCUUAAGGAUAUAUAAUUGACAGGUAUGUACUAUAUCUGUUUUAAGUUUAAGAUUUUCUACUUGUAGUAUAUACCAAAAACACAUAAAAAGAUUUUCUAUUAUUCAUGUUUGUUACGAAACCCUGUUUUUUGUUUUUGAAAAACUAAUUUUCUUUUUAAUAAAAAAGUGUGUUUAGUAACAGAUUUUUUUUUUUUUUUUUUGUUUUCUAAACAAGAAGUUAACUUGAUUUUAAAACAAGGAAGGAAAAUUGAAAAUGAAAAAAAAAGAAAAAAAAUUUAAAAGAUACAUUUUGUUUUGAAAACACCAAACAAAAUCCAUUAUCAAACCUAUAUGGUUUUUGUUUUUAAUGAACAAAAAUUUAAAAAGUAGAAAAAAUUGAAAGGUUUAGCAAUCGGGGUCUCAUUUAUUUAAUUAAUUUAUGUAUUCAUGGUUGGUUCAAAUUUUACAGGUCCGAUUCCUAGCUUCAAAAAUUGCUCAGAGUUGCGUAGGCUUCGCUUAGAACACAAUCAAUUAACAGGUAAUCUGGAUGAAGCUUUUGGUGUUUAUCCAAAUUUAACUUACAUUGACUUGAGUGACAAUAAACUGACUGGAAACCUCUCUCCAAAUUGGGGGAAAUGCAAGAGUUUGACCAAGUUGAGCAUCGCCACCAACAUGGUUACUGGUGAAAUUCCAAAAGAAAUUACUCAAUUAAAGAAUUUAGAAGCCCUUGAUCUCUCCUUCAACAAUUUCUCUGGACUGAUACCGGAGAAUAUCGGAGAUUUAUCGUCGUUAUCGUCUCUACAGUUGCAAGGGAACCGCCAACUAUCUGGAAACAUACCACUGGAUAUCGGUAACCUUUCGAAUCUCGAAUCGCUCGAUCUGUCGAUGAACAAGAUUGAAGGUUCGAUCCCUAAGCAAAUUGGAGAUUGCUCAAGGCUUCGAAAUCUAAGCUUGAGUACGAACCGGUUGAAUGGUUCGAUCCCAUAUGAGAUAGGGAAUAUCUUAUCCUUGCAUGAUUUGUUGGAUUUGAGUAACAAUUCGUUGGUUGGGGAAAUUCCUUCAUCACUUGGGAAGUUGAUGCAUUUAGAGAGAUUGAGUUUGUCUCAUAAUCAUCUUUCUGGUGAAAUCCCUAAUUCCUUAAAGGAUAUGAUGGGAUUAGUGAGUAUAAAUCUUUCAUUCAACAAUUUAAGUGGAUCUCUUCCUUCUGGUGGUGCCUUUGACAAAGCUCAGCUACAAGAUUUUGUUAACAACACAGAUUUAUGUGGAAAUAUUGAGGGCAUGCAAAAAUGUUAUGUUUCCAUGGCAGAAUCCAAAAAUAAAAGGUACUAAACUCAUCCCUAAACUCAAAUGUUUGAUAUUUUUUCUUUUUCCUUUUCUUAAAUUAAAUAAUAAUAACUACAUUAAUAUAAAUAAUAAUCACUCACACGAUUUCAAAUAUAGAAAAAAUGAACCAAAAUGUUUAUAAUAAGCAUUAAACUUUAACUAGUAAAAUAAUAAUAUGUUUAUGUAUUCGUAUUAACUAGGCAGUAGAUAAUUGAUAUAGUCCAAAUUAUUGAAAUAUUUGUUCUAGCAUUCAAUUGAGUAUGAAAAAAACAUUAAAUUAGAGUUGAAUUUCGGUUAGUCAAUUGAUAAGUUUUUUGAGAUAUUUACUAAAUAUAGUUUAUUUUAAUUUGUGCAUUAACCAAGAUAAAAAUUUGCAAAGAUCAUACUUUUGUUAAAAUCUGUAAGCUUGGACAGAUUCUUUAACAUUUAACAUUUUUUUUGUAUGAAAAAGAGUGAAAGAUUUAUCCAUAAAAUAGAUGAACUACUUUUCUUAUUGUUAAUGGUUUUGAAAUGAAAUCUAAUAUUAUUGAUUAGGGUAUUACGAUAGUCUGGUUAACGUGUUGUGGUAGACUUUCACUACAUUUUUACAGUAGCACUUUUAUUAUCAACUUUCAUACCUAAACCAGUUUAUUUCUACUUUGAGUUUUUUUCUUCAGUAAAAAGAUCUACUUUGAGAGUUGAGUUUCAACCAAGUGUCUCGUUACACUAAUGUAUAUUGAUGUGUUUCUUUGCUCGUAUAUUUGUCAUGAUUUUUUUCUUAUGUAGAAAAAUGCUUAACUAUAUAUCAUAUCGCACAUUUUGGAUGGCAUAUUUAAUCUUUUGUUUAUAUAUCAUAUCAGAUGGCAGAAUCUGGUGAUUAUUCUUGUUCCAACUAUAGUAAGUACAUUAGUAUUCUCUCUAAUACUAUUCGGGGUCAUUUCAUGGUUCCGACGAGAUAAAGAUACGAAACGAUCAAACCCAAAAAGGGGACCAAAAUCACCAUUUGAAAACUUGUGGGAGUACGACGGGAAGAUAGUAUAUGAUGACAUAAUCGAAGCAGCGGAGCAUUUCGAUGACAAAUACUGCAUCGGAGCAGGAGGGUCAGGAAAAGUUUACAAAGUCGAAAUGUCAAGUGGUGAUGUAUUUGCGGUGAAGAAGCUCAACUUUUGGGACAGUGAUAUGGGGAUGGAGAACUUGAAGAGUUUCAAAAGCGAAGUAGCGACACUAACCGAGAUCCGUCAUCGAAACAUAGUUAAGCUUUAUGGAUUUUGCUCGAGAGGCGAACACACGUUUUUGGUAUACGAUUUCAUCGAAAGAGGGUGCUUAUGGGAAGUUUUGAGAAGUGAAGAGAACGCAAAAGAGGUUGAUUGGGUGAAGAGAGUUGAGAUAGUGAAGGGUGUGGCUGAGGCUUUGUGUUAUUUGCAUCAUGACUGUGUUCCAGCGAUCGUCCACCGUGACGUGACCUCGAAGAAUGUUUUGCUGGAUGUGGAUUUUGAAGCUCAUGUGGCGGAUUUUGGAACUGCAAGGUUUUUGAAGUUUGAUGCUUCGCAUUCCACUGGUGUUGUUGGCACUCAUGGCUACAUGGCACCAGGUUAGUAUAAUUUCAUUUUAGUUACUAUGCUUUUCUUAUGAUUUCCUUAGAACAUAUGAAUUUAUCUUUUGUCUAUAAAAAAAACUUCCUACUCCCUUCUACUUUUACUUGUAUAGAUUGUGAUAAACCCCUGCUAUGUCUAAAGUACUUGGACAGGAAAUACCAUUUUAAUUUAGUCUUAGUAUUUUGGACUUCGAUUCAUUGUUACUUCCUCCCUAUUUUUUAGAAUAGUACUGAUGGCACCUUCGAUAAAUUAGCUCUUUCCGUUAGUUUACCGUUGAUUUUUUAAAUGAUAAAAAAAUCUAUUAACAUUCCCUUUAAUCAUAAAUUGUGAAAAUAUAUACACUUCUCUGAGGGGGUUUUUGUGCAUCAACUCAUGAAUCAAUAUUAAAUAACUCUACUUAAUUUUUGUCAUGUUGGUCACAUGUUUGUCUUCUUAUCAUUAUAACCUACGUUAGUUUUUUACCAACAUUAAAAGCCAAUUUUUGUACCACUAUUAAUGCCACAAAUUUCUUGUAUUAAUUAAAAAUUGCAGAGCUCGCGUACACAAACAAAGUGACAGAAAAGUGUGACGUUUAUAGCUUUGGAGUGGUGAGUUUGGAAGUAUUGAUGGGAAGACAUCCAGGAGAAGCCCUUCUAUCUUUACAAAGUUCCCCUCAAAAGGGUAUUGAGAUGAAAGAAUUGUUGGAUUCUCGGCUUGCAUACCCUCGAAGAGGGAAGCUUUUAAGUGAAUUGAGUUCACUUGUGAGUAUAGCAAUAUCUUGUGUGCAGGCUGACCCUCAGUUACGCCCCACUAUGUAUUCUGUCUGCCAUCAGAUGGGAUUGAGAAAAAGUGCCUUCAUUAGAGAGGAGUCUGUUUGAAAGAAAAGCGUCGUUUUAGUUCGAUUCUUCAUUCAUACCGUUGUUGUAUUAAAAAAAAUUAAAAUAAUUAAAUUUACAUCAAUAAAUGCAUGAAAUAUAAUAUAUGAUUUUGCUAUUUGGAUCAUAACACACUAUUGCCUUUUAUUUUUUAACGUAUCACAUUGGAGCAGACCAUGUGUAUACUCAAUCGCGAUAACAUCUUUAUCCCAUUUUUUAUCUAUGUUGUGUUUUCAAGUUUUUCUCACUGUUAGUUAUUUUUUGGGUGAGAAAAAUGAAAUUUCGCCACAGGGUAUGACCAUUGUGUUAGGACUACAUCGCACAAUCAUCUCUAAAGAUGUAUAUAAUAUAGUGUUUGUUAUGUUUUUCUAUCCAUUUUUCGAAUUGUUCGUAUGACAGUGAAAAAAAAAGAUUGGGAGUCUCUACUAUCGCCCUAAGCAGUGACAUUCACGUACUAAAAUGUAAAUAAACUGAUGAUUUUUUCUUGUUACUUCGUAAUUUGCUGAAUCUAACUUUUUCACUCUCCAUUCAAAUGUACCUUUCAUUUUAGGCACAGGCAAUAGCCCAGGGCAUGGGUGUGAUAUUUACAUUCAUAUUCUUUUAGUUAAGUUAUAAAAAAGCAUGUGCCCCAAAAACUUAAUUGUGCUUGCUAUCAACAAUAAACAUUCACAUGUACCAAUUAUUUGGUUAUAGUGAUCGAUAUUAAAAUGAGAUUACAUUAACUCAUGAGGACAGAAAAUUUUCUUUGAGAAAAUGUAAAGAAAGAGGGCAUUACUUUUACUAAUGCUUUGACAUGCAUGUAACCCUAGAAAGGUUAGGCCAACUAAGCAUUAAAAUUUCUUUAUGGUUUAAUGUUGAUCAUCAAAUACAUGUUUUUUUUAUAAUUAUUUUGGCCUAACCUUAUAUUUACUUUCACAAAGAUUCUCAAAGAUUUGAUAGCUCUCUCUUACACAUACAAGGCUUUGUUAAGAAAACCACUUUGAUUUUGUCCAUAGUCUCGCCUCACCAUGUAUAGUUACUUGAAUAUUUGGGAACCACUGACAACCAGUAAUCUCAUAUCUAUUUAUUUCACCCAAAAAUAAACGAGACAAUAAUAAUUGAUAAUAGACUAUUGUGAUUUAUUUAUUAUUAACAUUUUUGGUGGACAUGACAUGACCAUACAUGUGAGGUUUUGAUUGAAUUUAGGGUUACUACGACCCAUCUUGAUGUUCUUUUGGACUUGCAUUGACUAUAAUUAAAUUAUAUAUAUAGAAACAUACAAGAGUCGUUGUCAAGUAGAGACAGGGUGCUAAAUUUUUCCCGUUGAUAUUUUCUUGUGUAACAUGGAUUGAUAUAGACACAAGGGGUAUUAAUGUUAAAAUAUGGAUUAAAGCAUAAAGUGGGAGAAUCGAAUAUCUGACUUUAAAGAAGGAAACAAGCAGAUCAUAGUGCGUAUGGGAAUCCCCAAACGGGCUAGAGCGAAGCCCAAUGGUACAUAACCAUUAAUCAAAAUUAAUAACAUAAAUAUUAGGGUAAUUGUAAUUGAUGGCUAUUUUAGUAAUAAUAAUUAAAGAUAUAGCAAUAUUUUAAAAAAUUUGUAAAUAUAGCAAAACUAUCGCUGAUAAACUUGUAUCAUUGAUAGAGUGAUAGACCAAUAUUUGCAACAUGGUCUAUCGAUGAUAAACUCCUAUCAUGGAUAGAAUUUGAUAAAAUUUUGUUAUAUUCUUAAUUAUUUUGAAUCUAAUUGCUAAAUUUGCAACUAUCCCUAAAUAUUAUGUUAAUUGAGUUACAUUAUACUCAUUUUAACAAUAUAUGUAGAUAGUUUUUCGUUGGAUAUACUCAUGUCCGAUGUUUUCUUUCAAAGAAUAAUAAUACAAAAGGUUAAUUAAUUGACAUGGAAACUGAGCUUUUGUUUGGAUUGGACAUCUAGAUUACCGUAUUUGUUUUACAAUACUGAGAUGUUCUGUGUUUUGAUGUUUAGAGAUUUUGGAAUUGGGUCCAUUCUCAUUUUAUAUUUUAGCCAUUUUUAAUUUUUUUCACAUAUAUAUUAAUCUUCAUUUUACACUAUAUAAUUAAAAUAAAUAGGGUCAACUAUUGACAUUGUUUUUUUUUUAUUAUAUCAUAUUUCUUAGUGUUAUUUUUUUAUGAGAUAUUCAAAAUUCAAAAUUUAUCUAUUUUAUAAAAUCUAUCAUGCUAUAUUAUUUUGUUAUAUAAAAGUAAUGUAAAUUUUAUUAUUUUAAAAGAAAAUUCAAGUAGAUAAAAAUAAGUGACUUAUUUUUAAAUAUAAAAAAAAUGAAAAAAAAUAUUUAUAAAAAUAAAUACAACGUUCUUAGAUUUUAUUUAACAUAUUUUGUACAUCAAGAAGAUAAAAAAAAACCCUCUUUUUCAUGCAACUUUCUAACAUAUUAUUUUAUAACAAAAAGAAAAAAAGAAAAAAAAAGAACAUCAAACAAAGAAACGAAUAUAUAAACAAGAGAAAAGUAUUACAUAAAGGAUCAAGAUAUAUGAUCACAUCUAUAUUUAUUGAAAUGGAAACAUUACAUAAAAAACAGACCACUAACACACUAACUAUAUACAUACAUAGACCACAAGUACUCGUCCCAACCUAAUUACAAUUCUCCCUUGAUCAAUCACAUUAAGCCAAGACCACUAACUCCUAAACAAAAGCGAAUAGCAUAGAAAUCAACCACUAAUUCUAUUACUUACAAACUACAUUUGCACUUAUUAUUCUUAAACACAUUUUAGAUAAUCUGUUUGAACUGACGUUUCAAGGGUUUAUACCUCAAAGUAGUUUUUCUUCUAAAGCACUUGAAAAGAAAUUUCAAAGAGGCCCUUAGAUACUUGUAGUUUAUAUUACACUUUAGGACACUAUAUUCAUAUAUUAUUGUCCAUAUAUUUUUCUCUAAGUUUUAACUUUCUCCUUUUGCUGAGAUGUUUGCUUUUGAGGUCCUCCUCCUCCCCAUCCACCACCCCAUUGACUACCGUAGGAGCCGGGGUCCCAUGGAUUCUCCAAAGCUUCCUGAGUUCCAUAUCGUUGUCCUUAACAAAAAAGAAGAAAAAACAUAAUAAAUUAAUUUUGUGUUCUUAAGGUUAUUUAUUGUAUGUUAUAUACUUCUUUCUUAAUUUUUUUUAUUUAUAACAAGGGCAUAACUUCAACCAUAAUUAACCAACAUUCUUCUGUUAGAGAUGGAAGUAAUUCAAAUCUUCAUGCUUAAACAUUUGAAUUUUUAGUCAAAAUUUUACGGAAAUGAUUGAUGUAGACUAUCAAACAUAUGGACAUGAUUUUUAAAACAACUCCUAAAAAAUAAGCAAUAAAUUAAAAAAAUCGAAGGAGCAUCGUGUUCAUCUAAGCUUAAUUCUUAAAAACAAAUGUGUGGCUCUAGAUAAUUUGAAAGAAGAAUGUGAACUACUUUUACUGCUCUCUUUCUGUCCUGAUCUGUUAUUCCUUCUCGAGUUCAAAAAAGCAAAUCAAGCUCAAGACAUGGGAUAAAUUUAAUCGGAAUAAUUGGUUUAGACGUAAAGAUCACUAGAAUAUAUGAAUUUAAUUACUAUAAAGUACUUGGACGAAUCAUAACUUGUUUUUAAACGAAACCUAUCAACGAAUGGUCGAUUAAUUUUCUAAUGUACAAAAUUUGGCCUCGACGUUUUUCUGUAGAGUCCAAAAUGUUUGUAAAAAAUUUCCCAACAUUACUUUGUGUUUCAGAGUUGGAAAAGGCUUUCCCGAAAAGCAGUUUUCGUCAGAAAAAUCUCCGUUACGCUUUUCUUGGACUUUUCCCAACUCUUGUCAUCCAUUGGAAACAAAUUUGAAUGUUCAUUGAAGGACCAAAAUAUGAGGAACUGUUAAACUAAUAAAAACCUAAAACAGAUUUGAGUAUUAAAUAAAAACAUGGGCUGUAUAAUUUUUUCUUGAACUUAAAUGAAAUGUAUGAAAUAAAUAUCAACAAUAUAUUUAUACACAAUGAAUAUGUUGGUGCAAAUAUGGUAAAUAUGAUUUAAAUUUGGAAAUUAGAAAUUUGAGUUGGGGGAUGAAAACAGUAUACCAUUAACAUUAGGAGAUGUAAGCAAAUGCCUUUUUGAGGUGACAGUGGUAGUGAAGAGAAGCAGAAGACUAAAGACAAUAGCAACUAUUGUUGAGAAGUGCUUCUUGGAAGCCAUUUUUUUUUUCUUUUAUAUACUUCUUAUUUUUGUGCAUUUUAAAAGUUAUUAUAUGAGUAGUAUUUAUAGCCCACUAAUACAAGAUGACUUUAGAAAAAAUCCUUCUGAUUAAAUGCAUGGGACGUGGAACAGUUGCAACCAUUUAUUUUGUGUUGCAUCCAUUCAUCUUAAGUAUACAAUCUUUAAAUUGUCUUGUGGCAGAUGUAUUAGGGUAUGAUUAACGUAAGUCUAUCAAUGAUAUAGUCUAUAAAUGAUUGCUAUUGUUGCCAUAUGACCAAGACAAUGCAAAACGAUUGACUUAUUAAGAAAAGAUUAAAAAGGAAGAUUGAAAUAAAAGAAUAAUUUUUAAAUAAAAUUCAAAUAAAUGGUUUGCAAAAAUUAAAGUUGGGUUUGGAAGUCGUUUGUGUACACGAAGAUGUUCGCUACUCAUGACAUAUGUUCAAAAAAUAGUGAACAAAAGUUUUAAAUAUUGAAUUGAAAAUAUACUCUAACAAAGUUUAUUUUUUAAAAAAAUUAAAACAAGUGUCUUAUAACUUCAUUACUAAAAUAUUUAAAGCCGUGAUCUCAUAAAAGAAAAUAGUCUCUCAACUCUAGAGGCACAAGUAAUUACAACCCAGACUUCGUUGUUUUUUUGCCCAAAAUGCAAACCAAACUUGUGUCGCGAUUGUGAUAUUAUAUGUUCAAAAUGCAAACAUUAUUUUUGUAUACCAAUGUUGUGAAUAUACAGCCCAUAUGGUUGUAGCGAUCUAUCCUUCAAACGUAAUCAUAUUAGAUCACAAUGAAAGGAAACGUUUUGAAAAAUGAAAGAAAAUGAAAACAAUUAAUCCAAUAACAUUAUCCGACUAUUGACAAGAGAUUAGCAAAACUGACACCUAUAUGUAUCUAAAGAUAAAAAGUUAUGGAUUCAAAUCUCCCAUCCUCAAUUUGACUAAUUUUUUUUUUCCACCGUUACAUCAAUAGAAUUUCAUUGUAAUAUAAAAGAUUAGGCCAAAAUAAUUGGCUGGAUUCUAAUGACAAAUGGCUUACCUAUGAGUGAGAUAUUAAAUUUUAGAUUAAAAUAUCAUUUUGAUUAAUGCACGUCGGUGAUGGUAGCUUUACAUUUCAGAAGUAGUACAGUUUUGAAAAACUUGUAAUUUUCUUUUUCUCCGUCAAACUUGACUAAGUUCGACACCAAGUAUCUUUCCAAAUUUUUUAAAAAUAUUCCCACGUAAUUUUUUGGUUCAUCUUGACUAUGUUCGACGUAGAGAUUGUAUUUUAAAAAAUGAAAAUAAAGAAAUUUAUCAAAUGACUUUAGUCUUAGUCUUGUAAUUUAGUAAAACUUAAAAACAAUUAUUCCUCUCUAUUAAAUUGAACUAAAAAACUAAUUAAAAAAAUCUGAAAAUGAUUUUAGAAAAUUCUUAUUUUUAUUUUUAUUUUUCAAGGUUCCUUCCCUCUCUCUUUUCCAUGAGGAUCAUCUUCUCUAUGAAACCUUUCUCUCUUCUCACAUUCUUUCUCCGUUUCUUCCAGCCAAAACAACCAACUCCCAAUAUAUAUAUAUAUAUCCAAUUCAUCUUCUUCCACAAAACCCUUUCUUCUCCUAAUCUUUUCACUCUCCAACAAAAAUGCGUGAAGUUGAAGAAAAGGAGAUAAUAAGAGAUCGACACAGAUAGAAAGAGAAAGGGAUUAAGAGGUUCAUAUGUGUGAGUGAAAAAAGAAAGAUGGUCGCAGAAGUCUGAUGGUGAACACUUGGACGGUGUUUGGUGGCCAAAGGGAGGAAGAGAGAAUAGAAGGAAAAUUUCAACAUCCCACUGUAUAUCUAUGCUUUUAACAGUGUAUGAACUCAAAUUGAAUAAUCAUCAAACUACUCUGCCAAAAUGAUACCUUCAUGAAUGUUUUAAUUAUAUUUUUACACAAAAUGUUUAUAAAUAUAUCAACUAGUUUUUUCUAUUGUCAAUUGAGAGUGAGAUAGAAUUUUCUGCUAUUUUAAUAUAGUAUUGUAGUCCAUAAAAUCUAAAUGACCAUUUGUUAAACAGGGAAUGUGCUGGGAAUGUGCGAGGCUCUCCAUCCAUGAAGAAAUAUGUCGAGAAUAUAUAUCACGUUACAUAUAUAGUCAAUUAAUUUUUAGAUGGAAUAGAAUUGUUAUUUUUCGACAACGAUAGUGAAAUCAAGAGAAAGAAAUUAGUGAUACAUCACUGUUGAAAUGCAUGUCCCUAUAGAUGAUUUGAUCACACGUUUGAAAAAUUAGUACAUCGAUGUUCAUUCCUCUAAUCGAGAGAUUCAACAAGAACAAGUUAAUAAGCAUGUCAAGUCAAUAGAUGACUUCACUGUAUAUUCUGAUCACUCUAUUCACCAUGCAUAGUUACUUGAAUGUUUGGGAACCACUCACAACCACUCAUCUCCUGCUUAUUCAUUUCACCCAAAAUAUCAAAUAAAAAGACAAUAGUUGAUAAAUAGACCACUUCGGUUUAUUUAUUAAUAAUUGAUACGUUGUUUUCAAACAUAAUAAAAUAAAUUAAAAUAUUAAUAAAUAUAGUAAAAUUUUAUUGUUUAUCUAUGAUAGACAUUGACACCUACCAUCAUUUAUUGCGUAAUGAUAAACACAAAUAGACUUUGACAUUUUGCUGUAUUUGAAAAUAUUUUCAUUGUUACAUAAUCAACAAUUAAGCGAUAUAAAAAAUGUAUAACUACCAACACAUAUAUAGCUCGCUAACAUAUUAUUAACUACAUCAAUGAGCACGGAAAAUAAUAUUAUUAAGAAGAAUCUUUCAUAAUAAAAUACAGCGCCACUAAGUUAAAGAGUAUAUAUAUUCUCAAAAUCCUUUGGUCAAAAUCGUAAAUAACUCAUAAAUAAGUAUAUGGGAUCAAAACUCUAUACUAAUUUUUUGAUUUAAAACAAUUGAAUAUUUAUUUAUUUAUUUAUAUUAUUAAAUAUAUUGCAUGAUAGUGAUUAAUGGAAUUAAUUAUAUGGCUCAUAUCUAACAUCUUCUGGUGAACAUAACUAAGGGUUUUGUUGCUGACCCAAUGUAUCCUUUUCCAACAAAAAUAAAUAAAAGGGAUGGAAACCAUCUUCGAUUGAGUGCUAUCAUCACUUUUUUACAAUCAACCAUAAUAGUUAAAAAGAAACCUCUAUUUAUUAGAGUUUUAACUUCUUUGAAAGUUAAUGAUGCUAGUACCUAAUGAAACUCCAACGAUUAAUUAAUGUUGCUACAAAACACCAUAAUUGACAUUAUUUUCUUUCAGAUUAUAUUAUUGAUCCCUUUGAUAAAGGCUCUUUUCUCACUUCAAUCCCAUCAAACGACAGACGUUGUGCAUAGUGGGGCGUAAAUGAGGCUCAGCUUGCACACAAGAGAUUGCUAUGCUCACAAGGGAGCUCAAUUCACUUAAAAGCUUUCCUGUUUGAGGGCAUGCAAGGCGAGGAUCCAACGACGCUUCCAUCUCAAUCGCCUUUUGUGCGGAACUUUGUAAAGGUAGAAGGGCUUCUCCUGGAUGUCUUCCCAUCAAUACUUCCAAACUCACCACUCCAAAGCUAUAAAUGUCACAUUUUUCUGUUACUUUGCUCGUAUAUGCCAGCUCUGCAUUUUUUAAUCAAUACAAGAAAUUGUGACCAUUACUAUAAAAUUAGCUUUUAAUAUUGGAAAAAAAUUGACAGUAUUGGGAGUACGAAGAACAAAUGGAUGACUGACAAUGCAAAGAAAUAAUUCUGAAAGAAAAAAAAUGUAAAAAGUUCGACUUGAACAUAUCUAAAAAGGCAAGGAAAACCAAUUUACCAUUAAGCCAACAAAUUAUAUAUACAUAUAGAAUCAGUAAAUAGAGAUUUUUUGUUUUGAAAAUAAUUAACAAUAAAAGAUAAAAGAUAAUAGAGCGAUGAUUUGGACGUCAUAAUCAAAUCAUAGGAAGAAAAUCGAAAGUCCCAUACCUGGAGCCAUAUACCCAUGAGUGCCAGCAACAUCAGUGGAAUGCAAAGCAUCAAACUUCAAAAACCUUGCAGUCCCAAAAUCCGCCACAUGAGCUUCAAAAUCCACAUCCAACAAAACAUUCUUCGUUGUCACGUCACAGUGGACGAUCGCCGGAACGCAGUCAUGAUGCAAAUAAUACAAAGCCUCAGCCACACCCUUCACUAUCUCAACUCUCUUCACCCAAUCAACCUCUAUCGCCUUCUCUUCACUUCUCAAAACAUCCCAUAAACUCCCUCUUUCGAUGAAAUCGUAUACCAAAAACGUGUGUUCGCCUCUCGAGCAGAAUCCGUAAAGCUUAACUAUGUUUCGAUGUCGGAUCUCGGUUAGUGUUGCGACUUCCCUUUUGAAACUCUUCAAGUUCUCCAUCCCCAUGUCACUGUCCCAAAGGUUGAGCUUCUUUACUGCGAAUACCUCACCACUCGACAUUUCGGCUUUGUAAACUGUUCCUGACCCUCCUCUUCCGAUGCAGUAUUUGUCGUCGAAAUUCUCUGUUGCUUGGAUUAUCUCGUCGUAUACUAGCUUCCCGUCGUACUCCCAGAGGUUUGCAAAUUGUGAUUUUGGUUCCAUUUUUGGUGUUCUUGGUGUGUAGUUUGAUUCUUUUACGACUUUUUUUCGUCGGAACCACGAAAUAAUUCCGAAUAGUAUUAGAGAGAAUAAUAGUACACUGAGUAAAGUUGGAACCAGAAUAAUCAAUAGCUUCUGCUUUCUGUUAGAAAUAUAAACAAAAUGAAAGUCAAGCAUUUGUUGGACAAGAAAAAAAAAAUCAUGAAUAUUUGUUCAAGAAAAUAACCAACAAUAACUAUACAUUACUACUUGUUUGUUUCCUAAUAAAAGGAAAAAGCUAUCCAUUAGUACUAACAUAUUUCAUUGAAGUUUUAACAUUCGCCAGUGCCAAAAGCCUGCUUGCUUAGCUCAACUAUAACUCACGUAAAUAUUUAUCCUCAAGGAGGGAGGUCUAAUCCUCAAGUCUGAAUUCUUGUACUAAAAAGAACACUCACCAACAUGAAUCUGGUUCUAAGUGGUAACAACCACCUAUAUUAUUAAACUCAACUCUCAAACAAGAUCAAACUAGAAAUAAAAGAAUUAGGUUCUAAAUUGACAAUAGAAGUGCUAUAUGUUUAAAACGAUUAAGAAUUUCAAAGAAUCAAAUAUUCCUCAUGUACUUGACAAAUUGAACUGGAAAUUCAAUAUAAAAUCCUUGCACAAAGUUAUUGAUCCUGUUAAAUGCACAAAGUAAAAACAAAUUAGAUAUCUCAAAUAAAAAAACCACAAAUAAAUUUGAUAUGUUUUUAUAUUUAUAAAUAGUUUGGUUUAUUUUAUUACUAUAUUUUGAAAGCACUCAUAAAAAAUUGGCAUAUGUGGUAACAGUUUGAUUAUAGUUAUUAGGGUUGUUUUCAAUUAUAUUAUUGUUAUUUACCAUUUUAAAGAAAGUAAAAAAAAUAUAUCAAACUUUUGAGUUAUAGGGAUGAGUUUAGUACCUUUCAUCUUUGGAUUUUCCCAUGAAAAUAUAACAUCUUUGCAUGCCCUCAAUAUUUCCACAUAAAUCUGUGUUGUUAACAAAAUCUUGUAGCUGAGCUUUGUCAAAGACACCACCAGAAGGAAGAGGUCCACUUAAAUUGUUGAAUGAAAGAUUUAUACUCACUAAUCCCAUCAUAUCCUUCAAGGAAUUAGGGAUUUCACCAGAAAGAUGAUUAUGAGACAAACUCAAUCUCUCUAAAUGCAUCAAAUUCCCAAGUGAUGAAGGAAUUUCUCCAACCAACGAAUUGUUACUCAAAUCCAACAAAUCUUCCAAGGACAAAAUAUUCCCUAACUCAUAUGGGAUCGAACCGUUCAACCGGUUCGUACUCAAGCUUAGAUUUCGAAGCCUUGAGCAAUCUCCAAUUUGCUUAGGGAUCGAACCUUCAAUCUUGUUCAUCGACAGAUCGAGCGAUUCGAGAUUCGAAAGGCUACCGAUAUCCAGUGGUAUGUUUCCAGAUAGUUGACGGUUCCCUUGCAACUGUAGAGACGAUAACGACGAUAAAUCUCCGAUAUUCUCCGGUAUCAGUCCAGAGAAAUUGUUGAAGGAGAGAUCAAGGACUACUAAAUUCUUCAAUUGAGUAAUUUCUUUUGGAAUUUCACCGGUAAUCAUGUUGGUGGCGAUGCUCAACUUGGUCAAAUUCUUGCAUUUCCCCCAGUUUGGAGAGAGGUUUCCAGUCAGUUUAUUGUCACUCAAGUCAAUGUAAGUUAAAUUAGGAUAAACACCAAAAGCUUCUUCCACAUUUCCUGUUAAUUGAUUGUGUUCUAAACGAAGCCUAUACAACUUUGGGCAAUUUUUGAAGCUAGGAAUCGGACCUGUAAAAGUAGAACAACUAAUUAAACUUAAUUACGCAUAAAAGGAAAAAGUUAAAUAUAAACAAAAUAGAUCUACAUGUUUCUUUCUUUUUUGUACAACAAACAGAAGACAUAUAUUGAAUAUCAAGAGAGAGCAUACAGUUUGUUUUUCACUGAACUAAACUUAUUUUUGCCGAAAACAGAUUUAUUUUAGAAGCAAAAUCAUCAUUGAAUUUUUUUUUAAUAGACAUGUAAAUAUUGUUGUUUUUCUAUAAAAUUGUCUAUCUAACCCCUAAAACGAUCCAUUUGGAUUGAAAAAAACUAACCAGAUCUUCAACAACAAACAAAAGAGCACUUUGAACUUAUGGGAAGACUCCUAUAAUUUGUCGUUAGGCCUUUCUUGUAGUAGACACCCUCUUUUCAAAGAUUGCUCCUAGCAACUAAAGCUCUAAACUUCAAAGCUUUUCUCAACUAAGAGGCUUUUCUUAGGGCUCACCUCCAAGCCCUGCAUGUAACCGGUUUGAUUUUCAUUAAUAAAAUCCGGUGUCUUGGCAGUGCUUUAAUUAGGUUUUCCACCAUCGGUUUUAAUCUAAAAUAGUCUAUCGUUUUACUCUACAAAUAAAUAAGAAAAAGUUCACUAUAUUCGUAAAUAUUUUAAUUUAUUUUGCUAUAUUAGUAAUCCUUUCUAAAAACUACUUACACUUUAAUCUAAAUCAACUUUAUAUAUAUACAUAAAUAUUCGUUGAUAUAUAUAUAUAUAUAAUUAAAGUAUAAUUUAGUUAAUAAUAUUUCUUAUCAUUUGUCAAAUUACAUGUUUUGAAUGUUCUACAAAAAUAAACAAACAAGAAAAAAUUAAGUGCUCCUAUAUCAAUUUUUAAAAUUCUAAAUUACUAAAUAAAUUGUCGUUAAACAUAUUUAAAAACACAGUUUAAUCUUAAAAAUUAUAUAUUAAAACAAUAAAAGACAAUUUAGUUAAAAGGAAUGGAAAAUUAAAAAGGAAAUCAUUUUAAAGUAAACGGAUGAGAAAUGUAAUAGAUUUUGAACCUAUUUUUCUUUUCCACCACUUUUAUCAUUAUAAUUUAUUAAAACAAUAUUAUUUUUUAUGCAACUUUUUUUAAAAAAAAAUCUUAAAAAAGCAAUAAGAAAAAUCAAGAAACCUGAUUAUUUCUGGCUUUGAAAAUCUCUAUGCAACUUUUUUUUUUAAAAAAUCUAAAUAACGAGAAACAAAAAAACAGAACAAUUACCAAAAAUUACUUCGUGCUUUCUUAAAACCUUGAACAUUAUCAAACGAAUUUUAAAUUUGUCUCAUGAAACACAACGAGUGAAACGUUUUGAAAAUGAGACUUACCUGUGAAAGAGUUGGAAAAUGCAGUGAGGUUAACAAGCUGGCCAUGGGUGCACAAACCUGGGGGCAAAGGACCCGUAAAGUUGUUCUCAAAAAUCUGAACAUCGACCAAAGGUGAAUAAAUUCCCAAGUCUUGAGGCAAUGCCCCACUUAACUUGUUACCAAACAGCCUUAGAUCAACCAAUUUUGUCAAUUUUCCAAUACCUUCAGGAAUUUCACCACUGAAAUUUCCAAUACCAUUCAGACGAAGUUUGGUUAAAUUUUCCAAGUUUCCUAUAGAUUUAGGAAUUGAGCCAUAAAAUUUACAUCGAUCAAGAGCAAUUAUACUUAGCGACUUCAUAUUUCCAAACUCCUCGGGAAGCUCGCCUUCGACCUGAUGAUCAGUAGGGUCGAGCUUAGAACUUUAUGUUAGAUGAAGCACAAAUUCUUAUAUAUAGAGUACCCUUUAACAUUUAUCGUAUUGUUCUUAGACCCUCUUUUUGUUUAAUGGUAAUAUGUUUAAACUAUAGGUUAUUAUAAACUAUAGAUUUACAAUAGUUUGUAGGUUAUAAUAAUAUGUGUUUGAAAGGUGUUUAUUCCAAAAAAGAUACAUUUUUUUUUCUCUUUAAAAUUAAAUUAUAUAUAUUAUAUAUUAAAUAUUAGUUUAAAUUAAGGAUAGCUUAACCGAUUAAGAAAUUAGUAACUUUUGUUUUCAAAUUUCAGACAUUUUUCUUACCAUGGUAUCUUGCAUAACCAAGUGCUGCAUGCUUUUCCAACCAAAUUUCGAAUCUUCAGUCGGGAAGAAGCUUGGAUGCAAGCCUCCAGUAAUGUGGUUUCGAGAUACAUCGAGCUCGUAAACCUCGGUGAAAUUAGCAAGAGAAGAAGGAAGGGUACUAUUGAAGGAGUUGGUGGAGAGAUCAAAAAAUUGAAGCUUACUGAGAAGUCCAAUGGAAGGUGGAAUGGAUCCAUUGAGAUUAUUCAAUUUGAGAUCCAAUCUAAGAAGGUUGGGAAAUGAAGAAAAGUCUAAACUUUCAAUAGUACCAUUCAAACCAGUGUGAGCCAAAUUGAUUUCUAUGACAUGAGUGCUUUCAUUGUUGCAAGUAAUUCCCUUCCAUUGACAUGGAUUUGAGGCUUUGGAUGAGGAGCUUGAUGAGUUUGAUGGAAGAACCACCCAUGUGUCUAGAAUUGAUUGCUUUGGCAAACUUGCUUUCCAUUUCAAUAAAGCUUCAGUUUCAGUGGUGAUACUGGCUCUUGUUUUACAAAGGAUUGUUAAAAAAAGAAGCAAAACAACUACAACUGGAAGUGGAAUUGGGUGUUUAACUUGGUUGGUCAUAAUGAAGUUUGGUGUUUGGAUAAGAUAUUGGCUAUGUGUAUAUAAAAAGAAAUAUUAACGGUUUGUAGUAGCUGACAACUACUUUCCUCUACCUGUUCAAUGGAAUUAAAGGUAUAAAUUAAUUUUAUUUCCAAAUAAAGAUGUCAUAUACUUCAUUUCAUUUUCUUUUAUAUGUAUGGUUCUGAGUUAUUGGUCUUUCAACGUUUAUGGUGGGUCCUUCUAGCUUUUGAAACUUUUAUAAGGUUCUGUUUUUUUUCAACAACAGUUACAUUAUAUAUUUUAUGGAUGUUUUUUUCCCCUUUAAUUAAAUUCUCAGCCAUUAGGUGUUGACUUGUAGUGUAUUGGAUAUGCAAACUUGCAAAGAAUGGAAAUAGGUCAAGCUUGGAGUAAUUAGGCAAAGUAUAGGUUGAUUAUUUUGGCUUUUUUUGUUGUUGGUAACAAUAGUUCCAGUGAAACUUGUGACUAUAAAGGUGUAUAUAUAUGACUGUUGAAAAUUGUGGAAAACCUUCUCAGUAUAUAGUGUCACGUUAUACGAUCACUUUCAUCAAACGUUGAUUUUAUAAUUUUGAAAAACAUGUAUGGAAAUUCUCAAGAGCAGAAGUAACUAAAGUAAUACAAAAAUUCAGAAGAUUUGUUAGAGUGGAACGUUUUUAAGAAACAUUUGAAAGGUAAAAUAAUCUCACGAGUGGAAGCAAUAACUACAACAAUUCAAAGAAAUUACAACAAAUAAGAAAUGUUAUUUUUCAGAUAAAAAUUACUUAACCAAACACAUGACGAUGCUUGACAUUCAGAAUUAAUAAAGACACUUCGUGACCUUUGUAUUAUUGUCAACCAACAUAUAUUGCAGUAAACAAACUAAACUAAACUUGGAUCAAUGAUCUCUAAGAUAAUAUACACAGUCCACUGCUUACCUCUUCCCCAGCUGGGUGAUCAUCAACUGAUAUCUGAGCUAAUCGUCGUUGUCCUUUAAGAAGAAGAAGAAGAAGAAGAAGAAGAAGAAGAAGAAGAAGAAGAAGAAGAAGAAAGAAGAAGAAGAAGAAGAAGAAGAAGAAGAAGAAGAAGAAGAAGAAGAAGAAGAAGAAGAAGAAGAAGAAGAAGAAGAAGAAGAAGAAGAAGAAGAAGAAGAAGAAGAAGAAGAAGAAGAAGAAUUUAAUUUUGUGUUUUUAAAGUUAUAAAUAUGCGUAUACUUCAUUCUUAAAUUUUUGUGAUUAUUAGCAUAAUUCAAACCGUAAUUAAUAUACAUUACUAUUCUUUUUUAUAAAAUUAUAUAUUACAAAACAUAAAUUAUUGAGAUAAAUUAAGCCUUUUGUUUUCUACUUAGAUAUAUAUCAUAUCAAUUAUAAAUGCAUAAGAAAAAGAAAUAUUAACAAUAUUUGGACAUAAAUUAAUUUUCUAUUAAUUAUAUUGUCUUUUUUAAAAAAUAUUUAAAAAAUCAUUUUUUUUAAAAAAAAAGUUAAUUUAAUUUAAUUUUGUUAUUUAUUGAAAAAUAUAUUUUAUAUUUGGAAAACAACUUAUGGGUUCGGCACUUGAGCCUCAAUAAUUGCAUCUCUAGUUUAUUGAUCUUAUGAGUGAGAUAAAUGUUGAUGUAAUAAUUGAUAUAAUUUCGAUGGAAAUUUAAUAAUAUGAGAAACGGACGAUGAAACCUCAUCUCAUAUUUUGAAGCUGAAAGUAAACGUUUGUUAUUUUUUCUUUUUUAUUUAAAAGAAAAAAUAAAAGUUACGAUGGAAAACACUAUAACGAAUAACUAGAGAUAGUCGAAGGAUAAGCUUGCAACCCACUCGUCCCUCUUCCUUUGAUCUAAGGUCAUAAUUUAUAUGCCUCGUUAAUUGUCAGUUGAACUAUGUUACAUUGGAAGAGAAUGUAGUAUUCUAUAUUUAAUUGAAGUGCUUUUCUUGAAAUAAUUGUAACGAAUAAUACUUUUAGAGUUAAUAAUUAAGUAUAUAUAGUAACAUUUUUUAAAGAAGGGUAAAUAAGUCAUAUAUAUAUAUAUAUAUAUAUACCGUUUAUCACUGAUAAACUUUGAGUAUAUUUGUAAAAUUGUUGACACCGUCUUAUUUUGUUAAUAUUUGAUUGCUACAUUUUUCAUUGCUUUUUUUAAAAAUUAAUUAGCAGCCAACAAAAUUUCAAGCAAUGGACCAUUAAACAUUAAUUUAAAUUUGAAAAUUGAGCACUAAUAUAUUUAUUUGAAAGAUACACAUAACCUUCAAGCAUUAUUCACAUAUAAACAGCAAAGGAAAGAGGAUCGCAAGAGAUGAACAAAAUGGCUUCUUAUAAGAAGCACUUAAUAAUCUUAGCAACUCUCUUGUAUCUUAUGCUUUUCCUUUCAACCUAUGGGGCAGCAAGGAUCUUGGAUCUAAAUGGUACAUUUUCUCAACAUUUCUAUUGUUAUUUUUUCUUUGGCUAACCAAGAUCCAUGAAAAGUUUAUAAUUUUAUGUUUUGAUUAAUUUUUUUCAGGAAGUAUGAAGGUCCGAGAGAUCAAGGUUAUUGUAGUAGGACGACGAAUUGUACGACGAGAUUUGGCACAUGGAGGAAAUUAUGGCCCGGGAGUUCAGUGAGAUAUGAUGUUAUAAUUAAACUAGUUUUCUUCGAGUUUCUUUCUUCUUAAAUAACUUGAAUGUAGUGCAAAGUAUAUUGUUAAAAGUUCGAUAACAUUUCGGUUUGAAACUUCUUUUUUUUUGAAGUACUAAUGAUUUUAGAGAAGAAAAUAAUAAGCAUAUAUAUGUAUAUAUAUUAGAAAGGAUGAUUAGUACUUCUUGUUUGUUUGUUUUGAAAUAUAUAUACAUAUAACAUUAUUGUCAAAAGAAAAAAAAAUUGUGAUUGUUUUGAGGCAAAAAGAAUAGGUUUGUUGGUAGAAACCAAUUAAAACUAACAUGUAUAAGUUAAUAUACUAAGAGAGAGUUGAUUUUUCCAAUUGAAUGCAACAACAAAGAUGCAAUAUUAUUCCACUUGAUCUAUCCCUAUGUAGUUUUUAUUAAUAUUCAAGGCCUUAAGUUCAUAAUUAUUUAUUAAUUUUCGUCUAUGGAAGAAAACGUGAAAAUAUUUAUUACAACAAAAAAAGCCCAUGAAGUCAUUCUUGUUUUUUUAUAAAUUCCUAAUUUGUCUUUGUUAGUUUCGAAUAAUUUCACGAGAAGAAGUAUUGAAUUCUUGCGCAUCUUCUUCAUAUUAUUACUUCUCCAUUUCAUAUUUUCAUUAAUUUGUGUUCGCGAUUUCUUCAUCUCCUCUUCCAGAAUUUCUUCCUUCUUCAUCAUUUCCCAUCUUCUUCUUUUUUUCUUUUUCACAAUACGAUCGUGUACCAAAAUCUAAACGACCAGUUGUUUAUCCUAGAUAGAUAAGUGAUAGAUUUAAACGAUCAUAUCAUUUACCAAGAUUAUGUAUUAAGAUUGUUUAGAUAUAAUUAUUAGUAUACCCGUGUCUAUCUUAGAUAGGUAAAUGAUAUACUCAAACGAUCGGUUGUCAUGAUCUAAAUAAUCUAAUUUUAGACUAUAUUGUAAGAUCGUUUAAAUUAGAAACAUUUUCGCACGCGAGUGUGGUAGAUUAAAUCGUUGGUAUUUUUGUUAUUUUAUGUUGUGGACCGUUGACCCUUUUCUAUUUCAAAAUGAUUCUUUACCUUGUAAAUAAUUUUUGCAUUUACUUUUUAUUUUUUCAAAAAAACCCCAUAAUUAUUUUACUAAUCAUUUGGUGGGUCUUCAAUCAAUGUUAAUUAGAGUCACCUUUUUGUGCAUUUAAGUUCUAAUAAUCUAAACUACGUCAUGAGCACAAGAUUUAGAAACAACAAUCAAUAUAGGGCCAAUAGAUUAAAUAGUGCAUGAAUAUUCAUUCAUUCAAUGGAUGGGUCUAGAUUGAUUAAUUUAUUUAUAAAUAUAAACACUAGCAAACAUAUUCAUCUAAUCAAACGAUAGGACGUUAAUCAAAUUAACUAAAAUCUAUUUUAUAAUUAAAAAGAAAAAAUGUAAUGGGACAACAUAGAUAGUUGUCCUUACUUGUAUAUCCAAGAUCAUCCUCUUAUCUAACCAAUAUGAGACUUUUUCUCGACUUCACAUAAUAAAUAAAUAAAUAAAUGGAAAAGAACAAAUAGUUGUCGAUUACGUCGAUCCGUCUUCUUGGCUCAAACACUACAAUCUCGAGCCUUGAAAAUUCGUUUCCUUCAACUGAUCUAAGGUCAUCUCCAACCCCUUAAAUGAAAUAUUUUCAUUUUAAUUUGUCUAAACUUUUCUCCUUAAGAGAGGGCGCGGUAGCAUUGGCCAUUGAGACCAUAGGGCGUAGCCAUCUGGAUGCUAUUCAUUCCCAAAUAGUGUUUAGUGACAUUUCAUAUGCCUUACGCACUUUGCUACUGGGAGAAAUUUAAUGAUUUUGGUCAUUUGAGACACUUUAUUGUUGGGGGUAAAGAGUAGAGUAUGGCUAUGUGAGAUAACAAUUUGUCAAAGGCUAACAUUUCCAUAAAAAAUGAUUCUAUAGCCGAGGCAUUGCCUAUAAAAAGAAGUGUUGAUCAAAUUUGAAGGGUUGAUAAAGUCCUCCAUUUAUUAUAUCAUAAAAAUCAUGACACAAACCCCAACAUCAAUUCUUUUCAAUUUCUUUCCCUAACAAGCUUCCACAACAUUACAACAAUUAAGCUUAUAUGAAGGAGAGCAUAUUUUUCAAUGUUGUUCUUCAACAACCCAAAGUUUAAAAUAUCCAUAAUUUUUUUUAAAAAAAAAUAAGUUUAAACUAAUAAAUAAGUAUUUUAUUAUUUUCAAAUAAAUAAACACCUCUAUUAUUUAUAUUAUAUUUAUAUUAAUGACGUGCAUUAUUUGAUGUUUAUUUUCAUGUUGUUUCAUGCAUUUUCUUAUUCAUGCCUAUAAAAAAUAGAAUAUCAAAAUAGCUUUUAAGUCAUUUUAAAACUCUUUCAAAUUUUAUUUUAAACAAUUUUUAUCAAAAAAAAGUUUAAAUAAAAACUACUUAGCUUUUAAAAAUUAUAUUUUUUUCGUUUAGUCAAAUCAGAAUAGACUCUGACUUAGGCUAUCAUCUACCACCUUUAAUUGAUCCACUUACUGAAAAUUUAUUUAGCACACAUGAUGUGUUAAAGUGAGGUAGAAGAUUCAAUACUUCAACCCACGAUUAUUGUUUUGUACUAAGAAAAAUAAUUUAUUAAGACUGAACAAAGGUAUAUAAUAUAAAGUUGAAGGAUGAGAUUUUGUUAUCAGUUUUAGGCCUUUCUCAUUGGAAAAACACAGCUGAUCCAUCAUGAUUUGAGAAGACAGAGUAUGUAUCCAUAAAUGGUAUAGCCUUGUAAAACACAUCAAAUUCAAAACUUGAGUUUGGUGGAUCAUUAAUUGUUGAGAAUUACUCCAUACUUUCUCAUGAAUAUAUGCCUCAACACUUUUUCUUUUUUCCUUUUUAAAACACAUUCUAAUGAACACUUGUUGGAAUGCAUGUUCAUUCAAAAAGGUAAACCAAGCCUAAAGAUUAUUAUUUAUGAUAUGAUCCCUCAAUGCAGAAAAAGCCUGUUGAGUUUUUAAAUUCCACAACACAAAGUUGGCCAACAACCUCCCAUAUUAACUUCUUUCUUGCCUUUGUUGAUACCCACAAAUAUUUGCUUCAAGCACUAUAAAAAAUGGCUUUGGAGUACACCAAAUUUCUCCUUUGUAGAAAAACCCAAUGGAAAUCACUACUCAAUUCGGCUUUGUGGUUUUAGCUUUCAUCUCUUUCUUUUCAUCUCUUUCUUAUUCUUUGCCUCUUUCGACAAACGGGAGAUGGAUUGUCGACUCCGCCACCGGGCGUCGAGUGAAGCUUGUGUGCGUGAAUUGGCCUUCUCACACGCAAAGCAUGUUAAUCGAAGGCCUUGAUCGCAGACCAUUGAAAGACCUAGCAAAUGAGGUAGUGCGAUUGAGGUUUAAUUGCGUGAGGCUCACAUAUGCAACUCACAUGUUUACUCGAUAUGCUAAUAGGACAGUUGAAGAGAAUUUUGACCUUCUUGAUUUGAGAGCUGCUAAGGUGGGGUUGGCUUUCCAUAAUCCGUUUGUAUUGAAUAUGACCAUUUUUGAAGCUUAUGAAGCUGUGGUUGAUGUGCUCGGGACCAGUGGUUUGAUGGUUAUAGCUGACAAUCAUAUUAGCCAACCAAGAUGGUGUUGCUCUCUUGAGGAUGGAAAUGGUUUCUUUGGAGAUCGAUAUUUCGACACGGAAGAAUGGUUGGAAGGUCUUCGUUUGGUUGCCAGACGAUUCUACAACAAAUCAGCAGUACGUAAAUUCAAUCUUCAUACUUUUGAAAUGAUUUUUGUGAAAUAUGAAACAAAUACAUAACAUAGACACAUACACAUUUUUAUAAAAGUAAGUUACAAGUAUAGUUCAUUUGUUAAAUUAAAGAUCAAUCCAAAUAUUUAUUAAAAUAAGUUAGGGAGGACUCGUGGGUACUCAGUUUGAGUUGUAUUAAAGCACUUUUUAGACCCAACUCUAUUCAACCAUAAAAUAUAUUUACGCUGCUUUGGCUCAGGUUCCUCGAGUCACUAAAGUCAUCUAUUCAUCAAAUAAUUGGGUUCUUAAUAUAUAUUUAGAAAAUGAAAAUAGUACUAGAAAGUAAUUAAUUAGUAAGUAAAAUUAUGUCUUUCUUUGAUAAAUUUAUGGGACUUUCACCUUCACGUCCAAGCAGGUGGUAGCCAUGAGCCUACGUAAUGAACUCCGAGGAGCAAGCUCAAAAUCGAAAGAUUGGAACAAGUACAUAACACAAGGAGCAACAACAAUCCACAACAUAAACCCAAAGAUCUUGGUAAUCAUUUCCGGUCUAAACUUCGACAACGAUCUAAGAUGCCAAAGGCAAUACCCCUUGCAACUAAACAACCUACACAACAAGCUAGUAUUUGAAGUACACUUAUAUUCCUUUAGUGGAGAAUCCCAAUCAAAGUUCAUCCAUAACCCACUCAACAAAAUUUGCUCAAAGGUCAUCAAUGGGUUUGUGGAGAGAGCUGAGUUUGUGAUGGAAGGAGCUGAGGCAGUUCCUUUGUUUGUGAGUGAAUUUGGGUUGGACCAAAGGGGAGUUAAUGAGGCUGAUGAUAGGUUUUUGAGUUGCUUUAGUGCUCAUCUUGUUGAGAAAGAUUUGGAUUGGGCAUUAUGGGGUUGGCAAGGGAGCUAUUAUUAUAGACAGGGUAAAGUAGGACCUGAAGAAGUGUUUGGAGUUUUGAAUUACAAUUGGAGUGAUGUUAGAAACCCUCAUUUUUCUCAGAUGUUUCAACUCUUGCAAACCAUGUUACAAGGUAUGAUUUCAAGUUCUAUUUGAUGACGCUUUUGUUUCGGUUUUUUUAUUUUAUAAAACGACUAAGUUCAUUUUUCACUAUACAUAAAUGAUAAACUACAAAGGACAAAAUGAAAUUUUAAAAAUAAACUUUUGAAUAGAACAUACAGCUAAUGAUAGUCUAUUUUCUCUUGUUACUUUGUCUAUCGAAAAUACUCUUAUACGUUCAAAAGUUUUUAAAAAAAUUUAAACUCCUAAACAAGAAUUCAAAAAUACUUUUGUCAUUAGCUUUUCAUAGAAACGGUUAGUAUUUUAUUUCAGAAAUACUCAUAAAUUGUCAAAAUUAAUAUCAACAAAACUCCCUUAAACUAUAAUAAAAAAAUAAAAAGUUAUUAAAAAUAUACUCUUACAUCGGCAUAUGAACAAAAUCCAUUAACAUUUGUGAAUCAUAUUAAUAUUAAAUUUUUAAUGAUUUUACAACUCAACUUUUUUAUGAUUCGAUAAUAGCAAUUGUGGUAGUACUUUUAGAGCUAAUAAUUAAGUGUAUAGGAACACUUCAAAAGAAUUACGAAUAUAAUAAAAUCCAUCAAUGAUAGAUAUUAUCGCUGAUAGACUCCUAAUAAUAAAGUCCAUUACUUAUAGGCUUCGAGAGUUGGACUUAAAUUUUACUAUAUCUAUACAUUUCUUUUAUAUUAUGAUAUAUUUGAAAAUAUUUUGGAUAUAAUCUCUAUAUUUGUUACUAGCUUAAUUUGAUUUAUAGAUCCAAAUUCCAAUUCCUCAAACACUUACGUGAUGUAUCAUCCACAAAGUGGGCAAUGUGUCCUAGUGCAAGACAUGAAACAUAUGCAAAUUUAUCUCAACGAUUGUUCAAAUGCAAGCCAUUGGAGUUAUGAAGGAGAUGGAACUCCAAUAAUGUUGGCAUCCACUAAUUUUUGUCUAAAAGCCAGUGGAGAUGGGCUUCCACCAUCACUCUCAAGGGAUUGUUUUGGUGAACAAAGUGUUUGGACAGCCAUUUCAGAUUCUAAGCUUCAUUUGGCCACACUAACAAAGCAAGGCAAUAACGGUAUGUGUUUAGAGAAAGAGAGCUCAAAUUCUAGUAGGAUUUUGAUGAGGAGUUGCGUUUGUGUUGGUAAUGAUUCAAAUUGUUUACAAGAUACUCAAGCUCAAUGGUUUCAACUUGUUGUUACAAAUACUUUGUAAAUUGUUCACAUGGGGAGAUGAAAUGGUGAAAUAAGAAAGUGGGAUUAUUUAGUUUCAAUUAUUUGUUUCAUGAGGACUUUUUGCCUUUUCUCUUCAAGUAUUUUAACGUAUACAUAUCUUGGGAUGAUUUUGAGUUUGAUUUUUAAGUAAAUUUUGUCGUCUUUGUUCGAGUGUAUCCAAGUAUUAUUCACAUUUUAAUCCACCAUUAGAGAUUGAGUUCCAAAUAAAUCCUAAAAAUAAAACAAAAACAGAGUCCCAAAUACAUUCCUUUUUCACAUAAAUACUACAUGUUCUGUUUUGAUGAUAAUCUUACUAUACAACAUCCCUCAGCUAACCUACACAGCCAAAUGCUGAGGAGCAACAAAUUUCCAUAUCCUUCUAAAGUUUCCACUCUCUAAGUACUUAGUGUCUUCACAAGCUCACCAACUCACAAAAGUUGCUUGGAGACCAUUUAUGAAUCAUGCAUACUGUCGUCGUGCGUACGUGUCUUCGUGAACGAAAACAGGUUGCUGAGUGUUUUGUGGUGGAAACUGAGGCUGCCCCAAAGCAAUGCCUUGAGCUGGAGCAGAAUUCCCCCACAAUGGGCUAUUGUUUUUUGCCAAAUUCAAAGUGAGGUAAUAGACUAUUGCCAAUAAAACACUUGCAAGUGACAGAAUGGCGCCUCCAGCAAAGACUCCGGGUUUCACGACAUAGCAGUAAUAGUAAUAAUUACCAAAGUACAUAGUUCCUCCACCGUGCUGAUCGUUAAGGGCAGCACCAGUCAGCAAUAACAAGAAGGCAAUUACGAAACUGAACCUGAAAACUCAGCCAAAUGGAAUAUGACAUCAAGACAUAAACUAAUGGUGUAAAACAUACAAGAUUAUGAACUUAAAUUCCUCAAAAUGUGUAGGACCGUGUAAUAAAUUUGAAGUUGUAGCAAACAAAAACAUCCUUCUCAGCAUAUGCUGACUUGAGAGAAGAUGGAGAGAAGGGCAAAAGAGUAAAAUAGCUGCUUCUAAAGUAAAAAAAUGUUUAUUACUGACAAUCAUUACCUCCCCUUCAAAAUAAAAGGAUGACCACUUAACGAUAUACCCAUUCCAAUGCAAGUUCUGCCUCUCACAGUCAUGAACCGAUGGUAAGGUUACACAGUACAGGAAGUUAGGAUAUACCCUCCUAGGUUCUGGGUCCAGAUCCCAUGUGGAAAAAUUAAUAAUUGAAACCCCUUGUGGUUAGUUAAAGUUGGUUCCAUUUAUAUUCUAUUCUGUCUCAAAAAAGGUUGCACUAAUCUAAGAGACUAUUUCAUUCGUGAAAUGAAACAUAGAAAAGAGUUGGGCUAGAGAACUUAAAAGAAAGGACUUACUAUACGAAGGCUUUGUAGUGUUUACACCAAGAAGCAAUUAGAAAAAAAUACGCUCAACUAAGAUCUUGAAAGAUUUGCCUUUCCUCCCACAGAUUCUUUCUAACCUUCCUAAAACACAAGGAAUAGCCCAUUAACGCCAAUACCAAAUGAAUGCUCUUAGUAAUUAACGCCAAAGAAUUUUAGCUUCCUUAGGUAGAUAGAUAGCCAUCUAGAGCGACAUGACAUCAAACAGAGCAUGAAAUUUGUUUGAUGAGGGGAGAUCAGGCCAGGGCCAAAAUUACUGAAAAUAUUACUCCUACGCCAAAUUAAAGAAGCCAUUAUACCAGUCAAUUUAGAUCCUAAAUGAAAACACGAACUCCAGCAGUAUUACCCAUCAAGAGCUUUGCUUGGUUGGGUGAACACUGUAGAUAGGCUUCUAGUUCGCUGGGUGUGUGCCUGUUUUUAUGGGAUUUUUUUUUUUUUUUUUUGGGGGGGGGAGGGAGAUGAACAAUGGAGGGUUCAGAGGGGACCCUCGUGAGGUUUCACAUGUCACUUUGGGCUCUAAUAUCAAAGCUUUUUUGUAAAUUUGUAAUUAUUCUCUAGGUGGGGGGGGGGGGGGGGGGGGGGGAUGAACAAUGGAGGGUUCAGAGGGAAGGGUAUGGACCCUCGUGAGGUUUCAAAUGUCACUUUGGGCUUUAAUAUCAAAGCUUUUUUUGUAAAUUUGUAAUUAUUCUCUAGGUAACAUUUGGGGGGGGACCAACAAUGAUUGAAGAGUAAUCUUGGGAUAAAACCAGUUGGUUCUUUCAAACUUUUAGGACUAACUAUGUCAGGCCAGGUUUUGACAGAAAAUUUGAGGAAAAAAGAUGAGAAUUUGAUACCAGAGAGGAGAAGGGUGGGAGAUUAGUCGAUGGGAAGUGACUUUCAGAGUGGAGCGGAGAUCACUCUUCUAAGGCUCUAACUCUCAUACAUCAUUUAUAUUCUAACUCGAUCAGUAUAUCAAUACCAGACAUUUCCAUAUUAGUGUAGUAGAGUAUAAAACAAGGAAAGCUGAGGAGAGAACAAAUUUAUUACAAGAAGAAAAUUGGCGACUGAUGACAUCUUCACUGCAUCCCAAAGCUAAUUCCCUUCUUCCUCAAACAAUCCUACAACCCACCCACCUGUUAGUUAACUGUCAUAACUCAUAAUGAACCAUUAACCACUCAAUAGACAGCCCAGAUGACUAAUGAGUUAUAGUACUGCCAGAAAAAAAUCAGCAACUUCCAAAGUAUUUGUCUAGGUGCAACUAAUUCCAAUUGGGAGAUGAGAUGAAUAUUCUCUACCAGUGAACUGUAUAAUGAACUUCAGAGAUUACUCAGGAUGGGGAGAGCAUUAGAGCAUCUAGAGUAAAACAGCAUAAAUACUGAUCAAAUUUGACCAAAUUCGCACCCCAAUUCCUGUUUGACUAUCAAACGGAAAGGCAUUCUGAAAUUCAACAACCACCAUCAUUUCCAACUAUUUCAAAAGUCAGGCCUAGUGUUAGCUCAAAUUCACAACUCAAGGAAUGGCAUUUGACAAAAAUAAUGAUUUGUUUCUCCAGUUAGAAAGAUAUGUAACUGUAAAAAGAUGGAAUGUUAAUUCAAUUAGAAUGGUUCAUAGACCCCUUACCAUGAAAUAACGAAGCUCAAGAGUGCUAUUUUCCAAUUAGGAUUGGAAGGAUUGGGACUUCUUUUGCAACAAAUGCAACCACUAGAAACAUUUACAAUUAGUUGUGCAAUUAACAGAGAAAUUGCAGCAGUUAAACCAAGACCCAUUGCUGGACUUCGCGGAUAUGCACACUCAGAUGUAGAGAUAAACUGCACCUGAGAGCCCUGUUAGAAAAAUUGGAAUCAAUUUUGUGUUACUCCUUUUCAUAGAUUCAGGAAACAAUUCACAAACCAAGAACAAAUAAUGCCAAAACAAUAGGUAAUUACACCAUCUAAAUAAUCAGUUCAAAGAUUUGACUGCAAUUUAUACAACCGUUAACUGAAAUUGUUUUUUUUUCUUUUUUUCUUUUUUUUGCACAAGGAAACUACAAAAAUCAUGAAAAUAAUGGGUUCCUAAUCCAUUCAAACUGAUAUCCAAAAAUAAUAAUGAAACAAAUAAAUGAUCGCUAUGGUUAGAAUAAUCGCAGUGUUCUUCUCAUUAUAUGUAACGUCCCACAUUUUCGAACGUAGUUAAUUUCCGUCAACCAAAGUCUUCCUUUGAAUUUCAUCUUGAUUAAGUAAUUUAGAUUGUGAUGGACUAAGAUCCACUUGUUGCUUGAAAUAAACUAUUGGUUUUAAUUUGGUUGAUUCACUUUCAAUUAUAGGAUUUUGGAGCUAAAUUUGUUUAAUUUGAGGAGAUAAUUCAUUUGUUUGGAUUUCCUAAAUUUAUUGGAUUCAAGGAAUUCGAGGUUGGGCUAGGAUAGAGUUGUUGGGCUUCAUCUUGGCCUGAAAAUUGACUUUGACUUGUCAAAGUCAACUAGGACAAAAAAAGAGAUAUAUAUACAUAUGGAUGCAGAUGUAUAUAUAUUAAAAUACUGUUUAAUAUUUUCGAAGAAGUGGGGCAGGAAUAUCAACUACAAGUCAGAAAUAUUUAUUGUUCAUAGCCUUCCACUCAUUUAGUCUGCCUCUCUGCUCCAAGUCUUUCUGCUGCCUAUUUUCGAUAAAGCUGAAGAUAACCUCACCAAAUGGAGCAAUCAUUCCAUAUCAAAGGGUGGUAUAGUUGAAAUAAUCCAAGCGGCCCUCUCCAAUUUAACAAUGCCUAACUUCAAAACUCCAAAAUCAGUGAACAAACGAUUGGAGACAUUUUAGAGGAAUUUUUUCUGGUACAUCCUAGAAAUGAGAAAGUAAGCUUUGCUUAGUAAACUGGCAAAGGUGCAGCUGCCCACCUAAUUUGGACGACUUUAGAAACUUAAAGGAAAGAAAUCAGGCCCUUCCUGCAAAUGGAUUUGGAGGUAUUUAUAUGAGAAAUCCUCCCUAUGGGAAAAACAAAAUUUAAAAAAAAAGUAGAAAACUAUUGUGUCUAAAAUAUGGAGCACAAGGCUAUGCCUCUUGGUCAGAAAACAAGCCUUAACGACGCGAAGGACCAUGAGCUGAUUGAAUUUCCUAAAUCUGAUGGAGGCUAAACAAACCUUGAUAUAGAGUUGUCAGUUGAGAGGAUAUCAGUAUCAGCUUCCAGCAUGACAACUAGACAGCCAACACUCUAUUGGCAGUGGAGUACCGCGAUUUCUAAGAUUUAUCCAAAAGAGCUUAGCUCAACCAGCAUCUAUAUGUAGUGAGGACUAAGAAGUCUGUUGUUCAAAUCCCCCAACCCCCCCAGCUUACGUAAUGUGUUAAGCGGCUACAUAUUCUUGGAAUUAUUUCUAGAAAAACAAGACCUACCAUCAAUCUAGACUCUCUUUUGUCCCCUUCCCCUCCCCUCAACCUCAACCUUGCCACCGCUUCUCAGAUGAUGCUAACUGUUCACUUCCUCCCUCCUUCGCCUACCAUCCUCUAUCUCUCUCUCCUAAUUCCUCUUGACUCUAAAAAGUAAAAACUUUCCAUCCCGAUCCCUAACCUAGUCUUCAACCAUCUGCUCAUUGCAUUGUCAUCUAUUUGGCUUUGCAGCUGAUCUCACAACCCACACCCAUUCAACCCAUAACCCACAACCAUUCAACCCAAAACCCAUCACCAUUCACAACCUGCAACCUGACCAUUCGUGACAGUCUUCUUCUGUCUUUGCCAGUAACCAUUCAUUGAUGUGAUGAAAUUGAAUUAAAAAAAUAUCUUAAUGAGAGAUAGUUACAAAAAAAAACACCUCCAACGACUAGAAAGGGUGUUUAGAAUAAAAUUACAAAAAGGAGACAACAUGCUCCAACUUCCAAGUAAAAGCUAGUAGAGAAACAGAUUCAAUAAAGUAGCCUACGUUCUGUUUUUUCUCCAUGACGAGCAUGGAAUAGGGGUAUUAAAUGGGAGUCUCCGCUUUCUCCUUUCUAAAGCCACAAAUAUGGGACAUUUUACAACUCAAUUUUCUUAAUUCCUUUAUUUAGUUCGGACCUCCAAGCUUCAAUAGACAGAAGGAAAAAGAAGAAAAAGACAAAACAGAGGCAACAUUGAUCUCAAGCACCAAUCUAAACCACAAGUUGUAUGUUGUUUCAGUGAGAAACUAUCCAAAAAAAUGAGAAAAACUGAAAAAGGAACCCUUAAAUUUCGAAGUUUCGAACAAUCAAAAUAUCAACAGAACUGCAACUAUUCCAAUAAGAUGCAUUGCCAUCUAAAGUUCACAAAAGACCUUAACAUGAAAAAGAACUUCCCCCCUUCCAUUUUCCUUAUUAAUUUCAUCAGCCAAGAGAAUGGUCGAGAAAUACAAGAGAAACCCACAAACAGAAACCCAAAUGCAAGUGAAAAUCCAAUGUUAAAAAGAACAAACGAAAGAAAACUAAAGAUGGGUUGCAAGCAGAAAUAAAAGAAAAAAUGACCUUGAUUCGUGUAGCUUCAGCAACAAACCCAGUAACAGCUGAUAAAAUUCCCAAUAAACCCACAACAGAACACACCACCAAAACCUUUCUCUCCAUCCCUUUUGCUCUCUAAUGUGGAGGAGGACUGAUUUCUUACAGAGUCACUCAAUGGGAAGUCUCAAAAACCCUUUUUUUUGUUCAAGAACUUGUGGGUUUUUGUUGUUGUAUUGGCCAAUCUUUGGGUGUUUGCUUUAAAGCAAUAGCAAGAAAACGUAAAGUUGGUGUUGCGGUGUCGAAGAGAGUGGAUGGUACACCAAAGCAGAUUUUCACUAUGCACAACUUCGAAAGCUGACGACUGCUUUUUUUUUUUUUUAAUACUUUUUCUUUAUAUGUUCCCCUGUUAUGUUAUUCUUGCUUUUGCAUUGCAUAUUCUUUCUUCUUUCCUCUUUUAUGAACCUACAUUUUUCUUUCUUUUACGAUAACAAUUGACGAUAAGACAUUGAAACUUCACUAUUUUUUUCACUAAUUUUGGUAUUGUUUCUUACCAUUGUUAUUCUACAUUUCCUAGCAUGUCGUCGAAUGCAUUGCUACUAUCUACUACUUAUUAUUGUAUCAUCUUUGUCACGUUCAAAUUCAAAACGGUAGAUUUGUAGUCUUGUCGUAAUGCACUGUUGUCAACACACUCAUCAUCUGACAUUGUUGGUCUACCACAUGUUACCCAAUAGCUUUGAGCACUAAAAAUAUGAGAAACACUCCAAACUAGAACUAAAGUGUCCAAAUCAAUCUCUUUCAUUCAAGUAUAGUACAUCCUUGUUUCAUCUCAUAGUUUUACUUUAAAAUGACUAGAAACAAACUAGUUGUCAAAUUUGGUCUAAUUUUCUUACAACAAUAAAAGGGGGAUUUCUAGCCAUUUAAAGAGCAAACUUCCAAAAUUAACAACAGUGAUUAAUUGAGUCAAUUAUUUUUUUAAAAUCACUCAUAUCUUGGACUUUAGUCUUCAACUUGAAUUAAUCGAAUAUCAGCAAAAGAUUAUGUUGCCACAAACAAAAAUGAUUGAUAGCCAACACAAGUGACUAGCAAUUUUGUAUCAUUGGAUCCAUAAGGAAAAUACACAAGUAAUUGAAAUCUAUAAUCAAUGAUUGCUAAAAGACAAUUUCUCAAAUUUAUAUCAAACAACCAUUAUCAGAAUGCAACCAACACGUCUUUUUCUUAAAAGGGCUUCCAUUAAAAUUUUAUUUCCUCAAGAAAAGGAUCUUAUACAAGUGAAUCGAAUAUAAUUUAUAAUAUUAACAUAUGUGCAGCUCGAAAAUGUGAGGACAAAAAGAUCAAGGUUAAAGAAAUGGAAAUAAGAAGGAACUAUGAAUUAGGAAAAUGAUAAAUGAUACAAGUUUUGGAUAUAAUGGAAUGAGUAUCACUGAAGGCCAUAAACAAGCAAUGCUCCAACAGCUCCAAUGCCAGCAACCAAACCAGCAAUGACUCCAAUUGGAGGCAAACCUCCUCCUACUGCUUUUCCUGUGCUCACAUCAUAUUUUGCAAACCUUUUCUUUGGUGCUAUACAUUGAGGGCAUGCAUAUCCAUCAGGCUGCACCAUCCAAACACCACUCAUUUAGUUCAAACAACAAAACGAAACUCAGUAGAGUUUCAAAACUUUGACUUCUACGUUGAUGAUAUAUGUUUAAUAGCACAAUUAAGUUUACUCGUGUUUUGAAAGAAUUAUACAAUCCAGACUAUGCUUAAAAAACAAACACAUCCAAUAUAGCCUUGUCAAAUGACAUGUGACUCAUCUCACUUGAGUCAACCUAACCCCCCCCAGCACAUCCAUAGGCUUGGCUCAAGCCCGACGUAGUAUUACUGUUUGAUUAACUUGACUUAGCCCACCUCGUUAUUACAUAUAAUCUAUCUCUUUGAACUUGUAUUAACAACGUCAUUAGCGACCAAAUUUGAGUAUAUAUUGUUAUUCACAUAUUAUUUAGAUGUAGAAUAAUACAAUAACAUCCUUACUUAUCACUAUUAGCAACCAACAUUUUCUUUUAGAUGAUAUGGAUAUACAAGCUAAGGCAUCAUCUUAUAUUAACAAGUCAUUCUUUUUUCAGUUCGACAGUUACAGAGUGGAGAUCAAACCCUUGAUUUCUGAAUUAGGAAUUGGUGUCAUAUCCACUAAACUAUACUCUUGCCUAUCUGAUCUUAACUUAGUGAAAAUGGUUUAAAAGAGCCGAGAUCAAGACAAACCUGCUCGUCGAAGGGUUUCGAUAGGGUGUAAAUAUAUCCACAAUCCAGGCAUAUGUGAGUUGCUUUAGCCUGCACAACACAUAGUAAUGCAAAAACCAUGAAGCUAAAGCCUAAAGAUGAAGUAAAUUUAAUACAAAAGGUUACAUUAUAAUGGCUGAGUGAUGCUUUACCUUUUGUGCAUCAGUAAGUUUUCUUCCAAAGCGAGGUGGCGCAGGUCUCUUUGGGAGUCGUUUAACAUCCACCUCAGCACCUCUGUUUUAACAACAUUUUACAAGUUAAUAUACAUCAUAUAUUGUUUGUGAAGUUUUCUUAAAAAGUUAGUAAGCUUUCAUUAAAGUUUACUGUUAUUUAUUGCAAAAGAAAUGUUUCAGGGUUGGAUCAAAUUCAGUGUCCUCUUGGUAUUCUUUAAUAACGGUUUAGGUCUGAUCGUUGGAUAAUGAUUUGUCUUUUGUUUGAUUUUCUAUUAUUUCCUCAUCCUGGUUUUAUUUUUCUUAGGUAAGCAUUUUAACUAUUGAUUUUUAAAAUAAUAGUUAUAGUCAAUUUCUAAAAAAUUAACCCUAUUCUUUCAUGAUUUUCAAAAUGAAAAAUACUGAAGUGCAUUAUGGAUGCAACAAAGUUAUUCAAUUAUGAUUUGUCACAUGAUAAAUUGUUUCUACUUUUCUUUUAAAAUAUUUUAAUCCAUUCUUCAUGAUUUGAUAAGACAUUUUAAGUAUGUUCGUAGACUUAAUUUUAAAGAAUGAAAAAUCCAAAAACCAAAUUGUUAUCGAAAUCUUUGUUCGAACUAAUAUUUUCAAAAUCUCACCCAAAUUUUUCUAAAACGAGAUUGUUUUAAAAAAUUUGUUUCAUUUUUAAAAUUUGGGGAAUAAAAAAUGUGAACAAUAGAAAAAAAAGUGGUAAGGACUACAAUAGUUGUAGAAGUUGAUCAAAAGGGUAGUUUUUUAAACAAAUAAAAUACUAAUCUUAAGGACUUAAACAGUUCUUUUAUACAAAAUCAAACCAUUAAACAGAAUAUUGAAUAAUUCAGGCCAUUAACUAAGAACUUACAAAAAGUAGUAAGAAAGUGAAAUCAAAGUUAAAGUAUAUAUAAGAAGAAGAUGAAAGGAGAGGGAAAGAAACCUGCUAACAACAAAGUAGACAGAAUCAGGCUUGGCUUGAAUGGCAGUUUUGGUAAAUCCCAACUUAUCAGCAGGCCAUAAUUCAUCUCCAAAGAAACUGCUUGUGUAUAGAACUUGAUCUCCUGAUUUUAACCCUGCUUUUGCUGCAUUCCCUCCCCCAUCCACUGCCUAAUCCAACAUACAAAAUUACCUCAAAUUACAAAUGCAUCCACACAAAUUCCACAUCUACGAAUCCAUCAUAGUAAGAUUUUGUUUCAAUUUGAUCGUCUCUAUAGUUUAUAAUUAGAAUUUAAUCUCCAUAGUGUGAUAGAAUUUAAUAAACUAUAAGGACUAUUUACACGGUUUUAUCAAACCAUAAGAACUAUAUUCUAACUUUCAAAAUCACAGAAAUUAGAGUCAAACUUCAUCUAAAUUGUAGGUCUAGAUGUAUGGAUACAAAUACAAUACACAAACACGUUAGGACACGAACAUGGAGAACGUUGUUUUUCUAAAUGUAGGAUACAAACAUGACAAGGGCACAUUGAUUUAAACAUACAUUUUAAAAUAUAUAUUUUUUUUAUAUAUAGAAGAAAAUUCAAAGCAAAUGGACCGAUACAUAUGUUUAAAAAAUUAAUUUGAUGUAUUACACAAUUGCACUAAAUGUUUGAUAUGUAUUUAACAAGUGUUAAAAGUGUCGGAGACGAACACACCAAUCAAUGACCUCAGUUAUAAAUUUGUUGAUUAGUUUUAACUUUUAUAAUAGCAAAUUAUAAUAAUAAAUGAGUUUGAGAAUGAACAUUAAAACAGUAAACUAGAAGUUUUUAGAUGAAUUUGUAAAAAUAAUUUAACAAAGUUCUAAAUAUACUCUGUUCUUCCAAGAGAACACAUCUACAACCCCUCUUAUUAGUAAUCAUAAUCCAUAAACGAAGUUAAUCGGUAUGGUCACAUUCUUAUUUCUCAUUUCUUUUUUCUUUUUCUUUCUUUGCACUCUUUUAAUAAAAAUAAAAAUAGAAUUAUGUACGAGUUAUUUGUUAUUAUAAACCAAAAGCAAGCAACUAUAUAUGAAAAUUAGAUAUGCAUAAAAAAAAAUUAGAAAUAAUCAACUAGAGCUUAACUCAGUUGGUAUGUGCUUAAUACCUUAAGAUCAAAAGACCUUGUUUAAAUCUCUUUUAACUCUAUUGUGCUAAAAAAGAAAAAGAUGCAAAUAAGCAACUUCAAACUUGAUUUUCGAAUUUUUAUAUACUUUAGAAAAAGUUACAAAAAGUAAUAUAAAUAUUGUUUUGAAUUCUUUUUUUAUAAAUAUUGUCCACAUCGAUAUCUCCAUAAUCUUUAUUGUUUGGUUCAAAAUACACAAUUAGUUAAUGAUUUUUCCAUAUAAUAAAAAGAAUAAACAAUAAGCAAUCAUCCAUUCUUGAUCACAGAUUAUCCAAACCCACAAAACAGCAAGAACGAAACCAAAAAUUACUUACAGUGAUGACAACGCCACCGCCAGAUUUCUGCCCCAAAGUAAGACCCAACGGCUUAUCAACUUCAACCUCAAUCGUCUUGGAAGCUCCGGCAGUCUUCGCCGCUCUAAUUUGAAGCCCCUUCGACCGCUUACCGCCCUCGGCCUCUGUAUUCUCCGCCGUAAACCAAUGCGACACCCCCUUCUUAGCCUCCGCCACCGACAACCCUAGAAAAACGCUUUUCUGAAGAACAAACAACAACAGUCAGUAGAAAGCCCAAGCAAGGAAACGGGGAUUUGGGUUUUAUUUGGAAUACCUGAGUAGUCAGCGAAACAGAUGGUUUUGGAGAUGGGAAGUGAGGGGAAGAUCUGAUGGAGGAUCUGGUGUAGGCGGCGGAGCAGGAGGAGGAUGAGCUUGCUGCAACAAUGGCGGAUGACAUUUUUGUGGAGAUGGGGAGAUUUGAAAUUU
rnacentral:lncRNA from 1 species